UAAACCGCUCAAGUCGGAGCACGUUAUCAUUCUUGUUAGUUCUUAGCGAAUUCCCUCGAUAUGAUCAUUCUUUCAUCAGUUUGUUCCCCGUUUCUUCUCUAGCCUGAGCCCGACACACUAUUCUAGCUAGACAUGGGUGUGGCUCGUAACACCUAAUGACCAAACGGAUCUACGGCACCGUUGAAUCUCAAACUUUAACAGCCAAAAUUAUUGUUUUUCAUUAUGUAGUCUCUUUUAAAUUACUAAACGUCAUUUUUUGAGCUGAGAUAUCCAGGAACGCUUUCUCGGGGUUUUUGUGCACGUAUUUCAAAUCAUACGGACCUGAAAAUUAGAAGUCAUUCCAUCUUUAUUCCCCUAGAGCCUUCCAGCAGUUCCUAAACCGCUCCAGUUGGACCACGUUAUCAUUCUUGUUAGUUCUGAGUGAAUUACCUUAGUAUGAUCAUUCUUUCAUCAGUUUGUUCCCUGUUUCUUCUAUAGUCUGAGCCUAGCACACUACUCUAGCUAGACAUGGGUGUGGCUCGUAACACCUGAUGACCAAACAGAUCUACGGCACCGUCGAAUCUCAAACUUUAACUGCCAAAACUAUUGUUUUUCAUCCUGUAGACCCUUUUAGAAUUACUAAACGUCCUUUUUUGGGCUGAGAUUUCCGGGAACGCUUUCACGGGGUUUGUGUGCACGUAUUUUAAACCAUAUGGACCUAAAAAUUAGAAGUCAUUCCAUCUUUAUUCCCAUAGAGCCUAACACACUAUUCUAGCUAGAUAUGGGUGUGGCUCGUAACACCUGAUGACCAAACGGAUCUACGGCACCAUCGAAUCUCAAACUUUAACUGCCAAAACUAUUGUAUUUCAUCAUGUAGUCCCUUUUAGAAUUAUUAAACGUCCUUUUUUAGGGCCGUGAUUUCCAUGAACGCUUUCUUGGGGUUUCUGUGCAUGUAUUUCAAAUCAUACGGACCUAAAAAUUAGAAGUCAUUCCAUCUUUAUUCCCCUAGAGCCUUCCAGCAGUUCCUAAACCGCUUCAGUCGGAGCACGUUAUCAUUCUUGUUAGUUCUGAGUGAAUUCCCUUGGUAUGAUCAUUCUUUCAUCAGUUUGUUCCCCGUUUCUUCUCUAGUCUGAGCCUAGCACACUAUUCUAGCUAGACAUGGGUGUGGCUCAUAACACCUCAUGACCAAACGGAUCUACGGCACCAUCGAAUCUCAAACUUUAACUGCCAAAACUAUUGUUUUUCAUCCUGUAGUCCCUUUUAGAAUUACUAAACGUCCUUUUUUGGGCAGAUAUUUCCAGGAACGCUUUAUCGGGGUUUGUGUGCUCGUAUUUCAGACCAUACGGACCUAAAAAUUAGAACUCAUUCCAUCUUUAUUCCCCUAUAGCCUUCCAGCAAUUCCGAAACCACUCUAUUCGGAGCACGUUAUCAUUCUUGUUAGUUCUAAAAGAAUUCCCUCGGUAUGAUCAUUCUUUCAUCAGUUUAUUUCCCGUUUCUUCUCUAGUCUAAGCCUAGCACACUAGUCUAGCUAGACAUGGGUGUGGCUCGUAACACCUGAUGACCAAACGGAUCUACGGCACCGUCAAAUCUCAAACUUUAACUGCCAAAACUAUUGUUUUUCAUCCUGUAGUCCCUUUAGAAUUACAAAAGGUCCUUUUUUGGGCCGAGAUUUCCAGGAACACUUUCUCGGGGGUUUGUGUGCAUGUAUUUCAAACCAUAUGGACCUAAAAAUUAGAAGUCAUUCCAUCUUUAUUCCCCUAGAGCCUUCCAGCAGUUCCUAAACCGCUCCAGUCGGAGCAUGUUAUCAUUCUUGUUAGUUCUGAGUGAAUUCCCUCGGUAUGAUCAUUCUUUCAUCAGUUUGUUCCCCAUUUCUUCUCUAGUCUGAGCCUAGCUCACUAUUCUAGCUAGACAUGGGUGUGGCUCGUAAUACCUGAUGACCAAAUGGAUCUACGGCACCAUCGAAUCUCAAACUUUUACUGCCAAAACUAUUGUUUUUCAUCCUGUAGUCCCUUUUAGAAUUACUAAACGUCCUUUUUUGGGCUGAGAUUUCCAGGAACGCUUUCUUGGGGUUUGUGUGCACGUAUUUCAAACCAAGCGUUCCUAAAAAUUAGAAGUCAUUCCAUCUUUAUUCCCCUAGAGCCUUACAGCAGUUCCUAAACUGCUCCAGUCGGCGCACGUUAUCAUUCUUGUUAGUUCUGAGUGAAUUCCCUCGGUAUGAUCAUUCUUUCAUCAGUUUGUUCCCCGUUUCUUCUCUAGUCUGAGCCUACCACACUAUUCUAGCUAGACAUGGGUGUGGCUCAUAACACCUUAUGACCAAACGGAUCUACGGCACCAUCGAAUCUCAAACUUUAACUGCCAAAACUAUUGUUUUUCAUCCUGUAGUCCCUUUUAGAAUUACUAAACGUCCUUUUUUGGGCAGAUAUUUCCAGGAAUGCUUUAUCGGGGUUUGUGUGCACGUAUUUCAGACCAUACGGACCUAAAAAUUAGAAGUCAUUCCAUCUUUAUUCCCCUAUAGCCUUCCACCAGUUCCUAAACCACUCCAGUCGGAGCACGUUAUCAUUCUUGUUAGUUCUGAGCGAAUUCCCUCGGUAUGAUCAUUCUUUCAUCAGUUUAUUCCCCGUUUCUUCUCUAGUCUAAGCCUAGCACACUAGUCUAGCUAGACAUGGGUGUGGCUCGUAACACCUGAUGACCAAACGGAUCUACGGCACCGUCAAAUCUCAAACUUUAACUGCCAAAACUAUUGUUUUUCAUCCUGUAGUCCCUUUUAGAAUAACUAAACGUCCUUUUUUGGGCCGAGAUUUCCGGGAACACUUUCUCGGGGUUUGUGUGCAUGUAUUUCAAACCAUAUGGACCUAAAAAUUAGAAGUCAUUCCAUCUUUAUUCCCCUAGAGCCUUCCAGCAGUUCCUAAACCGCUCCAGUCGGAGCAUGUUAUCAUUCUUGUUAGUUCUGAGUGAAUUCCCUCGGUACGAUCAUUCUUUCAUCAGUUUGUUCCCCGUUUCUUCUCUAGUCUGAGCCUAGCUCACUAUUCUAGCUAGACAUGGGUGUGGCUCAUAAUACCUGAUGACCAAACGGAUCUACGGCACUAUCGAAUCUCAAACUUUAACUGCCAAAACUAUUGUUUUUCAUCCUGUAGUCCCUUUUAGAAUUACUAAACGUCCUUUUUUGGGCCGAGAUUUCCAGGAACGCUUUCUUGGGGUUUGUGUGCAUGUAUUUCAAACCAAGCGUUCCUAAAAAUUAGAAGUCAUUCCAUCUUUAUUCCCCUAGAGCCUUACAGCAGUUCCUAAACUGCUCCAGUCGGCGCACGUUAUCAUUCUUGUUAGUUCUGAGCGAAUUCCCUCGGUAUGAUCAUUCUUUCAUCAGUUUGUUCCCCAUUUCUUCUCUAGUUUGAGCCUAGCACACUAUUCUAGCUAGACAUGGGUGUGGGUCAUAACACCUGAUGACCAAACAGAUCGACGACACCAUCGACUCUCAAACUUUAACUGCCAAAACUAUUGUUUUUCAUCCUGUAGUCCCUUUUAGAAUUACUAAACGUCCUUUUUUGGGCCGAGAUUUCCAAGAACGCUUUCUCGGGGUUUGUGUGCACGUAUUUCAAACCAAACAUUCCUAAAAAUUAGAAGUCAUUCCAUCUUUAUUCCCCUAGAGCCUUCCAGUAGUUCCUAAACAGCUCCAGUCGGAGGACGUUAUCAUUCUUGUUAGUUCUGAGUGAAUUCCCUCGGUAUGAUCAUUCUUUCAUCAGUUUGUUCCCUGUUUCUUCUCUAGUAUGAGCCUCGCACACUAUUCUAGCUAUUAAUGGGUGUGGAUCGUAACACCUGAUGACCAAACGGAUCUACGGCACCAUCGAAUAUCAAACUUUAACUGCCAAAACUAUUGUUUUUCAUUCUGUAGUCCCUUUUAAAUUACUAAAUGUCAUUUUUGGGCUGAGAUAUCCAGGAACGCUUUCUCGGGGUUUGUGUGCAUGUAUUUCAAAUCAUACGGACCUAAAAAUUAGAAGUCAUUCCAUCUUUAUUCCCCUAGAGCCUUCCAGCAGUUCCUAAACCACUCCAGUCGGAACACGUUGUCAUUAUUGUUAGUUCUGAGUGAAUUCCCUCGGUAUGAUCAUUCUUUCAUCAGUUUUUUCCCCGUUUCUUCUAUAGUCUGAGCCUAUCACACUAUUCUAGCUAGACAUGGGUGUGGCACGUAACACCUGAUGACCAAACGGAUCUACGGCACCGUCGAAUCUCAAACUUUAACUGCCAAAACUAUUGUUUUUCAUCCUGUUGUCCCUUUAGAAUUACUAAAUGUCCUUUUUUGGGCCGAGAUUUCCAGGAACGCUUUCUCGGGAUUUGUGUGCAUGUAUUUCAAACCAUACGGACCUACAAAUUAGGUCAUUCCAUCUUUAUUCCCCUAGAGCCUUCCAGCAGUUCCUAAACUGCUCCAGUCGGAGCACGUUAUCAUUCUUGUUUGUUCUCAGCGAAUUCCCUCGGUAUGAUCAUUCUUUCAUCAUUUUGUUCCCCGUUUCUUCUCUAGUCUAAGCCUAGCACACUAUUCUAGCUACACAUGGGUGUGGCUCGUAACACCUGAUGACCAAACGGAUCUACGGCACCGUCGAAUCUCAAACUUUAACUGCCAAAACUAUUGUUUUUCAACCUAUAGUCCCUUUUAAAUUUACUAAACGUCCUUUUUUGGGCUGAGAUUUCCAGGAACGCUUUCGUGCGGUUUGUGUGCAAGUAUUUGAAAUCAUACGGACCUAUAAAUUAGAAGUCAUUUCAUCUUUAUUCCCCUAGAGCCUUCGAGCGGUUCCUAAACCGCUCCAGUCGGAGCAUGUUAUCGUUCUUGUUAGUUCUGAGUGAAUUCCCUCGGUAUGAUCAUUCUUUCAUCAGUUUGUUCCCCAUUUCUUCUCUAGUCUGAGCCUAGCACACUACUCUAGCUAGACAUGGGUUUGGCUUGUAACACCUGAUAACCAAACGGGUCUACGACACCAUCGAAUCUCAAACUUUUUUGGGCCGAGAUUUCCAGGAACGCUUUCUCGGGGUUUGUGUGCACGUAUUUCAAAUCAUGCGGACCUAAAAAUUAGAAGUCAUUCCAUAUUUAUUCCCCUAGAGCCUUCCAGCAGUUCCCAAACCGCUCCAGUCGGAGCAUGUUAUCAUUCUUGUUAGUUCUGAGCGAGUUCCCUCGGUAUGAUCAUUCUUUCAUCAGUUUGUUCCCUGUUUCUUCUCUAGCCUGAGCCUGACACACUAUUAUAGCUAGACAUGGGUGUGGCUCGUGACACCUGAUGACCAAAUGGAUCUACGGCACCGUCGAAUCUCAAACUUUAACUGCCAAAACUAUUGUUUUUCAUCCUGUAGUCCCUUUUAGAAUUACGAAACGUCCUUUUUUGGGCCAUGAUUUCCAGGAAUGCUUUCUUGGGGUUUGUGUGCACGUAUUUCAAACCAUACGGACCUAAAAAUUAGAAGUCAUUCCAUCUUUAUUCCCCUAGAGCCUUCCAGCAGUUCCUAAACUGCUCUAUUUGGAGCAUGUUAUCAUUCUUGUUAGUUCUGAGUGAAUUCCCUCGGUAUGAUCAUUCUUUCAUCAGUUUGUUCCCCGUUUCUUCUCUAGUCUGAGCCUAGCACACUAUUCUAGCUAUUAAUGGGUGUGGAUCGUAACACCUGAUGAGCAAACGGAUCUACGGCACAAUCGAAUCUCAAACUUUAACUGCCAAAACUAUUGUUUUUCAUUCUGUAGUCCCUUUUCGAAUUAUUAAACGUCCUUUUUUGGGCCGAGAUUUCCAGGAACGCUUUCUCGGGGUUUGUGUGCAUGUAUUUCAAAUCAUACGGACCUAAAAAUUAGAAGGCAUUCCAUCUUUAUUCCCCUAGAGCCUUCCAGCAGUUCCUAAACCGCUCCAGUCGGAGCAUGUUAUCAUUCUUGUUAGUUCUGAGCGAAUUCCCUCGGUAUGAUCAUUCUAUCAUCUGUUUGUUCCCUGUUUCUUCGCUAGCCUAAGCCUGACACACUAUUCUAGCUAGACAUGGGUGUGGCUCGUGACACCUAAUGACCAAACGGAUCUACGGCACCCUCGAAUCUCAAACUUUAACUACCAAAACUAUUGUUUUUCAUUCUGUAGUCCCUUUUAGAUUACUAAACAUCCUUUUUUGGGCUGAGAUUUCCAGGAACGCUUUCUCGGGGUUUGUGUGCAUGUAUUUCAAACCAAACGUUCCUAAAAUUAGAAGUCAUUCCAUCUUAAUUCCCCUAGAGCCUUCUAGCAAUUCCUAAACAGCUCUAGUCGGAGCAUGUUAUCAUUCUUGUUAAUUCUGAGCGAAUUCCCUCCGUAUGAUCAUUCUUUCAUCAGUUUGUUCCCCGUUUCUUCUCUAGUCUAAGCCUAGCACACUAGUCUAGCUAGACAUGGGUGUGGCUCGUAACACCUGAUGACCAAACGGAUCUACGGCACCGUCAAAUGUCAAACUUUAACUGCCAAAACUAUUGUUUUUCAUCCUGUAGUCCCUUUUCGAAUUAUUAAACGUCCUUUUUUGGGCCGAGAUUUCCAGGAACGCUUUCUCGGGGUUUGUGUGGAUGUAUUUCAAAUCAUACGGACCUAAAAAUUAGAAGGCAUUCCAUCUUUAUUCCCCUAGAGCCUUCCAGCAGUUCCUANNNNNNNNNNNNNNNNNNNNNNNNNNNNNNNNNNNNNNNNNNNNNNNNNNNNNNNNNNNNNNNNNNNNNNNNNNNNNNNNNNNNNNNNNNNNNNNNNNNNNNNNNNNNNNNNNNNNNNNNNNNNNNNNNNNNNNNNNNNNNNNNNNNNNNNNNNNNNNNNNNNNNNNNNNNNNNNNNNNNNNNNNNNNNNNNNNNNNNNNNNNNNNNNNNNNNNNNNNNNNNNNNNNNNNNNNNNNNNNNNNNNNNNNNNNNNNNNNNNNNNNNNNNNNNNNNNNNNNNNNNNNNNNNNNNNNNNNNNNNNNNNNNNNNNNNNNNNNNNNNNNNNNNNNNNNNNNNNNNNNNNNNNNNNNNNNNNNNNNNNNNNNNNNNNNNNNNNNNNNNNNNNNNNNNNNNNNNNNNNNNNNNNNNNNNNNNNNNNNNNNNNNNNNNNNNNNNNNNNNNNNNNNNNNNNNNNNNNNNNNNNNNNNNNNNNNNNNNNNNNNNNNNNNNNNNNNNNNNNNNNNNNNNNNNNNNNNNNNNNNNNNNNNNNNNNNNNNNNNNNNNNNNNNNNNNNNNNNNNNNNNNNNNNNNNNNNNNNNNNNNNNNNNNNNNNNNNNNNNNNNNNNNNNNNNNNNNNNNNNNNNNNNNNNNNNNNNNNNNNNNNNNNNNNNNNNNNNNNNNNNNNNNNNNNNNNNNNNNNNNNNNNNNNNNNNNNNNNNNNNNNNNNNNNNNNNNNNNNNNNNNNNNNNNNNNNNNNNNNNNNNNNNNNNNNNNNNNNNNNNNNNNNNNNNNNUCGCUAGCCUAAGCCUGACACACUAUUCUAGCUACACAUGGGUGUGGCUCGUGACACCUAAUGACCAAACAGAUCUACGGCACCGUCGAAUCUCAAACUUUAACUACCAAAACUAUUGUUUUUCAUUCUGUAGUCCCUUUUAAAUUACUAAACGUCAUUUUUUGGGCCGAGAUUUCUAGGAACGCUUUCUCGGGGUUUGUGUGCAUGUAUUUCAAGUCAUAUGGACCUAAAAAUUAGAAUCCAUUCCAUCUUUAUUCCCCUAGAGCCUUCCAGCAGUUCCUAAACUGCUCCAGUCGGAGCACAUUAUCAUUAUUGUUAGUUCUGAGUGAAUUCCCUCGGUAUGAUCAUUCUUUCAUCAGUUUGUUCCCCGUUUCUGCUCUACUCUGAGCUUAACACACUAUUCUAGCUAGACAUGGGUGUGGCUCGUAACACCUGAUGACCAAACGGAUCUACGAUACCGUCGAAUCUCAAACUUUGACUACGAAAACUAUUGUUUUUCAUUCUAUAGUCCCUUUUAGAAUUACUAAACGUCCUUUUUUGGGCCGAGAUUUCUAGGAACGCUUUCUCGGGGUUUGUGUGCACGUAUUUCAAACAAUACGGACCUAAAAAUUAGAAUUCAUUCCAUCUUUAUUCCCCUAGAGCCUUCCAGCAGUUCCUAAACCGCUCAAGUCGGAGCACUUUAUCAUUCUUGUUAGUUCUCAGCGAAUUCCCUCGGUAUGAUCAUUCUUUCAUCAGUUUGUUCCCCAUUUCUUCUCUAGCCUGAGCCUAACACACUAUUCUAGCUACACAUGGGUGUGGCUCGUCACACCCGAUGACCAAACGGAUCUACGGCACCGUCGAAUCUCAAACUUUAACUGCCAAAACUAUUGUUUUUCAUCCUGUAGUCCCUUUUAGAAUUACUAAACGUCCUUUUUUGGGUAGAUAUUUCCAGGAACGCUUUAUCGGGGUUUGUGUGCACGUAUUUCAGACCAUACGGACCUAAAAAUUAGAAGUCAUUCCAUCUUUAUUCCCCUAUAGCCUUCCAGCAGUUCCUAAACCGCUCCAGUCGGAGCCCGUUAUCAUUCUUGUUAGUUUUGAGCGAAUUCCCUCGGUAUGAUCAUUCUUUCAUCAGUUUGUUCCCCGUUUCUUCUCUAGUCUAAGCCUAGCACACUAGUUUAGCUAGACAUGGGUGUGGCUCGUAACACCUGAUGGCCAAACGGAUCUACGGCACCGUGAAAUCUCAAACUUUAACUGCCAAAACUGUUGUUUUUCAUCCUGUAGUCCCUUUUAGAAUUACUAAACGUCCUUUUUUGGGCUGAGAUUUCCAGGAACACUUUCUCGGGGUUUGUGUGCAUGUAUUUCAAACCAUAUGGACCUAAAAAUUAGAAGUCAUUCCAUCUUUAUUCCCCUAGAGCCUUCCAACAGUCCCUAAACCGCUCCAGUCCGAGCAUGUUAUCAUUCUUGUUAGUUCUGAGUGAAUUCCCUCGGUAUGAUCAUUCUUUCAUCAGUUUGUUCCCCAUUUCUUCUCUAGUCUGAGCCUAGCUCACUAUUCUAGCUAGACAUGGGUGUGGCUUAUAAUACCUGAUGACCAAACGGAUCUACGGCACCAUCGAAUCUCAAACUUUAACUGCCAAAACUAUUGUUUUUCAUCCUGUAGUCCCUUUUAGAAUUACUAAACGUCCUUUUUUGGGCCGAGAUUUCCAGGAACGCUUUCUCGGGGUUUGUGUGCACGUAUUUCAAACCAAGCGUUCUUAAAAAUUAGAAGUUAUUCCAUCUUUAUUCCCCUAGAGCCUUACAGCAGUUCCUAAACUGCUCCAAUCGGCGCACGUUAUCAUUCUUGUUAGUUCUGAGCGAAUUCCCUCGGUAUGAUCAUUCUUUCAUCAGUUUGUUCCCCGUUUCUUCUCUAGUUUGAGCCUAGCACACUAUUCUAGCUAGACAUGGGUGUGGGUCAUAACACCUGAUGACCAAACAGAUCGACGACACCAUCGAAUCGCAAACUUUAACUGCCAAAACUAUUGUUUUUCAUCCUGUAGUCCCUUUUAGAAUUACUAAACGUCCUUUUUUGGGUCGAGAUUUCCAAGAACGCUUUCUCGGGGUUUGUGUGCACGUAUUUCAAACCAAAAAUUCCUAAAAAUUAGAAGUCAUUCCAUCUUUAUUCCCCUAGAGCCUUCCAGCAGUUCCUAAACAGCUCUAGUCGGAGCACGUUAUCAUUCUUGUUAGUUCUGAGCGAAUUCCCUCGGUAUGAUCAUUCUUUCAUCAGUUUGUUCCCCGUUUCUUCUAUAGUCUGAGCCUAUCACACUAUUCUAGCUAGACAUGGGUGUGGCUCGUAACACCUGAUGACCAAACGGAUCUACGGCACCAUCAAAUCUAAAACUUUAACUGCCAAAACUAUUGUUUUUCAUCCUGUAGUCCCUUUAGAACUACUAAAUGUCCUUUUUUGGGCCGAUAUUUCCAGGAACGCUUUCUCGGGGUUUGUGUGCAUGUAUUUCAAACCAUACGGACCUAAAAAUUAGGUCAUUCCAUCUUUAUUCCCCUAGAGCCUUCCAGCAGUUCCUAAACCGCUCCAGUCGGAGCAUGUUAUCAUUCUUGUUUGUUCUGAGUGAAUUCCCUCAGUAUGAUCAUUCUUUCAUCAUUUUGUUCCCCGUUUCUUCUCUAGUCUGAGCCUAGCACACUAUUCUAGCUAGACAUGGGUGUGGCUCGUAACACCUGACCAAACGGAUCUACGGCACCGUCGAAUCUCAAACUUUAACUGCCAAAACUAUUGUUUUUCAUCCUGUAGUCCCUUUUAAAUUUAAUAAACGUCCUUUUUUUGGGCUGAGAUUUCCAGGAACGCUUUCGUGCGGUUUGUGUGCAAGUAUUUCAAAUCAUACAGACCUAUAAAUUAGAAGUCAUUUCAUCUUUAUUCCCCUAGAGCCUUCGAGCGGUUCCUAAACCGCUCAAGUCGGAGCAUGUUAUCAUUCUUGUUAGUUCUGAGUGAAUUCCCUCGGUAUGAUCAUUCUUUCAUCAGUUUGUUCCCCAUUCCUUCUCUAGUCUGAGCCUAGCACACUACUCUAGCUAGACAUGGGUUUGGCUCGUAACACCUGAUAACCAAACGGGUCUACGACACCAUCGAAUCUCAAACUUUUUUGGGCCAAGAUUUCCAGGAACGCUUUCUCGGGGUUUGUGUGCACGUAUUUCAAAUCAUGCGGACCUAAAAAUUAGAAGUCAUUCCAUAUUUAUUCCCCUAGAGCCUUCCAGCAGUUCCUAAACCGCUCCAGUUGGACCACGUUAUCAUUCUUGUUAGUUCUGAGUGAAUUACCUCGGUAUGAUCAUUCUUUCAUCAGUUUGUUCCCCGUUUCUUCUAUAGUCUGAGCCUAGCACACUACUCUAGCUAGACAUGGGAGUGGCUCGUAACACCUGAUGACCAAACAGAUCUAUGGCACCGUCGAAUCUCAAACUUUAACUACCAAAACUAUUGUUUUUCAUCCUGUAGUCCCUUUUAGAAUUACUAAAUGUCAUUUUUUGGGCUGAGAUUUCCAGGAACGCUUUCGCGGGGUUUGUGUGCACGUAUUUCAAACCAUAGGGACCUAAAAAUUAGAAGUCAUUCCAUCUUUAUUCCCCUAGAGCCUAACACACUAUUCUAGCUAGACAUGGGUGUGGCUCGUAACACCUGAUGACCAAACGGAUCUACGGCACCAUCGAAUCUCAAACUUUAACUGCCAAAAUUAUUGUAUUUCAUCCUGUAGUCCCUUUUAGAAUUAUUAAACGUCCUUUUUUUGGGCUGUGAUUUCCAUGAACGCUUUCUCGGGGUUUCUGUGCACGUAUUUCAAAUCAUACAGACCUAAAAAUUAGAAGUCAUUCCAUCUUUAUUCCCCUAGAGCCUUCCAACAGUUCCUAAACCGCUCCAGUCGGAGCACAUUAUCAUUCUUGUUAGUUCUGAGUGAAUUCCCAUGGUAUGAUCAUUCUUUCAUUAGUUUGUUCCCCGUUUCUUCUCUAGUCUGAGCCUACCACACUAUUCCAGCUAGACAUGGGUGUGGCUCAUAACACCUUAUGACCAAACGGAUCUACGGCACCAUCGAAUCUCAAACUUUAACCGCCAAAACUAUUGUUUUUCAUCCUGUAGUCCCUUUUAGAAUUACUAAACGUCCUUCUUUGGGUAGAGAUUUCCAGGAAUGCUUUAUCGGGGUUUGUGUGCACGUAUUUCAGACCAUACGGACCUAAAAAUUAGAAGUCAUUCCAUCUUUAUUCCCCUAGAGCCUUCCAACAGUUCCUGAACCGCUCCAGUCGGAGCAUGUUAUCAUUCUUGUUAGUUCUGAGCGAAUUCCCUCGGUAUGAUCAUUCUUUCAUCAGUUUGUUUCCCGUUUCUUCUCUAGUCUGAGCCUAGCACACUACUCUAGCUAGACAUUGGUGUGGCUCGUAACACCUGAUGACCAAACGGAUCUACGGCACCGUCAAAUCUCAAACUUUAACUGCCAAAACUAUUGUUUUUCAUCCUGUAGUCCCUUUUAGAAUUACUAAACGUCCUUUUUUGGGCCGAUAUUUCCAGGAACGCUUUCUUGGGGUUUGUGUGCAUGUAUUUCAAACCAUAUGGAACUAAAAAUUACAAGUCAUUCCAUCUUUAUUCCACUAGAGCCUUCCAGCAGUUCCUAAACCGCUCCAAUCGGAGCAUGUUAUCAUUCUUGUUAAUUCUGAGUGAAUUCCCUUGGUAUGAUCAUUCUUUCAUCAGUUUGUUCCCGAUUUCUUCUCCAGUCUGAGCCUAGCUCACUAUUCUAGCUAGACAUGGGUGUGGCUCAUAAUACCUGAUGACCAAACGGAUCUACGACACCAUCGAAUCUCAAACUUUAACUGCCAAAACUAUUGUUUUUCAUCUUGUAGUCCCUUUUAGAAUUACUAAAAGUCCUUUAUUGGGCCGAGAUUUCCAGGAACGCUUUAUCGGGGUUUGUGUGCUCGUAUUUCAGACCAUACGGACCUAAAAAUUAGAACUCAUUCCAUCUUUAUUCCCCUAGAGCCUUCCAGCAGCUCCUAAACCGCUCCAGUCGGAGCACGUUAUCAUUCUUGUUAGUUCUGAGCAAAUUCCCUCGUUAUGAUCAUUCUUUCAUCAGUUUGUUCCCCGUUCCUUCUCUGGUCUGAGCCUAGCACACUAUUCUAGCUAUUAAUGGGUGUGGAUCGUAACACUUGAUGAUCAAACAGAUCUACGGCACCAUCGAUUCUCAAACUUUAACUGCCAAAACUAUUGUUUUUCAUCCCGUAGUCCCUUUUAGAAUUAUUAAACGUCCUUUUUUGGGCCGAGAUUUCUAGGAACGCUGCCUCGGGGUUUUUGUGCACGUAUUUCAAAUCAUACGGACCUGAAAAUUAGAAGUCAUUCCAUCUUUAUUCCCCUAGAGCCUUCCAGCAGUUCCUAAACCGCUCCAGUUGGACCACGUUAUCAUUCUUGUUAGUUCUGAGUGAAUUACCUUAGUAUGAUCAUUCUUUCAUCAGUUUGUUCCCUGUUUCUUCUAUAGUCUGAGCCUAGCACACUACUCUAGCUAGACAUGGGUGUGGCUCGUAACACCUGAUGACCAAACAGAUCUACGACACCGUCGAAUCUCAAACUUUAACUGCCAAAACUAUUGUUUUUCAUCCUGUAGACCCUUUUAGAAUUACUAAACGUCCUUUUUUGGGCUGAGAUUUCCAGGAACGCUUUCACGGGGUUUGUGUGCACGUAUUUUAAACCAUAUGGACCUAAAAAUUAGAAGUCAUUCCAUCUUUAUUCCCAGAGAGCCUAACACACUAUUCUAGCUAGAUAUGGGUGUGGCUCGUAACACCUGAUGACCAAACGGAUCUACGGCACCAUCGAAUCUCAAACUUUAACUGCCAAAACUAUUGUAUUUCAUCAUGUAGUCCCUUUUAGAAUUAUUAAACGUCCUUUUUUAGGGCCGUGAUUUCCAUGAACGCUUUCUUGGGGUUUCUGUGCAUGUAUUUCAAAUCAUACGGACCUAAAAAUUAGAAGUCAUUCCAUCUUUAUUCCCCUAGAGCCUUCCAGCAGUUCCUAAACCGCUUCAGUCGGAGCACGUUAUCAUUCUUGUUAGUUCUGAGUGAAUUCCCUUGGUAUGAUCAUUCUUUCAUCAGUUUGUUCCCCGUUUCUUCUCUAGUCUGAGCCUAGCACACUAUUCUAGCUAGACAUGGGUGUGGCUCAUAACACCUUAUGACCAAACGGAUCUACGGCACCAUCGAAUCUCAAACUUUAACUGCCAAAACUAUUGUUUUUCAUCCUGUAGUCCCUUUUAGAAUUACUAAACGUCCUUUUUUGGGCAGAUAUUUCCAGGAACGCUUUAUCGAGGUUUGUGUGCUCGUAUUUCAGACCAUACGGACCUAAAAAUUAGAACUCAUUCCAUCUUUAUUCCCCUAUAGCCUUCCAGCAAUUCUGAAACCACUCCAGUCGGAGCACGUUAUCAUUCUUGUUAGUUCUAAAAGAAUUCCCUCGGUAUGAUCAUUCUUUCAUCAGUUUAUUUCCCGUUUCUUCUCUAGUCUAAGCCUAGCACACUAGUCUAGCUAGACAUGGGUGUGGCUCGUAACACCUGAUGACCAAACGGAUCUACGGCACCGUCAAAUCUCAAACUUUAACUGCCANNNNNNNNNNNNNNNNNNNNNNNNNNNNNNNNNNNNNNNNNNNNNNNNNNNNNNNNNNNNNNNNNNNNNNNNNNNNNNNNNNNNNNNNNNNNNNNNNNNNNNNNNNNNNNNNNNNNNNNNNNNNNNNNNNNNNNNNNNNNNNNNNNNNNNNNNNNNNNNNNNNNNNNNNNNNNNNNNNNNNNNNNNNNNNNNNNNNNNNNNNNNNNNNNNNNNNNNNNNNNNNNNNNNNNNNNNNNNNNNNNNNNNNNNNNNNNNNNNNNNNNNNNNNNNNNNNNNNNNNNNNNNNNNNNNNNNNNNNNNNNNNNNNNNNNNNNNNNNNNNNNNNNNNNNNNNNNNNNNNNNNNNNNNNNNNNNNNNNNNNNNNNNNNNNNNNNNNNNNNNNNNNNNNNNNNNNNNNNNNNNNNNNNNNNNNNNNNNNNNNNNNNNNNNNNNNNNNNNNNNNNNNNNNNNNNNNNNNNNNNNNNNNNNNNNNNNNNNNNNNNNNNNNNNNNNNNNNNNNNNNNNNNNNNNNNNNNNNNNNNNNNNNNNNNNNNNNNNNNNNNNNNNNNNNNNNNNNNNNNNNNNNNNNNNNNNNNNNNNNNNNNNNNNNNNNNNNNNNNNNNNNNNNNNNNNNNNNNNNNNNNNNUCAUCAGUUUGUUCCCCAUUUCUUCUCUAGUCUGAGCCUAGCUCACUAUUCUAGCUAGACAUGGGUGUGGCUCGUAAUACCUGAUGACCAAAUGGAUCUACGGCACCAUCGAAUCUCAAACUUUUACUGCCAAAACUAUUGUUUUUCAUCCUGUAGUCCCUUUUAGAAUUACUAAACGUCCUUUUUUGGGCCGAGAUUUCCAGGAACGCUUUCUUGGGGUUUGUGUGCACGUAUUUGAAACCAAGCGUUCCUAAAAAUUAGAAGUCAUUCCAUCUUUAUUCCCCUAGAGCCUUACAGCAGUUCCUAAACUGCUCCAGUCGGCGCACGUUAUCAUUCUUGUUAGUUCUGAGUGAAUUCCCUCGGUAUGAUCAUUCUUUCAUCAGUUUGUUCCCCGUUUCUUCUCUAGUCUGAGCCUACCACACUAUUCUAGCUAGACAUGGGUGUGGCUCAUAACACCUUAUGACCAAACGGAUCUACGGCACCAUCGAAUCUCAAACUUUAACUGCCAAAACUAUUGUUUUUCAUCCUGUAGUCCUUUUUACAAUUACUAAACGUCCUUUUUUGGGCAGAUAUUUCCAGGAAUGCUUUAUCGGGGUUUGUGUGCACGUAUUUCAGACCAUACGGACCUAAAAAUUAGAAGUCAUUCCAUCUUUAUUUUCCUAUAGCCUUCCAGCAGUUCCUAAACCACUCCAGUCGGAGCACGUUAUCAUUCUUGUUAGUUCUGAGCGAAUUCCCUCGGUAUGAUCAUUCUUUCAUCAGUUUAUUCCCCGUUUCUUCUCUAGUCUAAGCCUAGCACACUAGUCUAGCUAGACAUGGGUGUGGCUCGUAACACCUGAUGACCAAACGGAUCUACGGCACCGUCAAAUCUCAAACUUUAACUGCCAAAACUAUUGUUUUUCAUCCUGUAGUCCCUUUUAGAAUAACUAAACGUCCUUUUUUGGGCCGAGAUUUUCGGGAACACUUUCUCGGGGUUUGUGUGCAUGUAUUUCAAACCAUAUGGACCUAAAAAUUAGAAGUCAUUCCAUCUUUAUUCCCCUAGAGCCUUCCAGCAGUUCCUAAACCGCUCCAGUCGGAGCAUGUUAUCAUUCUUGUUAGUUCUGAGUGAAUUCCCUCGGUACGAUCAUUCUUUCAUCAGUUUGUUCCCCAUUUCUUCUCUAGUCUGAGCCUAGCUCACUAUUCUAGCUAGACAUGGGUGUGGCUCAUAAUACCUGAUGACCAAACGGAUCUACGGCACUAUCGAAUCUCAAACUUUAACUGCCAAAACUAUUGUUUUUCAUCCUGUAGUCCCUUUUAGAAUUACUAAACGUCCUUUUUUGGGCCGAGAUUUCCAGGAACGCUUUCUUGGGGUUUGUGUGCACGUAUUUCAAACCAAGCGUUCCUAAAAAUUAGAAGUCAUUCCAUCUUUAUUCCCCUAGAGCCUUACAGCAGUUCCUAAACUGCUCCAGUCGGCGCACGUUAUCAUUCUUGUUAGUUCUGAGCGAAUUCCCUCGGUAUGAUCAUUCUUUCAUCAGUUUGUUCCCCAGUUCUUCUCUAGUUUGAGCCUAGCACACUAUUCUAGCUAGACAUGGGUGUGGGUCAUAACACCUGAUGACCAAACAGAUCGACGGCACCAUCGACUCUCAAACUUUAACUGCCAAAACUAUUGUUUUUCAUCCUGUAGUCCCUUUUAGAAUUACUAAACGUCCUUUUUUGGGCUGAGAUUUCCAAGAACGCUUUCUCGUGGUUUGUGUGCAUGUAUUUCAAACCAAACAUUCCUAAAAAUUAGAAGUCAUUCCAUCUUUAUUCCCCUAGAGCCUUCCAGUAGUUCCUAAACAGCUCCAGUCGGAGCACGUUAUCAUUCUUGUUAGUUCUGAGCGAAUUCCCUCGGUAUGAUCAUUCUUUCAUCAGUUUGUUCCCUGUUUCUUCUCUAGUAUGAGCCUCGCACACUAUUCUAGCUAUUAAUGGGUGUGGAUCGUAACACCUGAUGACCAAACGGAUCUACGGCACCAUCGAAUCUCAAACUUUAACUGCCAAAACUAUUGUUUUUCAUUCUGUAGUCCCUUUUAAAUUACUAAACGUCAUUUUUGGGCUGAGAUAUCCAGGAACGCUUUCUCGGGGUUUGUGUGCACGUAUUUCAAAUCAUACGGACCUAAAAAUUCGAAGUCAUUCCAUCUUUAUUCCCCUAGAGCCUUCCAGCAGUUCCUAAACCACUCCAGUCGGAACACGUUGUCAUUAUUGUUAGUUCUGAGUGAAUUCCCUCGGUAUGAUCAUUCUUUCAUCAGUUUUUUCCCCGUUUCGCCUAUCACACUAUUCUAGCUAGACAUGGGUGUGGCUCGUAACACCUGAUGACCAAACGGAUCUACGGCACCGUCGAAUCUCAAACUUUAACUGCCAAAACUAUUGUUUUUCAUCCUGUUGUCCCUUUAGAAUUACUAAAUGUCCUUUUUUGGGCCGAGAUUUCCAGGAACGCUUUCUCGGGGUUUGUGUGCAUGUAUUUCAAACCAUACGAACCUAAAAAUUAGGUCAUUCCAUCUUUAUUCCCCUAGAGCCUUCCAGCAGUUCCUAAACCGCUGCAGUCGGAGCACGUUAUCAUUCUUGUUUGUUCUGAGCGAAUUCCCUCAGUAUGAUCAUUCUUUCAUCAUUUUGUUCCCCGUUUCUUCUCUAGUCUAAGCCUAGCACACUAUUCUAGCUAGACAUGGGUGUGGCUCGUAACACCUGAUGACCAAACGGAUCUACGGCACCGUCGAAUCUCAAACUUUAACUGCCAAAACUAUUGUUUUUCAUCCUAUAGUCCCUUUUAAAUUUACUAAACGUCCUUUUUUGGGCUGAGAUUUCCAGGAACGCUUUCGUGCGGUUUGUGUGCAACUAUUUCAAAUCAUACAGACCUAUAAAUUAGAAGUCAUUUCAUCUUUAUUCCCCUAGAGCCUUCGAGCGGUUCCUAAACCACUCCAGUCGGAGCAUGUUAUCAUUCUUGUUAGUUCUGAGUGAAUUCCCUCGGUAUGAUCAUUCUUUCAUCAGUUUGUUCCCCAUUUCUUCUCUAGUCUGAGCCUAGCACACUACUCUAGCUAGACAUGGGUUUGGCUCGUAACACCUGAUAACCAAACGGGUCUACGACACCAUCGAAUCUCAAACUUUUUUGGGCCGAGAUUUCCAGGAACGCUUUCUCGGGGUUUGCGUGCACGUAUUUCAAGUCACGCGGACCUAAAAAUUAGAAGUCAUUCCAUAUUUAUUCCCCUAGAGCCUUCCAGCAGUUCCCAAACCGCUCCAGUCGGAGCAUGUUAUCAUUCUUGUUAGUUCUGAGCGAAUUCCCUCGGUAUGAUCAUUCUUUCAUCAGUUUGUUCCCUGUUUCUUCUCUAGACUGAGCCUGACACACUAUUCUAGCUAGACAUGGGUGUGGCUCGUGACACCUGAUGACCAAAUGGAUCUACGGCACCGUCGAAUCUCAAACUUUAACUGCCAAAACUAUUGUUUUUCAUCCUGUAGUCCCUUUUAGAAUUACGAAACGUCCUUUUUUGGGCCAAGAUUUCGAGGAAUGCUUUCUCGGGGUUUGUGUGCACGUAUUUCAAACCAUACGGACCUAAAAAUUAGAAGUCAUUCCAUCUUUAUUCCCCUAGAGCCUUCCAGCAGUUCCUAAACUGCUCUAUUUGGAGCAUGUUAUCAUUCUUGUUAGUUCUGAGUGAAUUCCCUCGGUAUGAUCAUUCUUUCAUCAGUUUGUUCCCCGUUUCUUCUCUAGUCUGAGCCUAGCACACUAUUCUAGCUAUUAAUGGGUGUGGAUCGUAACACCUGAUGACCAAACGGAUCUACGGCACCAUCGAAUCUCAAACUUUAACUGCCAAAACUAUUGUUUUUCAUUCUGUAGUCCCUUUUCGAAUUAUUAAACGUCCUUUUUUGGGUCGAGAUUUCCAGGAACGCUUUCUUGGGGUUUGUGUGCAUGUAUUUCAAAUCAUACGGACCUAAAAAUUAGAAGGCAUUCCAUCUUUAUUCCCCUAGAGCCUUCCAGCAGUUCCUAAACCGCUCCAGUCGGAGCAUGUUAUCAUUCUUGUUAGUUUUGAGCGAAUUCCCUCGGUAUGAUCAUUCUAUCAUCUGUUUGUUCCCUGUUUCUUCGCUAGCCUAAGCCUGACACACUAUUCUAGCUAGACAUGGGUGUGGCUCGUGACACCUAAUGACCAAACGGAUCUACGGCACCCUCGAAUCUCAAACUUUAACUACCAAAACUAUUGUUUUUCAUUCUGUAGUCCCUUUUAGAUUACUAAACAUCCUUUUUUGGGCUGAGAUUUCCAGGAACGCUUUCUCGAGGUUUGUGUGCAUGUAUUUCAAACCAAACGUUCCUAAAAUUAGAAGUCAUUCCAUCUUUAUUCCCCUAGAGCCUUCUAGCAGUUCCUAAACAGCUCUAGUCGGAGCAUGUUAUCAUUCUUGUUAAUUCUGAGCGAAUUCCCUCCGUAUGAUCAUUCUUUCAUCAGUUUGUUCUCUGUUUCUGCUCUAGUCUGAGCCUAGCACACUAUUCUAGCUAUUAAUGGGUGUGUAUCGUAACACCUAAUGACCAAACGGAUCUACGACACCAUCGAAUCUCAAACUUUAACUGCCAAAACUAUUGUUUUUCAUCCUGUAGUCCCUUUUCGAAUUAUUAAACGUCCUUUUUUGGGCCGAGAUUUCCAGGAACGCUUUCUCGGGGUUUGUGUGGAUGUAUUUCAAAUCAUACGGACCUAAAAAUUAGAAGGCAUUCCAUCUUUAUUCCCCUAGAGCCUUCCAGCAGUUCCUAAACCGCUCCAGUCGGAGCAUGUUAUCAUUCUUGUUAGUUCUGAGCGAAUUCCCUCGGUAUGAUCAUUCUAUCAUCAGUUUGUUCCCUGUUUCUUCGCUAGCCUAAGCCUGACACACUAUUCUAGCUACACAUGGGUGUGGCUCGUGACACCUAAUGACCAAACAGAUCUACGGCACCGUCGAAUCUCAAACUUUAACUACCAAAACUAUUGUUUUUCAUUCUGUAGUCCCUUUUAAAUUACUAAACGUCAUUUUUUGGGCCGAGAUUUCUAGGAACGCUUUCUCAGGGUUUGUGUGCAUGUAUUUCAAGUCAUAUGGACCUAAAAAUUAGAAUCCAUUCCAUCUUUAUUCCCCUAGAGCCUUCCAGCAGUUCCUAAACCGCUCCAGUCGGAGCACAUUAUCAUUAUUGUUAGUUCUGAGUGAAUUCCCUCGGUAUGAUCAUUCUUUCAUCAGUUUGUUCCCCGUUUCUGCUCUAGUCUGAGCUUAACACACUAUUCUAGCUAGACAUGGGUGUGGCUCGUAACACCUGAUGACCAAACGGAUCUACGAUACCGUCGAAUCUCAAACUUUAACUACGAAAACUAUUGUUUUUCAUUCUAUAGUCCCUUUUAGAAUUACUAAACGUCCUUUUUUGGGCCGAGAUUUCCAGGAACGCUUUCUCGGGGUUUGUGUGCACGUAUUUCAAACAAUACGGACCUAAAAAUUAGAAUUCAUUCCAUCUUUAUUCCCCUAGAGCCUUCCGGCAGUUCCUAAACCGCUCAAGUCGGAGCACUUUAUCAUUCUUGUUAGUUCUCAGCGAAUUCCCUCGGUAUGAUCAUUCUUUCAUCAGUUUGUUCCCCAUUUCUUCUCUAGCCUGAGCCUAACACACUAUUCUAGCUACAAAUGGGUGUGGCUCGUCACACCCGAUGACCAAACGGAUCUACGGCACCGUUGAAUCUCAAACUUUAACUGCGAAAACUAUUGUUUUUCAUCCUGUAGUCCUUUUUAGAAUUACUAAACGUCCUUUUUUGGGACGAGAUUUCCGGGAACGCUUUCUCGAGGUUUGUGUGCGCGUAUUUCAAACCAUACGAACCUUAAAAUUAGAAUUCAUUCCAUCUUUAUUCCCCUAGAGCCUUCCAGCAGUUCCUAAACCGCUCCAGUCGGAGCACGUUAUCAUUCUUGUUAGUUCUGAGCGAAUUCCCUCGGUAUGAUCAUUCUUUCAUCAGUUUGUUCCUUGUUGCUUCUCUAGCCUGAGCCUGAUACACUAUUCUAGCUAGACAUGGGUGUGGCUCGUGACACCUGAUAACCAAACGGAUCUACAGCACCGUCGAAUCUCAAACUUUAACUACCAAAACUAUUGUUUUCAUUCUGUAGUCCCUUUUAAAUUACUAAACGUCAUUUUUUCGGCCGAGAUUUCCAGGAACGCUUUCUUGGGGUUUGUGUGCAUGUAUUUCAAAUCAUAAGGACCUAAAAAUUAGAAUCCAUUCCAUCUUUAUUUCCCUAGAGCCUUCCAGCAGUUCCUAAACCGCUCCAGUCAGAGCAUGUUAUCAUUAUUGUUAGUUCUGAGUGAAUUCCCUCGGUAUGAUCAUUAUUUCAUCAGUUUGUUCCCCGUUUCUUCUCUAGUCUGAGCCUAACACACUAUUCUAGCUAGACAUGGGUGUGGCUCGUAACACCCGAUGACCAAACGGAUCUACGGCACCGUCGAAUCUCAAACUUUAACUGCGAAAACUAUUGUUUUUCAUCCUUUAGUCCUUUUUAGAAUUACUAAACGUCCUUUUUUGGGACGAGAUUUCCAGGAACGCUUUCUCGGGGUUUGUGUGCGCGUAUUUAAAACCAUACGAACCUUAAAAUUAGAAUUCAUUCCAUCUUUAUUCCCCUAGAGCCUUCCAGUAGUUCCUAAACCGCUCCAGUCGGAGCACCUUAUCAUUCUUGUUAGUUCUGAGCAAAUUCCCUCGGUAUGAUCAUUCUUUCAUCAGUUUGAUCCCCGUUUCUUCUCUAGUCUGAGCCUAGCACACUAUUCUAGCUAUUAAUGGGUGUGGAUCGUAACACCUAAUGACCAAACGGAUCUACGUCACCAUCGAAUCUCAAACUUUAACUACCAAAACUAUUGUUUUUCAUCCUGUAGUCCCUUAAAAUUAGAAUUCAUUCCAUCUUUAUUCCCCUAGAGCCUUCCAGUAGUUCCUAAACCGCUCCAGUCGGAGCACAUUAUCAUUCUUGUUUGUUCUAAGCGAAUUCCCUCAGUAUGAUCAUUCUUUCAUCAUUUUGUUCCCGGUUUCUUCUCUAGUCUGAGUCUAGCACACUAUUCUAGCUAGACAUGGGUGUGGCUCGUAACACCUGAUGACCAAACGGAUCUACGGCAUCGUCGAAUCUCAAACUUUAAUUGCCAAAACUAUUGUUUUUCAUCCUGUAGUCUCUUUUAAAUUUACUAAACGUCCUUUUUUGGGCUGAGAUUUCCUGGAACGCUUUCGUGCGGUUUGUGUGCAAGUAUUUCAAAUCAUACGGACCUAUAAAUUAGAAGUCAUUUCAUCUUUAUUCCCCUAGAGCCUUUGAGCGGUUCCUAAACCGCUCUAGUCGGAGCAUGUUAUCAUUCUUGUUAGUUCUGAGUGAAUUCCCUCGGUAUGAUAAUUCUUUCAUCAGUUUGUUCCCCGUUUCUUCUCUAGUCUGAGCCUAGCACACUACUCUAGCUAGACAUGGGUUUGGCUCGUAACACCUGAUAACCAAACGGGUCUACGACACCAUCGAAUCUCAAACUUUUUUGGGCCGAGAUUUCCAGGAACGCUUUCUCGGGGUUUGUGUGCACGUAUUUCAAAUCAUGCGGACCUAAAAAUUAGAAGUCAUUCCAUAUUUAUUCCCCUAGAGCCUUCCAGCAGUUCCUAAACCGCUCCAGUCCGAGCAUGUUAUCAUUCUUGUUAGUUCUCAGGGAAUUCCCUCGGUAUGAUCAUUCUUUCAUCAGUUUGUUCCCCGUUUUUUCUCUAGCCUGAGCCUAACACACUAUUCUAGCUACACAUGGGUGUCGCUCGUAACACCUGAUGACCGAACAGAUCUACGGCACCAUCGAAUCUCAAACUUUAACUGCCAAAACUAUUGUUUUUCAUCCUGUAGUCCCUUUUAGAAUUACUAAACGUCUUUUUUUGGGCCGAGAUUUCCAGGAACGCUUUCUCGGGGUUUGUGUGGACGUAUUUCAAACCAUACGGACCUAAAAAUUAGAAGUCAUUCCAUCUUUAUUCCCCUAGAGCUUUCCAGCAGUUGCUAAACUGCUCUAGUCGGAGCAUGUUAUCAUUCUUGUUAGUUCUGAGUGAAUUCCCUCGGUAUGAUCAUUCUUUCAUCAGUUUGUUCCCCGUUUCUUCUCUAGUCUGAGCCUAGCACACUAUUCUAGAUAGACAUGGGUGUGGGUCAUAACACCUAAUGACCAAACGGAUCUACGGCACCCUCGAAUCUCAAACUUUAACUGCCAAAACUAUUGUUUUUCAUCUUGUAGUCCCUUUUAGAAUUACUAAACGUCCUUUUUUGGGUCGAGAUUUCCAGGAACGCUUUCUCGGGAUUUGUGUGCAUGUAUUUCAAACCAAAUGUUCCUACAAAUUAGAAGUCAUUCCAUAUUUAUUCCCCUAGAGCCUGCCAGCAGUUCCUAAACACCUCUAGUCGGAGCACGUUAUCAUUCUUGUUAGUUCUGAGCGAAUUCCCUCGGUAUGAUCAUUCUUUCAUCAGUUUGUUCUGCGUUUCUUCUCUAGUCUGAGCCUAGCACAUUAUUCUAGCUAUUAAUGGGUGUGGAUCGUAACACCUAAUGACCAAACGGAUCUACGGCACCAUCGAAUCACAAACUUUAACUGCCAAAACUAUUGUUUUUCAUCCUGUAGUCCCUUUUUGAAUUAUUAAACGUCCUUUUUUGGGCCAAGAUUUCCAGGAAUGCUUUCUCGGGGUUUGUGUGCAUGUAUUUCAAAUCAUACGGACCUAAAAAUUAGAAGGCAUUCCAUCUUUAUUCCCCUAGAGCCUUCCAGCAGUUCCUAAACCGCUCCAGUCGGAGCAUGUUAUCAUUCUUGUUAGUUCUGAGCGAAUUCCCUUGGUAUGAUCAUUCUUUCAUCAGUUUGUUCCCUGUUUCUUCUCUAGCCUGAGCCUGACACACUAUUCUAGCUAGACAUGGGUGUGGCUCGUGACACCUAAUGACCAAACGGAUCUACGGCACCGUCGAAUCUCAAACUUUAACUACCGAAACUAUUGUUUUUCAUUCUAUAGUCCCUUUUAAAUUACUAAACGUCAUUUUUUGGGCCGUGAUUUCCAGGAACGCUUUCUCGGGGUUUGUGUGCAUGUAUUUCAAGUCAUACGGACCUAAAAAUUAGAAUCCAUUCCAUAUUUAUUCCCCUAGAGCCUUCCAGCAGUUCCUAAACCGCUCCAAUUGGAGCACGUUAUCAUUAUUGUUAGUUCUGAGUGAAUUCCCUCGGUAUGAUCAUUCUUUCAUCAGUUUGUUCCCCAUUUCUUCUCUAGUCUGAGCCUAACACACUAUUCUAGCUAGACAUGGGUGUGGGUCGUAACACCUGAUGACCAAAAGGAUCUACGGCACCGUCGAAUCUCAAACUUUAACUACGAAAACUAUUGUUUUUCAUUCUAUAGUCCCUUUUAGAAUUACUAAACGUCCUUUUUUGGGCCGAGACUUCCAGGAACGCUUUCUCGGGGUUUGUGUGCGCGUAUUUCAAACAAUACAGACCUAAAUAUUAGAAUUCAUUCCAUCUUUAUUCCCCUAGAGCCUUCCAGCAGUUCCUAAACUGCUCCAGUCGGAGCACGUUAUCAUUCUUGUUAGUUCUCAGGGAAUUCCCUCGGUAUGAUCAUUCUUUCAUCAGUUUGUUCCCCGUUUCUUCUCUAGCCCGAGCCUAACACACUAUUCUAGCUACACAUGGGUGUGGCUCAUAACACCUGAUGACCAAACGGAUCUACGGCACCGUCGAAUCUCAAACUUUAACUGCCAAAACUAUUGUUUUUCAUCCUGUAGUCCCUUGUAGAAUUACUAAACGUCCUUUUUUGGGCCGAGAUUUCGAGGAACGCUUUGUCGGGGUCUGUGUGCAUGUAUUUCAAACCAUACGGACCUAAAAAUUAGAAUUCAUUCUAUCUUUGUUCCCCUAGAGCCUUCCAGCAGUUCCUAAACCGCUCUAGUCAGAGCAUGUUAUCAUUCUUGUUAGUUCUGAGCGAAUUCCCUCGGUAUGAUCAUUCUUUCAUCAGUUUGUUCCCUAUUUCUUCUCUAGCCUGAGCCUGACACACUAUUCUAGCUAGACAUGGGUGUGGCUCGUGACACCUGAUGACCAAACGGAUCUACGACACCGUCGAAUCUCAAACUUUAACUACUAAAACUAUUGUUUUUCAUUCUAUAGUCCCUUUUAAAUUACUAAACGUCAUUUUUUUGUUCGAGAUUUGCAGGAACGCUUUCUUGGGGUUUGUGUGCAUGUAUUUCAAAUCAUACGGACCUAAAAAUUAGAAUCCAUUCCAUCUUUAUUCCCCUAGAGCCUUCCAGCAGUUCGUUAACCGCUCCAGUCGGAGCACGUUAUCAUUAUUGUUAGUUCUGAGUGAAUUCCCUCGGUAUGAUCAUUCUUUGAUCAGUUUGUUCCUCGUUUCUUCUCUAGUCUAAGCCUAACACACUAUUCUAGCUAGACAUGGGUGUGGCUCGUAACACCCGAUGACCAAACGGAUCUACGGCACCGUCGAAUCUCAAACUUUAACUGCGAAAACUAUUGUUUUUCAUCCCGUAGUCCUUUUUAGAAUUACUAAACAUCCUUUUUUGGGACGAGAUUUCCAGGAACGCUUUCUCGGGGUUUGUGUGCGCGUGUUUCAAACCAUACGGACCUUAAAAUUAGAAUUCAUUCCAUCUUUAUUCCCCUAGAGCCUUCCAGCAGUUCCUAAACCGCUCCAGUCGGAGCACGUUAUCAUUCUUGUUAGUUCUGAGCAAAUUCCCUCGGUAUGAUCAUUCUUUCAUCAGUUUGUUCCCUGUUUCUUCUCUAGUAUGAGCCUAGCACACUAUUCUAGCUAUUAAUGGGUGUGUAUCGUGACACCUAAUGACCAAACGGAUCUACGGCACCAUCGAAUAUCAAACUUUAACUGCCAAAACUAUUGUUUUUCAUACUGUAGUCCCUUUUACAAUUAUUGAACGUCCCUUUUUGGGCCGAUAUUUCUAGGAACGCUUUCUCGGGGUUUGUGUGCAUGUAUUUCAAACCAAACGUUCCUUAAAAUUUGAAAGCAUUCCAUGUUUAUUCCCCUAGAGCCUUCCAGCAGUUCCUAAACCGCUCCAGUCGGAGCACGUUAUCAUUCUUGUCAGUUCUGAGCGAAUUCCCUCGGUAUGAUCAUUUUUUCAUCAGUUUGUUCCCUAUUUCUUCACUAGUCUGAGCCUCGCACACUAUUCUAGCUAUUAAUGGGUGUGGAUCGUAACACCUGAUGACCAAACGGAUCUACGGCACCGUCGAAUCUCAAACUUUAAUUGCCAAAACUAUUGUUUUUCAUUCUGUAGUCCCUUUUAAAUUACUAAACGUCAUUUUUUGGGCUGAGAUAUCCAACAACGCUUUCUCGGGGUUUGUGUGCAUGUAUUUCAAACCAAACGUUCCUAAAAAUUAGAAGUCAUUCCAUCUUUAUUCCCCUAGAGCCUUCCAGCAGUUCCUAAACAGCUCUAGACGGAGCACGUUAUCAUUCUUGUUAGUUCUGAGCGAAUUCCCUCGGUAUGAUCAUUCUUUCAUCAGUUUGUUCUGCAUUCUUCUCUAGUCUGAGCCUCGCACACUAUUCUAGCUAUCAAUGGGUGUGGAUCAUAACACUAAUGACCAAACGGAUCUACGACACCAUCGAAUCUCAAACUUUAACAGCCAAAACUAUUGUUUUUCAUCCUGUAGUCCCUUUUAGAAUUACUAAACGUCCUUUUUUGGGCCGAGAUUUCCAGGAACGCUUUCUCGGGGUUUGUGUGCAUGUAUUUCAAACCAUAUGGACCUAAAAAUUAGAAGUCAUUCCAUCUUUAUUCCCCUAGAGCCUUCCAGCAGUUCCUAAACUGCUCUAGUCGGAGCAUGUUAUCAUUCUUGUUAGUUCUGAGUGAAUUCCCUCGGUAUGAUCAUUCUUUCAUCAGUUUGUUCCCCAUUUCUUCGCUAGUCUGAGCCUAGCACACUAUUCUAGAUAGACAUGGGUGUGGGUCUUAACACCUGAUGACCAAACGGAUCUACGGCACCCUCGAAUCUGAAACUUUAACUGCCAAAACUAUUGUUUUUCAUCUUGUAGUCCCUUUUAGAAUUACUAAACGUCCUUUUUUGGGACGAGAUUUCCAGAAUGCUUUCUCGGGGUUUGUGUGCAUGUAUUUCAAACCAAACGUUCCUAAAAAUUAAAAGUCAUUCCAUCUUUAUUCCCCUAGAGCCUUCCAGCAGUUCCUAAACAGCUCUAGUCGGAGCAUGUUAUCAUUCUUGUUAGUUCUGAGUGAAUUCCCUCGGUAUGAUCAUUCUUUCAUCAGUUUGUUCCCCGUUUCUUCUCUAGUCUGAGCCUAGCACACUACUCUAGCUAGACAUGGGUUUGGCUCGUAACACCUGAUAACCAAACGGGUCUACGACACCAUCGAAUCUCAAACUUUUUUGGGCCGAGAUUUCCAGGAACGCUUUCUCGNNNNNNNNNNUCGCUAGCCUAAGCCUGACACACUAUUCUAGCUACACAUGGGUGUGGCUCGUGACACCUAAUGACCAAACAGAUCUACGGCACCGUCGAAUCUCAAACUUUAACUACCAAAACUAUUGUUUUUCAUUCUGUAGUCCCUUUUAAAUUACUAAACGUCAUUUUUUGGGCCGAGAUUUCUAGGAACGCUUUCUCAGGGUUUGUGUGCAUGUAUUUCAAGUCAUAUGGACCUAAAAAUUAGAAUCCAUUCCAUCUUUAUUCCCCUAGAGCCUUCCAGCAGUUCCUAAACCGCUCCAGUCGGAGCACAUUAUCAUUAUUGUUAGUUCUGAGUGAAUUCCCUCGGUAUGAUCAUUCUUUCAUCAGUUUGUUCCCCGUUUCUGCUCUAGUCUGAGCUUAACACACUAUUCUAGCUAGACAUGGGUGUGGCUCGUAACACCUGAUGACCAAACGGAUCUACGAUACCGUCGAAUCUCAAACUUUAACUACGAAAACUAUUGUUUUUCAUUCUAUAGUCCCUUUUAGAAUUACUAAACGUCCUUUUUUGGGCCGAGAUUUCCAGGAACGCUUUCUCGGGGUUUGUGUGCACGUAUUUCAAACAAUACGGACCUAAAAAUUAGAAUUCAUUCCAUCUUUAUUCCCCUAGAGCCUUCCGGCAGUUCCUAAACCGCUCAAGUCGGAGCACUUUAUCAUUCUUGUUAGUUCUCAGCGAAUUCCCUCGGUAUGAUCAUUCUUUCAUCAGUUUGUUCCCCAUUUCUUCUCUAGCCUGAGCCUAACACACUAUUCUAGCUACAAAUGGGUGUGGCUCGUCACACCCGAUGACCAAACGGAUCUACGGCACCGUUGAAUCUCAAACUUUAACUGCGAAAACUAUUGUUUUUCAUCCUGUAGUCCUUUUUAGAAUUACUAAACGUCCUUUUUUGGGACGAGAUUUCCGGGAACGCUUUCUCGAGGUUUGUGUGCGCGUAUUUCAAACCAUACGAACCUUAAAAUUAGAAUUCAUUCCAUCUUUAUUCCCCUAGAGCCUUCCAGCAGUUCCUAAACCGCUCCAGUCGGAGCACGUUAUCAUUCUUGUUAGUUCUGAGCGAAUUCCCUCGGUAUGAUCAUUCUUUCAUCAGUUUGUUCCUUGUUGCUUCUCUAGCCUGAGCCUGAUACACUAUUCUAGCUAGACAUGGGUGUGGCUCGUGACACCUGAUAACCAAACGGAUCUACAGCACCGUCGAAUCUCAAACUUUAACUACCAAAACUAUUGUUUUCAUUCUGUAGUCCCUUUUAAAUUACUAAACGUCAUUUUUUCGGCCGAGAUUUCCAGGAACGCUUUCUUGGGGUUUGUGUGCAUGUAUUUCAAAUCAUAAGGACCUAAAAAUUAGAAUCCAUUCCAUCUUUAUUUCCCUAGAGCCUUCCAGCAGUUCCUAAACCGCUCCAGUCAGAGCAUGUUAUCAUUAUUGUUAGUUCUGAGUGAAUUCCCUCGGUAUGAUCAUUAUUUCAUCAGUUUGUUCCCCGUUUCUUCUCUAGUCUGAGCCUAACACACUAUUCUAGCUAGACAUGGGUGUGGCUCGUAACACCCGAUGACCAAACGGAUCUACGGCACCGUCGAAUCUCAAACUUUAACUGCGAAAACUAUUGUUUUUCAUCCUUUAGUCCUUUUUAGAAUUACUAAACGUCCUUUUUUGGGACGAGAUUUCCAGGAACGCUUUCUCGGGGUUUGUGUGCGCGUAUUUAAAACCAUACGAACCUUAAAAUUAGAAUUCAUUCCAUCUUUAUUCCCCUAGAGCCUUCCAGUAGUUCCUAAACCGCUCCAGUCGGAGCACCUUAUCAUUCUUGUUAGUUCUGAGCAAAUUCCCUCGGUAUGAUCAUUCUUUCAUCAGUUUGAUCCCCGUUUCUUCUCUAGUCUGAGCCUAGCACACUAUUCUAGCUAUUAAUGGGUGUGGAUCGUAACACCUAAUGACCAAACGGAUCUACGUCACCAUCGAAUCUCAAACUUUAACUACCAAAACUAUUGUUUUUCAUCCUGUAGUCCCUUAAAAUUAGAAUUCAUUCCAUCUUUAUUCCCCUAGAGCCUUCCAGUAGUUCCUAAACCGCUCCAGUCGGAGCACAUUAUCAUUCUUGUUUGUUCUAAGCGAAUUCCCUCAGUAUGAUCAUUCUUUCAUCAUUUUGUUCCCGGUUUCUUCUCUAGUCUGAGUCUAGCACACUAUUCUAGCUAGACAUGGGUGUGGCUCGUAACACCUGAUGACCAAACGGAUCUACGGCAUCGUCGAAUCUCAAACUUUAAUUGCCAAAACUAUUGUUUUUCAUCCUGUAGUCUCUUUUAAAUUUACUAAACGUCCUUUUUUGGGCUGAGAUUUCCUGGAACGCUUUCGUGCGGUUUGUGUGCAAGUAUUUCAAAUCAUACGGACCUAUAAAUUAGAAGUCAUUUCAUCUUUAUUCCCCUAGAGCCUUUGAGCGGUUCCUAAACCGCUCUAGUCGGAGCAUGUUAUCAUUCUUGUUAGUUCUGAGUGAAUUCCCUCGGUAUGAUAAUUCUUUCAUCAGUUUGUUCCCCGUUUCUUCUCUAGUCUGAGCCUAGCACACUACUCUAGCUAGACAUGGGUUUGGCUCGUAACACCUGAUAACCAAACGGGUCUACGACACCAUCGAAUCUCAAACUUUUUUGGGCCGAGAUUUCCAGGAACGCUUUCUCGGGGUUUGUGUGCACGUAUUUCAAAUCAUGCGGACCUAAAAAUUAGAAGUCAUUCCAUAUUUAUUCCCCUAGAGCCUUCCAGCAGUUCCUAAAUCGCUCUAGUCCGAGCAUGUUAUCAUUCUUGUUAGUUCUGAGCGAAUUCCCUCGCUAUGAUCAUUCUUUCAUCAGUUUGUUCUGCGUUUCUUCUCUAGUCUGAGCCUAGCACACUAUUCUAGCUAUUAAUGGGUGUGGAUCGUAACACAUAAUGACCAAACGGAUCUACGGUACCUUCGAAUCUCAAACUUUAACUGCCAAAACUAUUGUUUUUCAUCCUGUAGUCCCUUUUCGAAUUAUUAAACGUCCUCUUUUGGGCCGAGAUUUCUAGGAACGCUUUCUAGGGGUUGGUGUGCAUGUAUUUCAAAUCAUACGGACCUAAAAAUUAGAAGGCAUUUCAUCUUUAUUCCCCUAGAGCCUUCCAACAGUUCCUAAGCCGCUCCAGUCGGAGCAUGUUAUCAUUCUUGUUAGUUCUGAGCGAAUUCCCUCGGUAUGAUCAUUCUUUCAUUAGUUUGUUCCCUAUUUCUUCUCUAGCCUUAGCCUGACACACUAUUCUAGCUAGAAAUGGGUGUGUCUCGUGACACCUAAUGACCAAACGGAUCUACGGCACCGUCGAAUCUCAAACUUUAACUACCAAAACUAUUAUUUUUCAUUCUGUAGUCCCUUUGAAAUUACUAAAUGUCAUUUUUUGGGCCGAGAUUUCCAGGAACGCUUUCUCGGGGUUUGUGUGCAUGUAUUUCAAGUCAUACGGACCUAAAAAUUAAAAUCCAUUCCAUCUUUAUUCCCCUAGAGCCUUCCAGCAGUUCCUAAACCGCUCCAGUCGGAGCAUGUUAUCAUUAUUGUUAGUGCUGAGUGAAUUCCCUCGGUAUGAUCAUUCUUUCAUCAGUUUGGUCCCUGUUUCUUCUCUAGUCUGAGCCUAACACACUAUUCUAGCUAGACAUGGGUGUGGCUCGUAACACCUGAUGACCAAACGGAUCUACGGCACCGUCGAAUCUCAAACUUUAACGACGAAAACUAUUGUUUUUCAUUCUAUAAUCCCUUUUAGAAUUACUAAACGUCCUUUUUUGGGACGAGAUUUCCAGGAACGCUUUCUCCGGGUUUGUGUGUGAGUAUUUCAAACAAUACGGACCUAAAAAUUUGAAUUCAUUCCAUCUUUAUUGCCCUAGAGCCUUCCAGCAGUUCCGAAACCGCUCCAGUCGGAGCACGUUAUCAUUCUUGUUAGUUCUCAGGGAAUUCCCUUGGUAUGAUCAUUCUUUCAUCAGUUUGUUCCCCGUUUCUUCUCUAGCCUGAGCCUAACACACUAUUCUAGCUACACAUGGGUGUGGCUCCUAACACCUGAUGACCAAACGGAUCUAUGGCACCGUCGAAUCUCAAACUUUAACUGCCAAAACUAUUGUUUUUCAUCCUGUAGUCCCUUGUAGAAUUACUAAACGUCCUUUUUUGGGUCUAGAUUUCGAGGAACACUUUGCCGGGGUUUGUGUGCACGUAUUUCAAACCAUACGGACCUAAAAGUUAGAAGUCAUUCAGUCUUUGUUCCCCUAGAGCCUUCCAGCAGUUCCUAAACCGCUCCAGUCGGAGCAUGUGAUCGUUCUUGUUAGUUCUGAGCGAAUUCCCUCGUUAUGAUCAUUCUUUCAUCAGUUUGUUCCCUGUUUCUUCUCUAUCCUGAGCCUGACACACUAUUCUAGCUAGACAUGGGUGUGGCUCGUGACACCUGAUGACCAAACGGAUCUACGGCACCGUCGAAUCUCAAACUUUAACUACCAAAACUAUUGUUUUUCAUUCUGUAGUCCCUUUUAAAUUACUAAACAUCAUUUUUUGGACAGAGAUUUCGAGGAAUGCUUUCUCGGGGUUUGUGUGCAUGUAUUUCAAAUCAUACGGGCCUAAAAAUUAGAAUCCAUUCCAUCUUUAUUCCCCUGGAGCCUUCCAGCAGUUCCUAAACCGCUCCAGUCGGAGCAUGUUAUCAUUAUUGUUAGUUCUGAGUGAAUUCCCUCGGUAUGAUCAUUCUUUCAUCAGUUUGCUCCCCGUUUCUUCUCUAGUCUGAGCCUAACACACUAUUCUAGCUAGACAUGGGUGUGGCUCGUAACACCUGAUGACCAAACGGAUCUACGGCACCCUCGAAUCUCAAACUUUAACUGCCAAAACUAUUGUUUUUCAUCUUGUAGUCCCUUUUAGAAUUACUAAACAUCCUUUUUUGGGCCGAGAUUUCCAGGAACGCUUUCUCGGGGUUUGUGUGCAUGUAUUUCAAACCAAACGUUCCUAAAAAUUAGAAGGCAUUCCAUCUUUAUUCCCCUAGAGCCUUCCAGAAGUUCCUAAACAGCUCUAGUCGGAGCAUGUUAUCAUUCUUGUUAUUUCUGAGUGAAUUCCCUCGGUAUGAUCAUUCUUUCAUCAGCAUCAGUUUGUUUUGCGUUUCUUCUCUAGUCUGAGCCUAGCACACUAUUCUAGCUAUUAAUGGGUGUGGAUCGUAACACCUAAUGACCAAACGGAUCUACGGCACCAUCGAAUCUCAAACUUUAACUGCCAAAACUAUUGUUUUUCAUCCUGUAGUCCCUUUCCGAAUUAUUAAACGUUCUUUUUUGGGCCGAGAUUUCCAGGAACGCUUUCUCGGAGUUUGUGUGCAUGUAUUUCAAAUCAUACGGACCUAAAAAUUAGAAGGCGUUCCAUCUUUAUUCCCCUAGAGCCUUCCAGCAGUUCCUAAACCGCUCCAGUCGGAGCAUGUUAUCAUUCUUGUUAGUUCUGAGCGAAUUCCCUCGGUAUGAUCAUUCUUUCAUUAGUUUGUUCCCUGUUUCUUCGCUAGCCUGAGCCCGACAUACUAUUCUAGCUAGACAUGGGUGUGGCUCGUGACACCUAAUAACCAAACGGAUCUACGGCACCGUCGAAUCUCAAACUUUAACUGCAAAAACUAUUGUUUUUCAUUCUGUAGUCCCUUUUCAAUUACUAAACAUCCUUUUUUGGGCCGAGAUUUCCAGGAACGCUUUCUCGGGGUUUGUGUGCAUGUAUUUCAAGUCAUACAGACCUAAAAAUUAGAAUCCAUUCCAUCUUUAUUCCCCUAGAGCCUUCCAGCAGUUCCUAAACCGCUCCAGUCGGAGCACGUUAUCAUUAUUGUUAGUUCUGAGUGAAUUCCCUCGGUAUUAUCAUUCUUUCAUCAGUAUGUUCCCCGUUUCUUCUCUAGUCUGAGCCUAACACACUAGUCUAGCUAGACAUGGGUGUGGCUCGUAACACCUGAUGACCAAACGGAUCUACGGCACCAUCGAAUCUCAAACUUUAACUACGAAAACUAUUGUUUUUCAUUCUAUAGUCCCUUUUAGAAUUACUAAACGUCCUUUUUUGGCCCGAGAUUUCCAGGAACGCUUUCUCGGGGUUUGUGUGCGCGUAUUUCAAACAAUACGGACCUAAAAAUUAGAAUUCAUUCCAUCUUUAUUCCCCUAGAGCCCUCCAGUAGUUCCUAAACCGCUCCAGUCGGAGCACGUUAUCAUUCUUGUUAGUUCUGAGGGAAUUCCCUCGGUAUGAUCAUUCUUUCAUCAGUUUGUUCCCUGUUUCUUCUCUAGCCUGAGCCUAACACACUAUUCUAGCUACACAUGGGUGUGGCUCCUAACACCUGAUGACCAAACGGAUAUACGGCACCGUCGAAUCUCAAACUUUAACUGCCAAAACUAUUGUUUUUCAUCCUGUAGUCCCUUGUAGAAUUACUAAACAUCCUUUUUGGGCCGUGAUUUCGAGGAAUGCUUUGUCGGGUUUGUGUGCACGUAUUUCAAACCAUACGGACCAAAAAAUUAUAAGUCAUUCCAUCUUUGUUCCCCUAGAGCCUUCCAUCAGUUCCUAAACCGCUCCAGUCGGAGUAUGUUAUCAUUCUUGUUAGUUCUGAGCGAAUUCCCUCGGUAUGAUCAUGCUUUCAUCAGUUUGUUCCCUGUUUCUUCUCUAGCCUGAGCCUGACACACUAUUCUAGCUAGACAUGGGUGUGGCUCGUGAGACCUGAUGACCUAACGGAUCUACGGCACCGUCGAAUCUCAAACUUUAACUACCAAACCUAUUGUUUUUCAUUCUGUAGUCCCUUUUAAAUUACUAAACGUCAUUUUUUUGGCCGAGAUUUCCAGGAACGCUUUCUUGGGGUUUGUGUGCAUGUAUUUCAAAUCAUACGGACCUAAAAAUUAGAAUCCAUUCCAUCUUUAUUCCCCUAGAGCCUUCCAGCAGUUCCUAAACCGCUCCAGUCGGAGCACGUUAUCAUUAUUGUUAGUUCUGAGUGAAUUCCCUCGGUAUGAUCAUUCUUUCAUCAGUUUGUUCCCCGUUUCUUCUCUAGUCUGAGCCUAACACACUAUUCUAGCUAGACAUGGGUGUGGCUCGUAACACCCGAUGACCAAACGAAUCUAUGGCACCGUCGAAUCUCAAACUGUAAGUGCCAAAACUAUUGUUUUUCAUCCUGUAGUCCCUUUUAGAAUUACUAAACGUCCUUUUUUGGGCAGAUAUUUCCAGGAACGCUUUAUCGGGGUUUGUGUGCGCGUAUUUCAAACCAUACGGACCUAAAAAUUAGAAGUCAUUCCAUCUUUAUUCCCCUAGAGCCUUCUAGCAGUUCCUAAACCGCUCCAGUCGGAGCACGUUAUCAUUCUUGUUAGUUCUGAGCAAAUUCCCUCGGUAUGAUCAUUCUUUCAUCAGUUUGUUCCCCGUUUCUUCUCUAGUCUGAGCCUAGCACACUAUUCUAGCUAUUAAUGGGUGUGGAUCGUAACACCUAAUGACCAAACGGAUCUACGGCACCAUCGAAUCUCAAAUUUAACUGCCAAAACUAUUGUUUUUCAUCCUGUAGUCCCUUUUACAAUUAUUAAACGUCCUUUUUUGGGCCGAGAUUUCCAGGAUCGCUUUCUCGGGGUUUGUGUGCAUGUAUUUCAGACCAAACGUUCCUAAAAAUUUGAAGGCAUUCCAUCUUUAUUCCCCUAGAGCCUUCCAGCGGUUCCUAAACCGCUCCAGUCGGAGCACGUUAUCAUUCUUGUUUGUUCUGAGCGAAUUCCCUCAGUAUGAUCAUUCUUUCAUCAUUUUGUUCCCGGUUUCUUCUCUAGUCUGAGUCUAGCACACUAUUCUAGCUAGACAUGGGUGUGGCUCGUAACACCUAAUGACCAAACGGAUCUACGGCACCGUCGAAUCUCAAACUUUAACUGCCAAAACUAUUGUUUUUCAUCCUGUAGUCCCUUUUAAAUUUACUAAACGUCCUUUUUUGGGCUGAGAUUUCCAGGAACGCUUUCGUGCGGUUUGUGUGCAAGUAUUUCAAAUCAUACGGACCUAUAAAUUAGAAGUCAUUUCAUCUUUAUUCCCCUAGAGCCUUCGAGCGGUUCCUAAACCGCUCCAGUCGGAGCAUGUUAUCAUUCUUGUUAGUUCUGAGUGAAUUCCCUCGGUAUGAUCAUUCUUUCAUCAGUUUGUUCCCCGUUUCUUCUCUAGUCUGAACCUAGCACACUACUCUAGCUAGACAUGGGUUUGGCUCGUAACACCUGAUAACCAAACGGGUCUACGACACCAUCGAAUCUCAAACUUUUUUGGGCCGAGAUUUCCAGGAACGCUUUCUCGGGGUUUGUGUGCACGUAUUUCAAAUCAUGCGGACCUAAAAAUUAGAAGUCAUUCCAUAUUUAUUCCCCUAGAGCCUUCCAGCAAUUCCUAAACCGCUCCAGUCGGAGCAUGUUAUCAUUCUUGCUAGUUCUCAGGGAAUUCCCUCGGUACGAUCAUUCUUUCAUUAGUUUGUUCCCCGUUUUUUCUCUAGCCUGAGCCUAACACACUAUUCUAGCUACACAUGGGUGUGGCUCGUAACACCUGAUGACCAAACGGAUCUAUGGCACCGUCGAAUCUCAAACUUUAACUGCCAAAACUAUUGUUUUUCAUCCUAUAGUCCCUUUUAGAAUUACUAAACGUCCUUUUUUGGGCCGAGAUUUCCAGGAACGCUUUCUCGGGGUUUGUGUGCACGUAUUUCAAACCAUACGGACCUAAAAAUUAGAAGUCAUUCCAUCUUUAUUCCCCUAGAGCCUUCCAGCAGUUCCUAAACUUCUCUAGUCGGAGCAUGUUAUCAUUCUUGUUAGUUCUGAGUGAAUUCCCUCGGUAUGAUCAUUCUUUCAUCAGUUUGUUCUUCGUUUCUUCUCUAGUCUGAGCCUAGCACACUAUUCUAGAUAGACAUGGGUGUGGGUCAUAACACCUGAUGACCAAACGGAUCUACGGCACCCUCGAAUCUCAAACUUUAACUGCCAAAACUAUUGUUUUUCAUCUUGUAGUCCCUUUUAGAAUUACUAAACGUCCUUUUUUGGGCCGAGAUUUCCAGGAACGCUUUCUCGGGGUUUGUGUGCAUAUAUUUCAAACCAAACGUUCCUAAAAAUUAGAAGUCAUUCCAUCUUUAUUCCCCUAGAGGCUUCCAGUAGUUCCUAAACAGCUCUAGUCGGAGCACGUUAUCAUUCUUGUUAGUUCUGAGCGAAUUCCCUCGGUAUGAUCAUUCUAUCAUCUGUUUGUUCCCUGUUUCUUCGCUAGCCUAAGCCUGACACACUAUUCUAGCUAGACAUGGGUGUGGCUCGUGACACCUAAUGACCAGACGGAUCUACGGCACCAUCGAAUCACAAACUUUAACUGCCAAAACUAUUGUUUUUCAUCCUGUAGUCCCUUUUUGAAUUAUUAAACGUCCUUUUUUGGGCCGAUAUUUCCAGGAACGCUUUCUAGGGGUUUGUGUGCAUGUAUUUCAAAUCAUACGGACCUAAAAAUUAGAAGGUAUUCCAUCUUUAUUCCCCUAGAGCCUUCCAGCAGUUCCUAAACCGCUCCAGUCGGAGCAUGUUAUCAUUCUUGUUAGUUCUGAGCGAAUUCCCUCGGUAUGAUCAUUCUUUCAUCAGUUUGUUCCCUGUUUCUUCUCUAGCCUGAGCCUGGCACACUAUUCUAGCUUGACAUGGGUGUGGCUCAUGACACCUAAUGACCAAACGGAUCUACGGCACCAUCAAAUCUCAAACUUUAGCUACCAAAACUAUUGUUUUUCAUUCUGUAGUCCCUUUUAAAUUACUAAACGUCAUUUUUGGGCCGAGAUUUCCAGGAACGCUUUCUCGGGAUUUGUGUGCUUGUAUUUCAAGUUAUACGGACCUAAAAAUUAGAAUCCAUUCCAUCUUUAUUCCCCUAGAGCCUUCCAGCAGUUCCUAAACCGCUCCAGUCGAAGCACGUUAUCAUUAUUGUUAGUUCUGAGUGAAUUCCCUCGGUACGAUCAUUCUUUCAUCAGUUUGUUCCCCGUUUCUUCUCUAGUCUGAGCCUAACACACUAUUCUAGCUAGACAUGGGUGUGGCUCGUAACACCUGAUGACCAAACGGAUCUAAGGCACCGUCGAAUCUCAAACUUUAACUACGAAAACUAUUGUUUUUCAUUCUAUAGUCCCUUUUAGAAUUACUAAACAUCCUUUUCUGGGACGAGAUUUCCAGGAAGGCUUUCUUGGGGUUUGUGUGCGUGUAUUUCAAACAAUACGGACCUGAAAAUUAGAAUUCAUUCCAUCUUUAUUCCCCUAGAGCCUUCCAGCAGUUCCUAAACCGCUACAGUCGGAGCACGUUAUCAUUCUUGUUAGUUCUGAGGGAAUUCCCUUAGUAUGAUCAUUCUUUCAUCAGUUUGUUCCCCGUUUCUUCUCUAGCCUGAGCCUAACACACUAUUUUAGCUACACAUGGGUGUGGCUCGUAACACCUGAUGACCAAACGGAUCUACGGCAUCGUCGAAUCUCAAACUUUAACUGCCAAAACUAUUGUUUUUCAUCCUGUAGUCCCUUGUAGAAUUACUAAACGUCCUUUUUUGGGCCGAGAUUUGGAGGAACACUUUGUCGAGGUUUGUGUGAACGUAUUUCAAACCAUACGGACCUAAAAAUUAGAAGUCAUUCCAUCUUUGUUCCCCUAGAGCCUUCCAGCAGUUCCUAAACCGCUCCAGUCGGAGCAUGUUAUCAUUCUUGUUAGUUCUGAGGGAAUUCCCUCGGUAUGAUCAUUCUUUCAUCAGUUUGUUCCCUGUUUCUUCUCUAGCCUGAGCCUGACACACUAUUCUAGCUAGACAUGGGUGUGGCUCGUGACACCUGGUGACCAAACGGAUCUACGGCACCGUCGAAUCUCAAACUUUAACUACGAAAACUAUUGUUUUUCAUCCUGUAGUCCUUUUUAGAAUUACUAAACGUCCUUUUUUGGGCCGAGAUUUCGAGGAACGCUUUGUCGGGGUUUGUGUGCGCGUAUUUCAAACCAUACGGACCUAAAAAUUAGAAGUCAUUCCAUCUUUAUUCCCCUAGAGCCUUCCAGUAGUUCCUAAACAGCUCUAGUCGGAGCACGUUAUCAUUCUUGUUAGUUCUGAGCGAAUUCCCUCGGUAUGAUCAUUCUUUCAUCAGUUUGUUCUGCGUUUCUUCUCUAGUCUGAGCCUAGCACACUAUUCUAGCUAUUAAUGGGUGUGGAUCGUAACACCUAAUGACCAAACGGAUCUACGACACCGUCGAAUGUCGGUAUGAUCAUUCUUUCAUCAGUUUGUUCCCUGUUUCUUCUCUAGCCUGAGCCUGACACACCAUUCUAGCUAGACAUGGGUGUGGCUCGUGACACCUGAUGACCAAACGGAUCUACGGCACCGUCGAAUCUCACGCUUUCUCGGGGUCUGUGUGCAUGUAUUUCAAAUCAUACGGACCUAAAAAUUAGAAUCCAUUCCAUCUUUAUUCCCCUAGAGCCUUCCAGCAGUUCCUAAACCGCUCCAGUCGGAGCACACUAUCAUUAUUGUUAGUUCUGAGUGAAUUCCCUCGGUAUGAUCAUUCUUUCAUCAGUUUGUUCCCCGUUUCUUCUCUAGUCUGAGCAUAACACACUAUUCUAGCUAGACACGGGUGUGGCUGUAACACCCGAUGACCAAACGGAUCUACGGCACCGUCGAAUCUCAAACUUUAACUACGAAAACUAUUGUUUUUCAUCCUGUAGUCCUUUUUAGAAUUACUAAACGUCCUUUUUUGGGACGAGAUUUCCAGGAACGCUUUCUCGGGGUUUGUGUGCGCGUAUUUCAAACCAUAUGAACCUUAAAAUUAGAAUUCAUUCCAUCUUUAUUCCCCUAGAGCCUUCCAGCAGUUCCUAAACCGCUCCAGUCGGAGCACGUUAUCAUUCUUGUUUGUUCUGAGCAAAUUCCCUCAGUAUGAUCAUUCUUUCAUCAUUUUGUUCCCGGUUUCUUCUCUAGUCUGAGUCUAGCACACUAUUCUAGCUAGACAUGGGUGUGGCUCAUAACACCUAAUGACCAAACGGAUCUACGGCACCAUCGAAUCUCAAACUUUAACUGCUAAAACUAUUGUAUUUCAUCCUUUAGUCCCUUAUCAUUCUUGUUAGUUCUGAGUGAAUUCCCUUGGUAUGAUCAUUCUUUCAUCAGUUUGUUCCCCGUUUCUUCUCUAGUCUGAGCCUAGCACACUAUUCUAGCUAGACAUGGGUGUGGCUCAUAACACCUUAUGACCAAACGGAUCUACGGCACCAUCGAAUCUCAAACUUUAACUGCCAAAACUAUUGUUUUUCAUCCUGUAGUCCCUUUUAGAAUUACUAAACGUCCUUUUUUGGGCAGAUAUUUCCAGGAACGCUUUAUCGGGGUUUGUGUGCACAUAUUUCAGACCAUACGGACCUAAAAAUUAGAAGUCAUUCCAUCUUUAUUCCCCUAUAGCCUUCCAGCAGUUCCUAAACCACUCCAGUCGGAGCACGUUAUCAUUCUUGUUAGUUCUGAGCGAAUUCCCUCGAUAUGAUCAUUCUUUCAUCAAUUUGUUCCCCGUUUCUUCUCUAGUCUAAGCCUAGCAAACUAGUCUAGCUAGACAUGGGUGUGGCUCGUAACACCUGAUGACCAAACGCAUCUAUGACAUCGUCAAAUCUCAAACUAUAACUGCCAAAACUAUUGUUUUUCAUCCUGUAGUCCCUUUUAGAAUACUAAACGUCCUUUUUUGGGCCGAGAUUUCCACGAUCGCUUUCUCGGGGUUUGUGUGCAUGUAUUUCAAACCAAACGUUCCUAAAAAUUUGAAGGCAUUCUAUCUUUAUUCCCCUAGAGCCUUCCAGCAGUUCCUAAACCGCUCCAGUCGGAGCACGUUAUCAUUCUUGUUUGUUCUGAGCGAAUUCCCUCAGUAUGAUCAUUCUUUCAUCAUUUUGUUCCCGGUUUCUUCUCUAGUCUGAGUCUAGCACACUAUUCUAGCUAGACAUGGGUGUGGCUCGUAACACCUAAUGACCAAACGGAUCUACGGCACCGUCGAAUCUCAAACUUUAACUGCUAAAACUAUUGUUUUUCAUCCUUUAGUCCCUUGUAGAAUUACUAAACGUCCUUUUUUGGGCCGAGAUUUCGAGGAACGCUUUGUCGGGGUUUGUGUGCACGUAUUUCAAACCAUACGGACCUAAAAAUUAGAAGUCAUUCCAUCUUUGUUCCCUUAGAGCCUUCCAGCAGUUCCUAAACCGCUCCAGUCGGAGCACGUUAUCAUUCUUGUUAGUUCUGAGCAAAUUCCCUCGGUAUGAUCAUUCUUUCAUCAGUUUGUUCCCUGUUUCUUCUCUAGUCUGAGCCUAGCACACUAUUCUAGCUAUUAAUGGGUGUGGAUCGUAACACCUGAUAACCAAACGGAUCUACGACACCGUCGAAUCUCAAACUUUAACUGCCAAAACUACUGUUUUUCAUUCCGUAGUCCCUUUUAAAUUACUAAACGUCAUUUUUUGGGCAGAGAUAUCCAGGAACGCUUUCUCGGGGUUUGUGUGCACGUAUUUCAAAUCAUACGGACCUAAAAAUUAGAAUCCAUACCAUCUUUAUUCCCCUGGAGCUUUCCAGCAGUUCCUAAACCGCUCCAGUCGGAGCACGUUAUCAUUAUUUUUAGUUCUGAGUGAAUUCCCAUGGUAUGAUCAUUUUCUCAUCAGUUUGUUCCCCGUUUCUUCUCUAGUCUGAGCCUAUCACACUAUUCUAGCUAGACAUGGGUGUGGCUCGUAACACCUGAUGACCAAACGGAUCUACGGCACCGUCGAAUCUCAAACUUCAACUGCCAAAACUAUUAUUUUUCAUCCUGUAGUCCCUUUUAGAAUUACUAAAUGUCCUUUUUUGGGCCGAGAUUUCCAGGAACGCUUUCUCGGGGUUUGUGUGCAUGUAUUUCAAACCAUACGGACCUAAAAAUUAGGUCAUUCCAUCUUUAUUCCCCUAGAGCCUUCCAGCAGUUCCUAAACCGCUCCAGUCGGAGCACGUUAUCAUUCUUGUUUGUUCUGAGCGAAUUCCCUCGAUAUGAUCAUUCUUUCAUCAGUUUGUCCCCCGUUUCUUCUCUAGCCUGAGCCUGACACACUAUUCUAGCUAGACAUGGGUGUGGCUCGUAACACCUAAUGACCAAACGGAUCUACGGCACCGUUGAAUCUCAAACUUUAACUGCCAAAACUAUUGUUUUUCAUUAUGUAGUCCCUUUUAAAUUACUAAACGUCAUUUUUUGGGCUGAGAUAUCCAGGAAAGCUUUCUCGGGGUUUGUGUGCACGUAUUUCAAAUCAUACGGACCUAAAAAUUAGAAGUCAUUCCAUAUUUAUUCCCCUAGAGCCUUCCAGAAAUUCCUAAACCGCUCCAGUUGGACCACGUUAUCAUUCUUGUUAGUUCUGAGUGAAUUACCUCAGUAUGAUCAUUCUUUCAUCAGUUUGUUCCCCGUUUCUUCUAUAGUCUGAGCCUAGCACACUACUCUAGCUAGACAUGGGUGUGGCUCGUAACACCUGAUGACCAAACAGAUCUACGACACCGUCAAAUCUCAAACUUUAACUGCCAAAACUAUUGUUUUUCAUCCUGUAGUCCCUUUUAGAAUUACUAAACGUCCUUUUUUGGGCUGAGAUUUCCAGGAACGCUUUCGCGGGGUUUGUGUGCACGUAUUUUAAACCAUACGGACCUAAAAAUUAGAAGUCAUUCCAUCUUUAUUCCCCUAGAGCCUAACACACUAUUAUAGCUAGACAUGGGUGUGGCUCGUAACACCUGAUGACCAAACGGAUCUACGGCACCAUCGAAUCUCAAACUUUAACUGCCAAAACUAUUGUAUUUCAUCAUGUAGUCCCUUUUAGAAUUAUUAAACGUCCUUUUUUUGGGCCGUGAUUUCCAUGAACGCUUUCUCGGGGUUUCUGUGCACGUAUUUCAAAUCAUACAGACCUAAAAAUUAGAAGGCAUUUCAUCUUUAUUCCCCUAGAGCCUUCCAGCAGUUCCUAAACCGCUCCAGUCGGACCAUGUUAUCAUUCUUGUUAGUUCUGAGUGAAUUCCCUCGAUAUGAUCAUUCUUUCAUCAGUUUGUUCCCCGUUUCUUCUCUAGUCUGAGCCUAGCUCACUAUUCUAGCUAGAUAUGGGUGUGGCUCAUAAUACCCGAUGACCAAACGGAUCUACGGCACCAUCGAAUCUCAAACUUUAGCUGCCAAAACUAUUGUUUUUCAUCCUGUAGUCCCUUUUAGAAUUACUAAACGUCCUUUUUUGGGCCGGGAUUUCCAGGAGCGCUUUCUCGGGGUUUGUGUGCACGUAUUUCAAACCAAGCGUUCCUAAAAAUUAGAAGUCAUUUGAUCUUUAUUCCCCUAGAGCCUUCCAGCAGUUCCUAAACCGCUCCAGUCGGCGCACGUUAUCAUUCUUGUUAGUUCUGAGCGAAUUCCCUCGGUAUGAUCAUUCUUUCAUCAGUUUGUUCCUCGUUUCUUCUCUAGUCUGAGCCUAGCACACUAUUCUAGCUAGACAUGGGUGUGGGUCAUAACACCUGAUGACCAAACCGAUCUACGGCACCAUCGAAUCUCAAACUUUAACUACCAAAACUAUUGUUUUUCAUCCUGUAGUCCCUUUUAGAAUUACCAAACGUCCUUUUUUGGGCCGAGAAUUCCAAGAAUGCUUUCUCGGGGUUUGUGUGCACAUAUUUCAAACCAAACAUUCCUAAAAAUUAGAAAUCAUUCCAUCUUUAUUCCCCAAGAGCCUUCCAGCAGUUCCUAAACAGCUCCACUCAGAGCACGUUGUCAUUCUUGUUAGUUCUGAGCGAAUUCCCUCGGUAUGAUCAUUCUUUCAUCAGUUUGUUCCCUGUUUCUUCUCUAGUCUGAGCCUCGCACACUAUUCUAGCUAUUAAUGGGUGUGGAUCGUAACUCCUGAUGACCAAACGGAUCUACGGCACCGUCGAAUCUCAAACUUUAACUGCCAAAACUACUGUUUUUCAUUCUGUAGUCCCUCUUAAAUUACUAAACGUCAUUUUUUGGGCUGAGAUAUCCAGGAACGCUUUCUCGGGGUUUGUGUGCACGUAUUUCAAAUCAUACGGACCUAAAAAUUAGAAGUCAUUCCAUCUUUAUUCCCCUAGAGCCUUCCAGCAGUUCCUAAACCACUCCAGUCGGAGCACGUUAUCAUUAUUGUUAGUUCCGAGUGAAUUCCCUUGGCAUGAUCUUUCUUUCAUCAGUUUGUUCCCCGUUUCUUCUCUAGUGUUAGCCUAUCACACUAUUCUAGCUAGACAUGGGUGUGGCUCGUAACACCUGAUGACCAAACGGAUCUACGGCACCGUCGAAUUUCAAACUUUAACUGCCAAAACUAUUGUUUUUCCUCCUGUAGUCCCUUUUAGAAUUACUAAAUGUCCUUUUUUGGGCCGAGAUUUCCAGGAAUGCUUUCUCGGGGUUUGUGUGCAUGUAUUUCAAACCAUACGGACCUAAAAAUUAGGUCAUUCCAUAUUUAUUCCCCUAGAGCCUUCCAGCAGUUCCUAAACAUCUCCAGUCGGAGCACGUUAUCAUUCUUGUUUGUUCUGAGCGAAUUCCCUCAGUAUGAUCAUUCUUUCAUCAUUUUGUGCCCUGUUUCUUCUCUAGUCUGAGCAUAGCACACUAUUCUAGCUAGACAUGGGUGUGGCUCGUAACACCUGAUGACCAAACGGAUGUACGACACCGUCGAAUCUCAAACUUUAACUGCCAAAACUAUUGUUUUUCAUCCUGUAGUCCCUUUUAAAUUUACUAAAUGUCCUUUUUGGGCUGAGAUUUCCAGGAACGCUUUCGUGCGGUUUGUGUGCAAGUAUUUCUAAUCAUACGGACCUAUAAAUUAGAAGUCAUUCCAUCUUUAUUCCCCUAGAGCCUUCGAGCAGUUCCUAAACCGCGCCAGCCGGAGCAUGUUAUCAUUCUUGUUAGUUCUGAGUGAAUUCCCUCGGUAUGAUCAUUCUUUCAUCAGUUUGUUCCCCGUUUCUUCUCUAGUCUGAGCCUAGCACACUACUCUAGCUAGACAUGGGUUUGGCUCGUAACACCUGAUAACCAAACAGGUCUACGACUCCAUCGAAUCUCAAACUUUUUUGGGCCGAGAUUUCCAGGAACGCUUUCUCGGGGUUUGUGUGCACGUAUUUCAAAUCAUGCGGACCUAAAAAUUAGAAGUCAUUCCAUAUUUAUUACCCUAGAGCCUUCCAGCAGUUCCUAAACCGCUCCAGUCGGAGCAUGUUAUCAUUCUCUUUAGUUCUCAGGGAAUUCCCUCGGUAUGAUCAUUCUUUCAUCAGUUUAUUCCCUGUUUUUUCUCUAGCAUGAGCCUAACACACUAUUCUAGCUACACAUGGGUGUGGCUCGUAACACCUGAUGACCAAACGGAUCUACGGCACCGUCGAAUCUCAAACUUUAACUGCCAAAACUAUUGUUUUCGUCCUGUAGUCCCUUUUAGAAUUACUAAACGUCCUUUUUUGGGCCGAGAUUUCCAGGAACGCUUUCUCGGGGUUUGUGUGCACGUAUUUCAAAUCAUACGGACCUAAAAAUUAGAAGUCAUUCCAUCUUUAUUCCCCUAGAGCCUUCCAGCAGUUCCUAAACAGCUCUAGUCGGAGCAAGUUAUCAUUCUUGUUAGUUCUGAGCGAAUUCCCUCGGUAUGAUCAUUCUUUCAUUAGUUUGUUCUGCGUUUCUUCUCUAGUCUGAGCCUAGCACACUAUUCUAGCUAUUAAUGGGUGUGGAUCGUAACACCUAAUGACCAACGGAUCUACGGCACCAUCGAAUCUCAAACUUUAACUGCCAAAACUAUUAUUUUUCAUCCUGUAGUCCCUUUAAAAAUUAUUAAAUGUCAUUUUUUGGGCCGAGAUUUCCAGGAACGCUUUCUCGGGGUUUGUGUGCAUGUAUUUCAAGUCAUACGGACCUAAAAAUUAGAAUCCAUUCCAUCUUUAUUCCCCUAGAGCCUUGCAGCAGUUCCUAAACCGCUCCAGUCGGAGCACGUUAUCAUUAUUGUUAGUUCUGAGUGAAUUCCCUCGGUAUGAUUAUUCUUUCAUCAGUUUGUUCCCCAUUUCUUCUCUAGUCUGAGCCUAACACACUAUUCUAGCUAGACAUGGGUGUGGCUCGUAAUACCUGAUGACCAAACGGAUCUACAGCACCGUCGAAUCUCAAACUUUAACUACGAAAACUAUUGUUUUUCAUUCUAUAGUCCCUUUCAGAAUUACUAAACGUCCUUUUUUGGGCCGAGAUUUCCAGGAACGCUUUCUCGGGGUUUGAGUGCGCGUAUCUAACAAUACAGACCUAAAGAUUAGAAUUCAUUCCAUCUUUAUUCCCCUAGAGCCUUCCAGCAGUUCCUAAACUGCUCCAGUCGGAGCACGUUAUCAUUCUUGUUAGUUCUCAGGGAAUUCCCUCGGUAUGAUCAUUCUUUCAUCAGUUUGUUCCCCGUUUCUUCUCUAGCAUGAGCCAAACACACUAUUCUAGCUACACAUGGGUGUGCCUCGUAACACCUGAUGACCAAACGGAUCUACGGCACCGUCGAAUCUCAAACUUUAACUGCCAAAAUUAUUGUUUUUCAUCUUGUAGUCCCUUGUAGAAUUACUAAACGUCCUUUUUUGGGCCGAGAUUUCGAGAAACACUUUGUCAGGGUUUGUUUGCACGUAUUUCAAACCAUACGGACCUAAAAAUUAGAAGUCAUUCCAUCUUUGUUCCCCUAGAGCCUUCCAGCAGUUCCUAAACCGCUCCAGUCGGAGCAUGUUAUCAUUCUUGUUAGUUCUGAGCAAAUUCCCUCGGUAAGAUCAUUCUUUCAUCAGUUUGUUCCCUGUUUCUUCUCUAGCCUGAGCCUGACACACUAUUCUAGCUAGACAUGGGCGUGGCUCGUGACACCUGAUGACCAAACGGAUCUACGGCACCGUCGAAUCUCAAACUUUAACUACCAAAACUAUUGUUUUUCAUUCUGUAGUCCCUUUUAAAUUACUAAACGUCAUUUUUUCGGCCGAGAUUUCCAGGAACGCUUUCUUGUGGUUUGUGUGCAUGUAUUUCAAAUCAUACGGACCUAAAAAUUGGAAUCCAUUCCAUCUUUAUUCCCCUAGAGCCUUCCAGCAGUUCCUAAUCCGCUCCAGUCGGAGCACGUUAUCAUUGUUGUUAGUUCUGAGUGAAUUCCCUCGGUAUGAUCAUUCUUUCAUCAGUUUGUUCCCUGUUUCUUCUCUAGUCUGAGCCUAACACACUAUUCUAGCUAGACAUGGGUGUGGCUCGUAACACCCGAUGACCAAACGGAUCUACGGCACCGUCGAAUCUCAAACUUUAACUGCGAAAACUAUUGUUUUUCAUCCUGUAGUCCUUUUUAGAAUUACUAAACGUCCUUUUUUGGGACGAGAUUUCCAGGAACGCUUUCUCGGGGUUUGUGUGCGCGUAUUUCAAACCAUACGAACCUUAAAAUUAGAAUUCAUUCCAUCUUUAUUCCCCUAGAGCCUUCCAGCAGUUCCUAAACCGCUCCAGUCGGAGCACGUUAUCAUUCUUGUUAGUUCUGAGCAAAUUCCCUCGGUAUGAUCAUUCUUUCAUCAGUUUGUUCCCCGUUUCUUCUCUAGUCUGAGCCUAGCACACUAUUCUAGCUAUUAGUGGGUGUGGAUCGUAACACCUAAUGACCAAACGGAUCUAUGGCACCAUCGAAUCUCAAACUUUAACUGCCAAAACUAUUGUUUUUCAUCCUGUAGUCCCUUUUACAAUUAUUAAACGUCCUUUUUUGGGCCGAGAUUUCCAGGAACGCUUUCUCGGGGUUUGUGUGCAUGUAUUUCAAACCAAACGUUCCUAAAAAUUUGAAGGCAUUCCAUCUUUAUUCCCCUAGAGCCUUCCAGCAGUUCCUAAACCGCUCCAGUCGGAGCACGUUACCAUUCUUGUUAGUUCUGAGCGAAUUCCCUCGGUAUGAUCAUUUUUUCAUCAGUUUUUUCCCUGUUUCUUCUCUAGUCUGAGCCUCGCACACUAUUCUAGCUAUUAAUGGGUGUGGAUCGUAACACCUGAUGACCAAACGGAUCUACGGCACCGUCGAAUCUCAAACUUUAACUGCCAAAACUACUGUUUUUCAUUCUGUAGUCCAUUUUAAAUUACUAAACGUCAUUUUUGGGGCCGAUAUUUCCAGGAACGCUUUCUCGGGGUUUGUGUGCACGUAUUUCAAAUCAUACGGACCUAAAAAUUAGAAGUCAUUCCAUCUUUAUUCCCCUAGAGCCUUCCAGCAGUUCCUAAACCACUCCAGUCGGAGCAUGUUAUCAUUAUUGUUAGUUCUGAGUGAAUUCCCUCGGUAUGAUCAUUCUUUCAUCAGUUUGUUCCCCGUUUCUUCUCUAGUCUGAGCCUAUCAUACUAUUCUAGCUAGACAUGGGUGUGGCUCGUAACAUCUGAUGACCAAACGGAUCUAUGGCACCGUCGAAUCUCAAACUUUAACUGCCAAAACUAUUGUUUUUCAUCCAGUAGUCCCUUUUAGAAUUACUAAAUGUCCUUUUUUGGGCCGAGAUUUCCAGGAACGCUUUCUCGGGGUUUGUGUGCAUGUAUUUAAAACCAUACGGACCUAAAAAUUAGGUCAUUCCAUCUUUAUUCCCCUAGAGCCUUCCAGCAGUUCCUAAACCGCUCCAGUCGGAGCACGUUAUCAUUCUUGUUUGUUCUGAGCGAAUUCCCUCAGUAUGAUCAUUUUUCAUCAUUUUGUUCCCCGUUUCUUCUCUAGUCUGAGCCUAGCACACUAUUCUAGCUAGACAUGGGUGUGGCUCGUAACACUUGAUGACCAAAGGAUCUACGGCACCGUCGAAUCUCAAACUUUAACUGCCAAAACUAUUGUUUUUCAUCGUGUAGUCCCUUUGAAAUUUACUAAACGUCCUUUUUUGGGCUGAGAUUUCCAGGAAAGCUUUCGUGCGGUUUGUGUGCAAGUAUUUCAAAUCAUACGGACCUAUAAAUUAGAAGUCAUUCCAUCUUUAUUCCCCUAGAGCCUUCGAGCGGUUCCUAAACCGCUCCAGUCGGAGCAUGUUAUCAUUCUUGUUAGUUCUGAGUGAAUUCCCUCGGUAUGAUCAUUCUUUCAUCAGUUUGUUCCCCGUUUCUUCUCUAGUCUGAGCCUAGCACACGACUCUAGCUAGACAUGGGUUUGGCUCGUAACACCUGAUAACCAAAUGGCUCUAUGACACCAUCGAAUCUCAAACUUCUUUGGGCUGAGAUUUCCAUGAACGCUUUCUCGGGGUUUGUGUGCACGUAUUUCNNNNNNNNNNNNNNNNNNNNNNNNNNNNNNNNNNNNNNNNNNNNNNNNNNNNNNNNNNNNNNNNNNNNNNNNNNNNNNNNNNNNNNNNNNNNNNNNNNNNNNNNNNNNNNNNNNNNNNNNNNNNNNNNNNNNNNNNNNNNNNNNNNNNNNNNNNNNNNNNNNNNNNNNNNNNNNNNNNNNNNNNNNNNNNNNNNNNNNNNNNNNNNNNNNNNNNNNNNNNNNNNNNNNNNNNNNNNNNNNNNNNNNNNNNNNNNNNNNNNNNNNNNNNNNNNNNNNNNNNNNNNNNNNNNNNNGUAUUUCAAAUCAUGCGGACCUAAAAAUUAGAAGUCAUUCCAUAUUUAUUCCCCUAGAGCCUUCCAGCAGUUCCUAAACUGCUCCAGUCGGAGCAUGUUAUCAUUCUUGUUUGUUCUCAGGGAAUUCCAUCGGUAUGAUCAUUCUUUCAUCAGUUUGUUCCCCGUUUUUUCUCUAGCCUGAGCCUAACACACUAUUCUAGCUACACAUGGGUGUGGCUCGUAACACCUGAUGACCAAACGGAUCUACGACACCGUCGAAUCUGAAACUUUAACUGCCAAAACUAUUGUUUUUCAUCCUGUAGUCCCUUUUAGAAUUAGUAAACGUCCUUUUUUGGGCCAAGAUUUCCAGGAACGCUUUCUCGGGGUUUGUGUGCACGUAUUUCAAAACAUACGGACCUAAAAAUUAGAAGUCAUUCCAUCUUUAUUCCCCUAGAGCCUUCCAGCAGUUCCUAAACUGCUCUAGUCGGAGCAUGUUAUCAUUCUUGUUAGUUCUGAGUGAAUUCCCUCGGUAUGAUCAUUCUUUCAUAAGUUUGUUCCCCAUUUCUUCUCUAGUCUGAGCCUAGCACACUAUUCUAGAUAGACAUGGGUGUGGGCCAUAACACCUGAUGACCAAACGGAUCUACGGCACCCUCGAAUCUCAAACUUUAACUGCCAAAACUAUUGUUUUUCAUCUUGUAGUCCCUUUUAGAAUUACUAAACGUCCUUUUUUGGGCCGAGAUUUCCAGGAACGCUUUCUCGGGGUUUGUGUGCAUGUAUUUCAAACCAAACGUUCCUAGAAAUUAGAAGUCAUUCCAUGUUUAUUCCCCUAGAGCCUUCCAGCAGUUCCUAAACAGCUCUAGUCGAAGCACGUUAUCAUUCUUGUUAGUUCUGAGCGAAUUCCCUCGGUAUGAUCAUUCUUUCAUCAGUUUGUUUUGCGUUUCUUCUCUAUUCUGAGCCUAGCAAACUAUACUAGCUAUUAAUGGGUGUGGAUCGUAACACCUAGUGACCAAACGGAUCUACGGCACCAUCGAAUCUCAAACUUUAACUGCCAAAACUAUUAAACGUCCUUUUUUGGGCCGAGAUUUCCAGGAACGCUUUCUCGGGGUUUGUGUGCAUGUAUUUCAAAUCAUACGGACCUAAAAAUUAGAAGGCAUUCCAUCUUUAUUCCCCUAGAGCCUUCCAGUAGUUCCUAAACCACCCCAGUCGGAGCACGUUAUCAUUCUUGUUAGUUCUGAGCGAAUUCCCUUGGUAUGAUCAUUCUUUCAUCAGUUUGUUCCCUGUUUCUUCUCUAGCCUGAGCCUGACACACUAUUCUAGCUAGACAUGGGUGUGGCUCGUGACACCUAAUGAGCAAACGGAUCUACGGCACCGUCGAAUCUCAAACUUUAACUACCAAAACUAUUGUUUUUCAUUCUGUAGUCCCUUUUAAAUUACUAAACAUCAUUUUUUGGGCCGAGAUUUCCAGGAACGCUUUCUCGGGGUUUGUGUGCAUGUAUUUCAAUUCAUACGGACCUAAAAAUUAGAGUCCAUUCCAUCUUUAUUCCCCUAGAGCCUUCCAACAGUUCCUAAACCGCUCCAGUCGGAGCACGUUAUCAUUAUUGUUAGUUCUGAGUGAAUUCCCUCGGUAUGAUCAUUCUUUCAUCAGUUUGUUCCCGUUUCUUCUCUAGUCUGAGCCUAACACACUAUUCUAGCUAGACAUGGGUGUGGCUCGUAACACCUGAUGACCAAACGGAUCUACGGCACCGUCGAAUCUCAAACAUUAACUACGAAAACUAUUGUUUUUCAUUCUAUAGUCCCUUUUAGAAUUACUAAGCGUCCUUUUUUGGGCUGAGAUUUCCAGGAACGCUUUCUCGGGGUUUGUGUGCACGUAUUUCAAACAAUACGGACCGAAAAAUUAGAAUUCAUUCCAUCUUUAUUCCCCUAGAGCCUUCUAGCAGUUCCUAAAUCGCUCCAGUCGGAGCACGUUAUCAUUCUUGUUAGUUCUCAGGGAAUUCCCUCGGUAUGAUCAUUCUUUCAUCAGUUUGUUCCCCGUUUCUUCUCUAGCCUGAGCCUAACACACUAUUCUAGCUACACAUGGGCAUGGCUCGUAACACCUGAUGACCAAAUGGAUCUACGACACCGUCGAAUCUCAAACUUUAACUGCCAAAACUAUUGUUUUUCAUCCUGUAGUCCCUUGUAGAAUUACUAAACGUCCUUUUUUGGGCCGAGAUUUCGAGGAACGCUUUGUCGGGGUUUGUGUGCACAUAUUUCAAACCAUACGGACCUAAAAAUUAGAAGUCAUUCCAUCUUUGUUCCCCUAGAGCCUUCCAGCAGUUCCUAAACCGCUCCAGUCGGAGCACGUUAUCAUUCUUGUUAGUUAUGAGCAAAUUCCCUCGGUAUGUACAUUCUUUCAUCAGUUUGUUCCGUGUUUCUUCUCUAGCCUGAGCUUGACACACUAUUCUAGCUAGACAUGGGUGUGGCUCGUGACACCUAAUGACCAAACGGAUCUACGGCACCGUCGAAUCUCAAACUUUAACUACCAAAACUAUUGUUUUUCAUUCUGUAGUCCCUUUUAAAUUACUAAACGUCCUUUUUUGGGCCGAGAUUUCCAGGAACGCUUUCGCCCGGUUUGUGUGCAAGUAGUUCAAAUCAUACGGACCUAAAAAUUAGAUGUCAUUCCAUCUUUAUUCCCUCUAGAGCCUUCCAGCACUUCCUAAACCGCUCUAGUCGGAGCACGUUAUCAUUCUUGUUAGUUCUGAGUGAAUUCCCUUGGUAUGAUCAUUCUUUCAUCAGUUUGUUCUCCAUUUCUUCUCUAGUCUGAGCCUAACACACUACUCUAGCUAGACAUGGGUGUGGCUCAUAACACCUCAUGACCAAACAGGUCUACGGCACCAUCAAAUCUCAAACUUUAACUGCCAAAACUAUUGUUUUUCAUUCUGUAGUCCAUUUUAGAAUUACUAAACGUCCUUUUUUGGGACGAGAUUUCCAGGAACGCUUUCUCGGGGUUUGUGUGCACGUAUUUCAAAUCAUACAGACCUAAAAAUUAGAAGUCAUUCCAUCUUUAUUCCCCUAGAGCCUUCCAGCAGUUCCUAAACCGCUCCAGUCAGAGCAUGUUAUCAUUCUUGGUAGUUCUGAGUGAAUUCCCUCGGUAUGAUCAUUCUUUCAUCAGUUUGUUCCCCGUUUCUUCUCUAGCCUGAGCCUAACACACUAUUCUAGCUAGACAUGUGUGUGGCUCGUAACACCUGUUGACCAAACGGAUCUACGGCACCGUCGAAUCUCAAAUUUUAACUGCCAAAACUAUUGUUUUUCAUCUUGUAGUCCCUUUUAGAAUUACUAAACGUCCUUUUUUGGGCCGAGAUUUCCAGGAACGCCUUCUCGGGGUUUGUUUGCACGUAUUUCGAACCAUAUGGACCUAAAAAUUAGAAGUCAUUCCAUAUUUAUUCCCCUAUAGCCUUCCCGCAGUUUCUAAACCGCUCCAGUCGAAGCAUGUGAUCAUUCUUGUUAGUUCUGAGUGAAUUCCCUCGGUAUGAUCAUUCUUUCAUCAGUUUGUUCCCUGUUUCUUCUCUAGCCUGAGCCUGACACACUAUUCUAGCUAGACAUGGGUGUGGCUCAUGACACUUGAUGACCAAACGGAUCUACGGCACCGUUGAAUCUCAAACUUUAACUACCAAAACUAUUGUUUUUCAUUCUGUAGUCCCUUUUAAAUUACUAAACGUCAUUUUUUGGGCCGAGAUUUCCAGGAACGCUUUCUCGGGGUCUGUGUGCAUGUAUUUCAAAUCAUACGGACCUAAAAAUUAGAAUCCAUUCCAUCUUUAUUCCCCUAGAGCCUUCGAGCAGUUCCUAAACCGCUCCAGUUGGAGCACGUUAUCAUUAUUGUUAGUUGUGAGUGAAUUCCCUCGGUAUGAUCAUUCUUUCAUCAGUUUGUUCCCUGUUUCUUCUCUAGUCUGAGCCUAACACACUAUUCUAGCUAGACAUGGGUGUGGCUCGUAACACCCGAUGACCAAACGGAUCUACGGCACCGUCGAAUCUCAAACUUUAACUGCGAAAACUAUUGUUUUUCAUCCUGUAGUCCUUUUUAGAAUUACUAAACGUCCUUUUUUGGGACGAGAUUUCCAGGAACGCUUUCUCGGGGUUUGUGUGCGCGUAUUUCAAACCAUACGAACCUUAAAAUUAGAAUUCAUUCCAUCUUUAUUCCCCUAGAGCCUUCCAGAAGUUCCUAAACCGCUCCAGUCGGAGCACGUUAUCAUUCUUGUUAGUUCUGAGCGAAUUCCCUCGGUAUGAUCAUUCUUUCAUCAGUUUGGCCCCCCUUUCUUCUCUAUUCUGAGCCUAGCACACUAUUCUAGCUAUUAAUGGGUGUGGAUCGUAACACCUAAUGACCAAACGGAUCUACGACACCAUCGAAUCGCAAUCUUUAACUGCCAAAACUAUUGUUUUUCAUCCUGUAGUCCCUUUUACAAUUAUUAAACGUCCUAUUUUGGGCCGAGAUUUCCAGGAACGCUUUCUCGGGGUUUGUGUGCAUGUAUUUCAAAUCAUACGGACCUAAAAGUUUGAAGGCAUUCCAUCUUUAUUCCCCUAGAGCCUUCCAGCAGUUCCUAAACCGCUCCAGUCGGAUCACGUUAUCAUUAUUGUUAGUUCUGAGCAAAUUCCCUCGGUAUGAUCAUUCUUUCAUCAGUUUGUUCCCUGUUUCUUCUCUAACCUGAGCAUGACACACUAUUCUAGCUAGACAUGGGUGUGGCUCGUGACACCUGAUGACCAAACGGAUCUACGGCACCGUCGAAUCUCAAACUUUAACUGCAAAAACUAUUGUUUUUCAUUCUAUAGUCCCUUUUAAAUUACUAAACGUCCUUUUUUGGGCCGAGAUUUCCAGGAACGCUUUCGCCCGGUUUGUGUGCAAGUAUUUCAAAUCAUACGGACCUAAAAAUUAGAUGUCAUUCCAUCUUUAUUCCCUCUAGAGCCUUCCAGCACUUCCUAAACCGCUCUAGUCGGAGCACGUUAUCAUUCUUGUUAGUUCUGAGUGAAUUCCCUUGGUAUGAUCAUUCUUUCAUCAGUUUGUUCUCCAUUUCUUCUCUAGUCUGAGCCUAGCACACUACUCUAGCUAGACAUGGGUGUGGCUCAUAACACCUGAUGACCAAACGGAUCUACGGCACCGUCGAAUCUCUAACUUUAACUGCAAAAACUAUUGUUUUUCAUCCUGUAGUCCCUUUUAGAAUUACUAAACGUCCUCUUUUGGGCCGAGAUUUCCAAGAACGCUUUCUCAGGGUUUGUGUGCGUGUAUUUCAAAGCAUAUGGACCUAAAAAUUAGAAUUCAUUCCAUCUUUAUUCCCCUAGAGCCUUCCAGCAGUUCCUAAACCGCUCCACUCGGAUUACGUUAUCAUUCUUGUUAGUUCUGAGCGAAUUCCCUCGGUAUGAUCAUUCUUUCAUCAGUUUGUUCCCCGUUUCUUCUCUAGUCCGAGCCUAGCACACAAUUCUAGCUAGACAUGGGUGUGGCUCGUAUCACCUGAUGACCAAACGGAUCUACGGCACCGUCGAAUCUCAAAUUUAACUGCCAAAACUAUUAUUUUUCAUCCUGUAGUCCCUUUUAGAAUUACUAAACGUCCUUUUUUGGGCCGAGAUUUCCAGGAACGCUUUCGCGCGGUUUGUGUGCAAGUAUUUCAAAUCAUACGGACCUAAAAAUUAGAUGUCAUUCCAUCUUUAUUCCCCUAGAGCCUUCCAGCACUUCCUAAACCGCUCCAGUCGGAGCACGUUAUCAUUCUUGUUAGUUCCGAGUGAAUUCCCUUGGUAUGAUCAUUCUUUCAUCAGUUUGUUCUCCAUUUCUUCUCUAGUCUGAGCCUAGCACACUACUCUAGCUAGACAUGGGUGUGGCUCAUAAGACCUCAUGACCAAACGGGUCUACGGCACCAUCAAAUCUCAAACUUUAACUGCUAAAACUAUUGUUUUUCAUUCUGUAGUCCCUUUUAGAAUUACUAAACAUCCUUUUUUGGGCCGAGAUUUCCAGGAACGCUUUCUCGGGGUUUGUGUGCAUGUAUUUCAAAUCAUACAGACCUAGAAAUUAGAAGUCAUUCCAUCUUUAUUCCCCUAGAGCCUUCCAGCAGUUCCUAAACCGCUCCAGUCAGAGCAUGUUAUCAUUCUUGGUAGUUCUGAGUGAAUUCCCUCGGUAUGAUCAUUCUUUCAUCAGUUUGUUCCCCGUUUCUUCUCUAGCCCGAGCCUAACACACUAUUCUAGCUAGACAUGUGUGUGGCUCGUAACACCUGAUGACCAAACGGAUCUACGGCACCGUCGAAUCUCAAACUUUAUCUGCCAAAACUAUUGUUUUUCAUCUUGUAGUCCCUUUUAGAAUUACUAAACGUCCUUUUUUGGGCCGAGAUUUCCAGGAAUGCUUUCUCGGGGUUUGUUUGCAUGUAUUCCAAACCAUACAGACCUAAAAAAUUAGAAGUCAUUCCAUAUUUAUUCCCCUAUAGCCUUCCAGCAGUUUGUAAACCGCUCCAGUCGGAGCAUGUUAUCAUUCUUGUUAGUUCUGAGUGAAUUCCCUCGGUAUGAUCAUUCUUUCAUCAGUUUGUUCCCUGUUUCUUCUCUAGCCUGAGCCUGACACACUAUUCUAGCUAGACAUGGGUGUGGCUCAUGACACCUGAUGACCAAACGGAUCUACGGCACCGUCGAAUCUCAAACUUUAACUACCAAAACUAUUGUUUUUCAUUCUGUUGCCCCUUUUAAAUUACAAAACGUCAUUUUUUGGGCCGAGAUUUCCAGGAACGCUUUCUCGGGGUUUGUGUGCAUGUAUUUCAAGUCAUACGAACCUAAAAAUUAGAAUACAUUCCAUCUUUAUUCCCCUAGAGCCUUCCAGCAGUUCCUAAACCGCUCCAGUCAGAGCACGUUAUCAUUCUUGUUAGUUCUCAGGGAAUUCCCUCGGUAAGACCAUUCUUUCAUCAGUUUGUUCCCCGUUUCUUCUCUAGCCUGUGCCUAGCACACUAUUCUAGCUACACAUGGGUGUGGCUCGUAACACGUGAUGACCAAACGGAUCUACGACACCGUCGAAUCUCAAACUUUAACUGCCAAAACUAUUGUUUUUCAUCCUGUAGUCCCUUGUAGAAUUACUAAACGUCCUUUUUUGGGCCGAGAUUUCGAGGAACGCUAUGUUGGGGUUUGUGUGCACGUAUUUCAAACCAUACAGACCUAAAAAUUAGAAGUCAUUCCAUCUUUGUUCCCCUAGAGCCUUCCAGCAGUUCCUAAACCGCUCUAGUUGGAGCACGUUAUCAUUCUUGUUAGUUCUGAGCAAAUUCCCUCGGUAUGAUCAUUCUUUCAUCAGUUUAUUCCCUGUUUCUUCUCUAGUUUGAGCCUAGCACACUAUUCUAGCUACUAAUGGGUGUGGAUCGUAACACCUGAUGACCAAACGGAUCUACGGCACCGUCGAAUCUCAAACUUUAACUGCCAAAACUACUGUUUUUCAUUCCGUAGUCCCUUUUAAAUUACUAAACGUCAUUUUUUGGGCAGAGAUAUCCAGGAACGCUUUCUCGGGGUUUGUGUGCACGUAUUUCAAAUCAUACGGACCUAAAAAAUAGAUUCCAUUCCAUCUUUAUUCCCCUCGAGCUUUCCAGCAGUUCCUAAACCGCUCCAGUCGGAGCACGUUAUCAUUAUUGUUAGUUCUGAGUGAGUUCCCUCGGUAGGAUCAUUCUUUCAUCAGUUUGUUCCCCGUUUCUUCUCUAGUCUGAGCCUAACACACUAUUCUAGCUAGACAUGGGCAUGGAUCAUAACACCUGAUGACCAAACGGAUCUACGGCACCGUCGAAUCUCAAACUUUAACUGCGAAAACUAUUGUUUUUCAUCCUGUAGUCCCUUUUAGAAUUACUAAACGUCCUUUUUGGGCCGAGAUUUCCAGGAACGCUUUCUCAGGGUUUGUGUGCGUGUAUUUCAAACCAUACGGACCUAAAAAUUAGAAUUCAUUCCAUCUUUAUUUCCCUAGAGCCUUCCAGCAGUUCCUAAACCGCUCCAGUCGGAGCACGUUAUCAUUCUUGUUAGUUCUGAGCGAAUUCCCUCGGUAUGAUCAUUCUUUCAUCAGUUUGUUCCCCGUUUCUUCUCUAGUCUGAGCCUAACACACGAUUCUAGCUAGACAUGGGUGUGGCUCGUAUCACCUGAUGACCAAACAGAUCUACGGCACCGUCGAAUCUCAAAUUUAACUGCCAAAACUAUUAUUUUUCAUCCUGUAGUCCCUUUUAGAAUUACUAAACGUCCUUUUUUUGGCCGAGAUUUCCAGGAACGCUUUCGCCCAGUUUGUGUGCAAGUAUUUCAAAUCAUACGGACCUAAAAAUUAGAUGUCAUUCCAUCUUUAUUCCCCUAGAGCCUUCCAGCACUUCCUAAACCGCUCUAGUUGGAGCACGUUAUCAUUCUUGUUAGUUCUGAGUGAAUUCCCUUGGUAUAAUCAUUCUUUCAUCAGUUUGUUCUCCAUUUCUUCUGUAGUCUGAACCAAGCACACUACUCUAGCUAGACAAGGGUGUGGCUCAUAACACCUCAUGACCAAACGGGUCUACGGCACCAUCAAAUUUCAAACUUUAACUGCCAAUACUAUUGUUUUUCAUUCUGUAUUCCCUUUUAGAAUUACUAAACGUCCUUUUUUGGGCCGAGAUUUCUAGGAACGCUUUCUCGGGGUUUGUGUGCACGUAUUUCAAAUCAUACGGACCUAAAAAUUAGAAGUCAUUCCAUCUUUAUUCCCCUAGAGCCUUCCAGCCGUUCCUAAACCGCUCCAGUCGAAGCACGUUAUCAUUAUUGUUAGUUGUCAGUGAAUUCCCUCAGUAUGAUCAUUCUUUCAUCAGUUUGUUCCCUGUUUCUUCUCUAGUCUGAGCUUAACACACUAUUCUAGCUAGACAUGGGUGUGGCUCGUAACACCCGAUGACCAAACGGAUCUACGGCACCGUCGAAUCUCAAACUUUAACUGCGAAAACUAUUGUUUUUCAUCCUGUAGUCCUUUUUAGAAUUACUAAACGUCCUUUUUUGGGACGAGAUUUCCAGGAACGCUUUCUCGGGGUUUGUGUGCAUGUAUUUCAAAUCAUACGGACCUAAAAAUUAGAUGUCAUUCCAUCUUUAUUCCCCUAGAGCCUUCCAGCACUUCCUAAACCGCUCUAGUCGGAGCACGUUAUCAUUCUUGUUAGUUCUGAGUGAAUUCACUUGGUAUGAUCAUUCUUUCAUCAGUUUGUUCUCCAUUUCUUCUCUAGUCUGAGCCUAGCACACUACUCUAGCUAGACAUGGGUGUGGCUCAUAACACCUCGUGACCAAACGGGUCUACGGCACCAUCAAAUCUCAAACUUUAACUACCAAAACUAUUGUUUUUCAUUCUGUAUUCCCUUUUAGAAUUACUAAACGUCCUUUUUUGGGCCGAGAUUUCCAGGAAUGCUUUCUCGGGGUUUGUGUGCACGUAUUUCAAAUCAUACGGACCUAAAAAUUAGAAGUCAUUCCAUCUUUAUUCCCCUAGAGCCUUCCAGCAGUUCCUAAACCGCUCCAGUCAGAGCAUGUUAUCAUUCUUGGUAGUUCUGAGUGAAUUCCCUCGGUACGAUCAUUCUUUCAUCAGUUUGUUCCCCGUUUCUUCUCUAGCCUGAGCCUAACACACUAUUCUAGCUAGACAUGUGUUUGGCUCGUAACACCUGAUGACCAAACAGAUCUACGGCACCGUCGAAUCUCAAACUUUAACUGCCAAAACUAUUGUUUUUCAUCUUGUAGUCCCUUUUAGAAUUACUAAACGUCCUUUUUUGGGCCGAGAUUUCCAGGAACGCUUUCUCGGGGUUUGUGUGCAUGUAUUUCAAACCAUACGGACCGAAAAAUUAGAAGUCAUUCCAUAUUUAUUCCCCUAUAGCCUUCCAACAGUUUCUAUCCGCUCCAGUCGGAGCAUGUUAUCAUUCUUGUUAGUUCAGAGUGAAUUCCGUCGGUAUGAUCAUUCUUUCAUCAGUUUGUUCCCUGUUUCUUCUCUAGCCUGAGCCUGACACACUAUUCUAGCUAGACAUGGGUGUGGCUCGUGACACCUGAUGACCAAACGGAUCUACGGCACCGUCGAAUCUCAAACUUUAACUACCAAAACUAUUGUUUUUCAUUCUGUAGUCCCUUUUAAAUUACUAAACGUCAUUUUUUGGGCCGAGAUUUCCAGGAACGCUUUCUCGGGGUUUGUGUGCAUGUAUUUCAAAUCAUACGGACCUAAAAAUUAGAAUCCAUUCCAUCUUUAUUCCCCUAGAGCCUUCGAGCCGUUCCUAAACCGCUCCAGUCGGAGCACGUUAUCAUUAUUGUUAGUUGUCAGUGAAUUCCCUCAGUAUGAUCAUUCUUUCAUCAGUUUGUUCCCUGUUUCUUCUCUAGUCUGAGCUUAACACACUAUUCUAGCUAGACAUGGGUGUGGCUCGUAACACCCGAUGACCAAACGGAUCUACGGCACCGUCGAAUCUCAAACUUUAACUGCGAAAACUAUUGUUUUUCAUCCUGUAGUCCUUUGUAGAAUUACUAAACGUCCUUUUUUGGGACGAGAUUUCCAGGAACGCUUUCUCGGGGUUUGUGUGCGCGUAUUUCAAACCAUACGAACCUUAAAAUUAGAAUUCACUCCAUCUUUAUUCCCCUAGAGCCUUCUAGCAGUUCCUAAACCGCUCCAGUCGGAGCACGUUAUCAUUCUUUUUAGUUCUGAGCGAAUUCCCUCGGUAUGAUCAUUCUUUCAUCAUUUUGUUCCCCCUUUCUUCUCUAUUCUGAGCCUAGCACACUAUUCUAGCUAUUAAUGGGUGUGGAUCGUAACACCUAAUGACCAAACGGAUCUACGGCACCAUCGAAUCUCAAACUUUAACUGCCAAAACUAUUGUUUUUCAUCCUGUAGUCCCUUUUACAAUUAUUAAACGUCCUUUUUUGGGCCGAGAUUUCCAGGAACGCUUUCUCGGGGUUUGUGUGCAUGUAUUUCAAAUCAUACGGACCUAAAAGUUUGAAGGCAUUCCAUCUUUAUUCCCCUAGAGGCUUCCAGCAGUUCCUAAACCGCUCCAGUCGGAGCACGUUAUCAUUAUUGUUAGUUCUGAGCGAAUUCCCUCGGUAUGAUCAUUCUUUCAUCAGUUUGUUUCCUGUUUCUUCUCUCUCCUGAGCAUGACACACUAUUCUCGCUAGACAUGGGUGUGGCUCGUGACACCUGAUGACCAAACGGAUCUACGACACCGUCGAAUCUCAAACUUUAACUACCAAAACUAUUGUUUUUCAUUCCGUAGUCCCUUUUAAAUUACUAAACGUCAUUUUUUGGGCCGAGAUUUCCAGGAACGCUUUCUCGGAGUUUGUGUGCAUGUAUUUCAAAUCAUACGGACCUAAAAAUUAGAAUCCAUUCCAUCUUUAUUCCCCUAAAGCUUUCCAGCAGUUCCUAAACCGCUCCAGUCGGAGCACGUUAUCAUUAUUGUUAGUUCUGAGUGAGUUCCCUCGGUAUGAUCAUUCUUUCUUAAGUUUGUUCCCCGUUUCUUCUCUAGUCUGAGCCUAACACACUAUUCUAGCUAGACAUGGGCGUGGCUCGUAACACCUGAUGACCAAACGGAUCUACGGCUGUUGGGGAACGUUGCAGAAAACAAAAAAUUUCCUACUCGUUUCACCAAGAUCAUCUAGGAGUUCAUCUAGCAACGAGUCAUUGGAUGCAUCUACAUACCUUUGUAGAUCGCGAGCGGAAGCGUUCAAAAGAACGGUGAUGAUGUAGUCGUACUCGACGUGAUCCAAAUCACCGAUGACCAGCGCCGAACGGACGGCACCUCCGCGUUCAACACACGUACGGGACGGGAGACGUCUCCUCCUUCUUGAUCCAGCAAGGGGGAAGGAGAGGUUGAUGAAGAUCCAGCAGCACGACGGCGUGGUGGUGGAUGCAGGGCGUCACAGCAGCAGGGCUUCGCCGAGACUACGAGGGAGAGACGUAACGGGGGGAGGUGGAGGCGCCAGGGGCUGGUGUAAAAUCCCCUAGUAGAUGGCAUCUACUAGGGGGGGCGGCGGCCCUAGUAGAUGGCAUCUACUAGGGGGGGCGGCGGCCAAGGGGAGGUUUCCCUCCCCCCCAAGGCACCUAGGGGUGCCUUCCACCACAUGGACUCUUCCAUGGUGGAAACCCUAGGCGCAUGGGCCUAUAGGGGCUGGUGCCCUUGGCCCAUCUAGGCCAAGGCGCACCCCCUACAGCCCAUGUGGCCCCCCGGGACAGGUGGCCCCACCCGAUGGACCCCCGGGACCCUUCCGGUGGUCCCGGUACAAUACCGAUAACCCCGAAACUUGUCCCGAUGCCCGAAAUAGCACUUCCUAUAUAUAAUUCUUUACCUCCGGACCAUUCGGAACUCCUCGUGACGUCCGGGAUCUCAUCCGGGACUCCGAACAACAUUCGGGUUUCUGCAUAUACAUAUCUUCAUAACCCUAGCGUCACCGAACCUUAAGUGUGUAGACCCUACGGGUUCGGGAGACAAGCAGACAUGACCGAGAAGACUCUCCGGUCAAUAACCAACAGCGGGAUCUGGAUACCCAUGUUGGCUCCCACAUGCUCCACGAUGAUCUCAUCGGAUGAACCACGAUGUCGAGGAUUCAAUCAAUCCCGUACGCUAUUCCCUUUGUCUAUCGAUAUGUUACUUGCCCGAGAUUCGAUCGUCGGUAUCCCAAUACCUCGUUCAAUCUCGUUACCGGCAAGUCACUUUACUCGUACCGUAAUGCAUGAUCCCGUGACCAGACACUUGGUCACUCUGAGCUCAUUAUGAUGAUGCAUUACCGAGUGGGCCCAGUGAUACCUCUCCGUCAUACGGAGUGACAAAUCCCAGUCUUGAUCCAUGUCACCCAACAGACACUUUCGGAGAUACCCGUAGUCUACCUUUAUAGUCACCCAGUUACGUUGUGACGUUUGGCAUACCCAAAGCACUCCUACGGUAUCCGGGAGUUACACGAUCUCAUGGUCUAAGGAAAAGAUACUUUGACAUUGCAAAACUCUAGCAAACGAACUAUACGAUCUUGUGCUAUGUUUAGGAUUGGGUCUCAUCCAUCACAUCAUUCUCCCAAUGAUGUGAUCUCGUUAUCAAUGACAUCCAGUGUCCAUAGUCAGGAAACCAUGACUAUCUGUUGAUCAACGAGCUAGUCAACUAGAGGCUCACUAGGGACAUGUUGGUGUCUGUUAUUCACACAUGCAUUACGAUUUCCGGAUAACACAAUUAUAGCAUGAAUAAAGACAAUUAUCAUGAACAAGGAAAUAUAAUAAUGCUUUUAUUAUUGCCUCUAGGGCAUAUUUCCAACAGUCUCCCACUUGCACUAGAGUCAAUAAUCUAGUUACAUUGUGAUGAAUCGAACACCCAUGGAAUUCUGGUGUUGAUCAUGUUUUGCUCUAGGGAGAGGUUUAGUCAACGGAUCUGCUACAUUCAGGUCCGUAUGUACUUUACAAAUCUCUAUGUCUCCAUCUUGAACAUUUUCACGAAUGGAGUUGAAGCGACGCUUGAUGUGCCUUGUCUUCUUGUGAAACCUGGGCUCCUUGGCAAGUGCAAUAGCUCCAGUGUUGUCACAGAAGAGCUUGAUCGGCCCCGACGCAUUGGGUAUGACUCCUAGGUCGGUGAUGAACUCCUUCACCCAUAUUGCUUCAUGUGCUGCCUCUGAGGCUGCCAUGUACUCCGCUUCACAUGUAGAUCCCGCCACGACGCUUUGCUUGCAACUGCACCAGCUCACUGCCCCACCAUUCAAAAUAUACACGUAUCCGGUUUGUGACUUAGAGUCAUCCAGAUCUGUGUCGAAGCUAGCGUCGACGUAACCCUUUACGACGAGCUCUUCGUCACCUCCAUAAACGAGAAACAUUUCCUUAGUCCUUUUCAGGUACUUCAGGAUAUUCUUGACCGCUGUCCAGUGUUCCUUGCCGGGAUUACUUUGGUACCUUCCUACCAAACUGACGGCAAGGUUAACAUCAGGUCUGGUACACAGCAUGACAUACAUAAUAGAACCUAUGGCUGAGGCAUAGGGGAUGACGCUCAUCUCUUCUAUAUCUUCUGCCGUGGUCGGACAUUGAGCUGAGCUCAAUUUCACACCUUGUAACACAGGCAAGAACCCCUUCUUGGAUUGAUCCAUAUUGAACUUCUUCAAUAUCUUAUCAAGGUAUGUGCUUUGUGAAAGACCUAUGAGGCGUCUUGAUCUAUCUCUAUAGAUUUUGAUGCCUAAUAUAUAAGCAGCUUCUCCAAGGUCCUUCAUUGAAAAACUUUUAUUCAAGUAGGCCUUGAUGCUGUCCAAGAGUUCUAUAUCAUUUCCCAUCAAAAGUAUGUCAUCUACAUAUAAUAUGAGAAAUGCUACAGAGCUCCCACUCACUUUCUUGUAAACGCAGGCUUCUCCAUAAGUCUGUGUAAACCCAAACGCUUUGAUCAUCUCAUCAAAGCGAAUGUUCCAACUCCGAGAUGCUUGCACCAACCCAUAAAUCGAGCGUUGGAGCUUGCACACUUUGUCAGCAUUCUUAGGAUCGACAAAACCUUCCGGCUGUAUCAUAUACAAUUCUUCCUUAAGGAAACCAUUAAGGAAUGCCGUUUUGACGUCCAUUUGCCAUAUUUCGUAAUCAUAGAAUGCGGCAAUUGCUAACAUGAUCCGGACGGACUUCAGCUUCGCUACCGGCGAGAAAGUCUCAUCAUAGUCAACCCCUUGAACUUGUCGAUAACCCUUAGCGACAAGCCGAGCUUUAUAGAUGGUCACAUUACCAUCCGCGUCUGUCUUCUUCUUAAAGAUCCAUUUAUUUUCUAUGGCUCGCCGCUCAACGGGCAAGUCAGUCAAAGUCCAUACUUUGUUUUCAUACAUGGAUCCUAUCUCGGAUUUCAUGGCUUCCAGCCAUUUGUCGGAAUCCGGGCCCGCCAUCGCUUCUUCAUAGUUCGAAGGUUCACCGUUGUCUAACAGCAUGAUUUCCAAGACUGGGUUGCCGUACCACUCUGGUGCGGAACCUGUCCUUAUGGACCUUCGAAUUUCAGUAGGGGCUUGAUCAGAAGUAUCUUGAUCAUUGUCAUUAACUUCCUCUCUAGUCGGUGCAGGCACCUCAGGAACAUUUUCUUGAGUUGCGCCAUUUUCCGGUUCAAGAGGUAAUACUUCAUCAAGCUCUACUUUCCUCCCACUUCUUCUUUCGAGAGAAACUCUUUCUCCAGAAAGGACCCAUUCUUGGCAACAAAGAUCUUGCCUUCGGAUCUGAGGUAGAAGGUGUACCCAAUAGUUUCUUUUGGGUAUCCUAUGAAGACGCAUUUUUCCGAUUUGGGUUCGAGCUUUUCAGGUUGAAGUUUCUUGACAUAAGCAUCGCAUCCCCAAACUUUUAGAAACGACAGCUUAGGUUUCUUCCCAAACCAUAAUUCAUACGGUGUCGUCUCAACGGAUUUCGACGGAGCCCUAUUUAAAGUGAAUGCGGCAGUCUCUAAAGCAUAGCCCCAAAAAGAUAGCGGUAAAUCGGUAAGAGACAUCAUAGAUCGCACCAUAUCUAAUAGAGUGUGAUUACGACGUUCGGACACACCAUUACGCUGAGGUGUUCCAGGCGGCGUGAGUUGUGAAACUAUUCCACAUUUUCUUAAGUGUGUGCCAAACUCGUAACUCAAGUAUUCUCCUCCACGAUCUGAUCGUAGAAACUUGAUUUUCCUGUCACGUUGAUUUUCAACCUCACUCUAAAAUUCCUUGAAUUUUUCAAAGGUUUCAGACUUGUGUUUCAUUAAGUAGAUAUACCCAUACCUACUUAAAUCAUCAGUGAGGGUGAGAACAUAACGAUAGCCACCGCGAGCCUCAACACUCAUUGGACCGCACACAUCAGUAUGUAUGAUUUCCAAUAAGUCGGUUGCUCGCUCCAUUGUUCCUGAGAAUGGAGUCUUGGUCAUUUUACCCAUAAGGCAUGGUUCGCAUGUGUCAAAUGAUUCAUAAUCAAGAGACUCUAAAAGUCCAUCAGCAUGGAGCUUCUUCAUGCGUUUGACACCUAUGUGACCAAGGCGGCAGUGCCACAGGUAUGUGGGACUAUCAUUACCAACCUUACUUCUUUUGGUACUCACAUUAUGAACAUGUGUAGCAUCACGUUCGAGAUUCAUAAAGAACAAACCAUUCACCAUAGGAGCAUGACCAUAAAACAUAUCUCUCAUAAAAAUGGAACAACCAUUAUUCUCAGAUUUAAAAGAGUAGCCAUCUCGAAUUAAACGAGAUCCUGAUACAAUGUUCAUGCUCAAAGCUGGCACUAAAUAACAAUUAUUAAGGUUUAAAACUAAUCCCGAAGGGAGAUGCAGAGGUAGCGUGCCGACGGCGAUCACAUUGACCUUGGAACCAUUCCCGACGCGCAUCGUCACCUCGUCCUUUGCCAGUUUCCGCUUAUUCCGCAGCCCCUGCUUUGAGUUACAAAUGUGAGCAACUGCACCGGUAUCAAAUACCCAGGAGCUACUACGGGCACUAGUAAGGUACACAUCAAUUACAUGUAUAUCACAUAUACCUUUUGUUUUGCCGGCCUUCUUAUCCGCUAAGUACUUAGGGCAGUUCCGCUUCCAGUGACCGCUUCCCUUACAAUAAAAGCACUCAGUCUCGGGCUUGGGUCCAUUCUUUGGCUUCUUCCCGGCAGCUUGCUUGCCGGGCGUGGCAACCUCCUUGCCGUCCUUCUUGAAGUUCUUUUUACCCUUGCCUUUCUUGAACUUAGUGGUUUUAUUGACCAUCAACACUUGAUGUUCCUUCCUGACUUCUACCUCUGCUGAUUUCAGCAUAGCAAAUACUUCAGGAAUGGUCUUUUCCAUCCCCUGCAUAUUGAAGUUCAUCACAAAGCUCUUGUAGCUUGGUGGAAGCGACUGGAGGAUUCUGUCAAUGACCGCAUCAUCCGGGAGAUUAACUCCCAGCUGGGUCAAGCGGUUAUGCAACCCAGACAUAGUGAGUAUGUGCUCACUGACAGAACUGUUUUCCUCCAUCUUACAGCUGAAGAAUUUGUCGGAGACUUCAUAUCUCUCGACCCGGGCAUGAGCUUGGAAAACCAUUUUCAGCUCUUCGAACAUCUCAUAUGCUCCAUGUCUCUCAAAACGCUUUUGGAGCCCCGGCUCUAGGCUGUAAAGCAUGCCGCACUGAACGAGGGAGUAGUCAUCGAAACGUGCCUGCCAAGCGUUCAUAACAUCUUGUUCUGCAGGGAGAACGGGUGCGUCACCAAGCGGUGCUUGUAGGACAUAAUCUUUCUUGGCAGCUAUGAGGAUGAUCCUCAGGUUCCGGACCCAGUCCGUAUAGUUGCUGCCAUCGUCUUUCAGCUUGGUUUUCUCUAGGAACGCGUUGAAGUUGAGGACUACGUUGGCCAUUUAAUCUACAAGACAUAUUGUAAAAUAUUUAGACUAAGUUCAUGAUAAUUAAGUUCAACUAAUCAAAUUAUUAAUGAACUCCCACUUAGAUUAGACAUCCCUCUAGUCAUCUAAGUAUAACAUGAUCCGAGUUAAACUAGACCGUGUCCGAUCAUCACGUGAGACGGACUAGUCAACAUCGGUGAACAUCUUCAUGUUGAUCGUAUCUUCUAUACGACUCAUGCUCGACCUUCCGGUCUUCCGUGUUCCGAGGCCAUGUCUGUACAUGCUAGGCUCGUCAAGUCAACCUAAGUGUUUGCAUGUGUAAAUAUGUCUUACACCCGUUGUAUGUGAAUGUCUGAAUAAAACAUCCGAUCAUCACGUGGUGUUUUGAAACAGCGAACUGUCGCAACGGUGCACAGUUAGGGGGAACACUUCUUGAAAUUAGUAUGAGGGAUCACCUUAUUUACUACCGUCGUUCUAAGUAAACAAGAUGCAAAACAUGAUAAACAUCACAUGCAAUCAAAUAAUAAACGUGACAUGAUAUGGCCAAUAUCACAUAGCUCCUUUGAUCUCCAUCUUGGGGCUCCAUGAUCAUCUUGUCACCGGCUUGACACCAUGAUCUCUAUCAUCAUGAUCUCCAUCAUCGUGUCUCCAUGAAGUUGCUCGCCAACUAUUACUUCUACUACUAUGGCUAACGCGUUUAGCAAUAAAGUAAAGUAAUUUACAUGGCGUUUCUCGAUGACACGCAGGUCAUAUAAAAGAAUAAAGACAACUCCUAUGGCUCCUGCCGGUUGUCAUACUCAUCGACAUGCAAGUCGUGAAUCCUAUUACAAUAACAUGAACAUCUCAUACAUCACAUAUAGAUCAUUCAUCAUUCAUCACAACUUUGGCCAUAUCAUAUCACAAACCACUUGCUGCAAAAACAAGUUAGACGUUCUCUAAUUGUUGUUGCAAGUUUUACGUGGCUGAAUUAGGGUUCUAGCAGGAACGUCUUCUUACCUACGUUAAAGCCACAACGUGAUUUGUCAACUUCUAUUUACCCUUCAUAAGGACCCUGUUCAUCGAUUCCGCUCCAACUAAAGUAGGAGAGACAGACACCCGCCAGCCACCUUAUGCAACUAGUGCAUGUUAGUCGGUGGAACCGGUCUCACGUAAGCGUACGUGUAAGGUUGGUCCGGGCCGCUUCAUCCCACAAUACCGCUGAAUCAAGAAAGGACUAGUAACGGCAAGAAAGUUGACAAAUCUACGCCCACAACAAAUUGUGUUCUACUCGCGCAAGAAGAACUACGCAUAGACCUAGCUCAUGAUGCCACUGUUGGGGAACGUUGCAGAAAACAAAAAUUUUCCUACUCGUUUCACCAAGAUCAUCUAGGAGUUCAUCUAGCAACGAGUCAUUGGAUGCAUCUACAUAACUUUGUAGAUCGCGAGCAGAAGCGUUCAAAAGAACGGUGAUGAUGUAAUCAUACUCGACGUGAUCCAAAUCACCGAUGACCAGCGCCGAACGGACGGCACCUCCGCGUUCAACACACGUACGGGACGGGAGACGUCUCCUCCUUCUUGAUCCAGCAAGGGGGAAGGAGAGGUUGAUGAAGAUCCAGCAGCACUACGGCGUGGUGGUGGAUGCAGGGCGUCACAGCAGCAGGGCUUCGCCGAGACUACGAGGGAGAGACGUAACGGGGGGAGGUGGAGGCGCCAGGGGCUGGUGUAAAAUCCCUCCUCUCCCCCACUAUAUAUAGGGGUGCCAGGGGGGCGCCGGCCCUAGUAGAUGGCAUCUACUAGGGGGGGCGGCGGCCAAGGGGAGGUUUCCCUCCCCCCCAAGGCACCUAGGGGUGCCUUCCACCACAUGGACUCUUCCAUGGUGGAAACCCUAGGCGCAUGGGCCUAUAGGGGCUGGUGCCCUUGGCCCAUCUAGGCCAAGGCGCACCCCCUACAGCCCAUGUGGCCCCCCGGGACAGGUGGCCCCACCUGGUGGACCCCCGGGACCCUUCCGGUGGUCCCGGUACAAUACCGAUAACCCCGAAACUUGUCCCGAUGCCCGAAAUAGCACUUCCUAUAUAUAAUUCUUUACCUCCGGACCAUUCCGGAACUCCUCGUGACGUCCGGGAUCUCAUCCGGGACUCCGAACAACAUUCGGGUUUCGGCAUAUACAUAUCUUCAUAACCCUAGCGUCACCGAACCUUAAGUGUGUAGACCCUACGGGUUCGGGAGACAAGCAGACAUGACCGAGACGACUCUUCGGUCAAUAACCAACAGCGGGAUCUGGAUACCCAUGUUGGCUCCCACAUGCUCCACGAUGAUCUCAUUUGAUGAACCACGAUUCCGAGGAUUCAAUCAAUCCCGUACGCUAUUCCCUUUGUCUAUCGAUAUGUUACUUGCCCGAGAUUCGAUCGUCGGUAUCCCAAUACCUCGUUCAAUCUCGUUACCGGCAAGUCACUUUACUCGUACCGUAAUGCAUGAUCCCGUGACCAGACACUUGGUCACUCUGAGCUCAUUAUGAUGAUGCAUUACCGAGUGGGCCCAGUGAUACCUCUCUGUCAUACGGAGUGACAAAUCCCAGUCUUGAUCCAUGUCACCCAACAGACACUUCCGGAGAUACCCGUAGUCUACCUUUAUAGUCACCCAGUUACGUUGUGACGUUUGGCAUACCCAAAGCACUCCUACGGUAUCCGGGAGUUACACGAUCUCAUGGUCUAAGGAAAAGAUACUUGACAUUGGAAAACUCUAGCAAACGAACUAUACGAUCUUGUGCUAUGUUUAGGAUUGGGUCUUGUCCAUCACAUCAUUCUCCCAAUGAUGUGAUCUCGUUAUCAAUGACAUCCAGUGUCCAUAGUCAGGAAACCAUGACUAUCUGUUGAUCAACGAGCUAGUCAACUAGAGGCUCACUAGGGACAUGUCGGUGUCUGUUAUUCACACAUGUAUUACGAUUUCCGGAUAACACAAUUAUAGCAUGAAUAAAGACAAUUAUCAUGAACAAGGAAAUAUAAUAAUAAUGCUUUUAUUAUUGCCUCUAGGGCAUAUUUCCAACAACGGCACCGUCGAAUCUCAAACUUUAACUGCGAAAACUAUUGUUUUUCAUCCUGUAGUCCCUUUUAGAAUUACUAAACGUCCUUUUUUGGGCCGAGAUUUCCAGGAACGCUUUCUCAGGGUUUGUGUGCGUGUAUUUCAAAGCAUACGGACCUAAAAAUUAGAAUUCAUUCCAUCUUUAUGCCCCUAGAGCCUUCCAGCAGUUCCUAAACCGCUCCAGUCGGAUUACGUUAUCAUUCUUGUUAGUUCUGAGCGAAUCCCCUCGGUAGGAUCAUUCUUUCAUUAGUUUGUUCCCCGUUUCUUCUCUAGUCUGAGCCUAGCACACAAUUCUAGCUAGACAUGGGUGUGGCUCGUAUCACCUGAUGACCAAACGGAUCUACGACACCGUCGAAUCUCAAAUUUAACUGCCAAAACUAUUAUUUUUCAUCCUGUAGUCCCUUUUACAAUUAUUAAACAUCCUUUUUUGGGCCGAGAUUUCCAGGAACGCUUUCUCGGGGUUUGUGUGCAUGUAUUUCAAAUCAUACGGACCUAAAAAUUAGAUGUCAUUCCAUCUUUAUUCCCCUAGAGCCUUCCAGCACUUCCUAAACCGCUCUAGUCGGAGCACGUUAUCAUUCUUGUCAGUUCUGAGUGAAUUCACUUGGUAUGAUCAUUCUUUCAUCAGUUUGUUCUCCAUUUCUUCUCUAGUCUGAGCCUAGCACACUACUCUAGCUAGACAUGGGUGUGGCUCAUAACACCUCGUGACCAAACGGGUCUACGGCACCAUCAAAUCUCAAACUUUAACUGCCAAAACUAUUGUUUUUCAUUCUGUAUUCCCUUUUAGAAUUACUAAACGUCCUUUUUUGGGCCGAGAUUUCCAGGAAUGCUUUCUCGGGGUUUGUGUGCACGUAUUUCAAAUCAUAGGACCUAAAAAUUAGAAGUCAUUCCAUCUUUAUUCCCCUAGAGCCUUCCAGCAGUUCCUAAACCGCUCCAGUCAGAGCAUGUUAUCAUUCUUGGUAGUUCUGAGUGAAUUCCCUCGGUAUGAUCAUUCUUUCAUCAGUUUGUUCCCCAUUUCUUCUCUAGCCUGAGCCAAACACACUAUUCUAGCUAGACAUGUGUGUGGCUCGUAACACCUGAUGACCAAACGGAUCUACGGCACCGUCGAAUCUCAAACUUUAACUGCCAAAACUACUGUUUUUCAUCUUGUAGUCCCUUUUAGAAUUACUAAACGUCCUUUUUUGGGCCGAGAUUUCCAGGAACACUUUCUCGGGGUUUGUUUGCACGUAUUUCAAACCAUACAGACCUAAAAAUUAGAAGUCAUUCCAUAUUUAUUCCCCUAUAGCCUUCUAGCAGUUUCUAAACCGCUCCAGUCGGAGCAUGUUAUCAUUGUUGUUAGUUCUGAGUGAAUUCCCUCGGUAUGAUCAUUCUUUCAUCAGUUUGUUCCUUGUUUCUUCUCUAGCCUGAGCCUGACACACUAUUCUAGCUAGACAUGGGUGUGGCUCGUGACACCUGAUGACCAAAUGGAUCUACGGCACCGUCGAAUCUCAAACUUUAACUACCAAAACUAUUAUUUUUCAUUCUGUAGUCCCUUUUAAAUUACUAAACAUCAUUUUUUGGGCCGAGAUUUUCAGGAACGCUUUCUCGGGGUUUGUGUGCAUGUAUUUCAAAUCAUACGGACCUAAAAAUUAGAAUCCAUUCCAUCUUUAUUCCCCUAGAGCCUUCCAGCAGUUCCUAAACCGCUCCAGUCGGAGCACGUUAUCAUAAUUGUUAGUUCUGAGUGAAUUCCCUCAGUAUGAUCAUUCUUUCAUCAGUUUGUUCCCCGUUUGGUCAUCAGGUGUUACGAGCCACACCCAUGUCUAGCUAGAAUAGUGUGUUAGGCUCAGGCUAGAGAAGAAACGGGGAACAAACUGAUGAAAGAAUGAUCAUACCGAGGGAAUUCACUCAAAACUAACAAUAAUAAUAACGCGCUCCGAUUGGAGCGGUUUAGGAACUGCUGGAAGGCCCUAGGGGAAUAAAGAUGCAAUGACUUCUAAUUUUUAGGUCCUAUGAUUUUAAAUACUUGCACACAAACGACGCGAAAGUGUUCCUGGAAAUCUCAGCCCAAAAAAGGACGUUUAGUAAUUCUAAAAGGGACUAUUAGAUGAAAAACAAUAGUUUUGGCAGUUAAAGUUUGAGAUUCGACGGUGCCGUAGAUCCAUUUGGUCAUCAGGUGUUACGAGCCACACCCAUGUCUAGCUAGAAUAGUAUGUUAGGCUCAGGUUAGAGAAGAAAUGGGGAACAAACUGAUGAAAGAAUGAUCAUACCAAGGGAAUUCACUCAGAACUAACAAGAACGAUAACGUGCUCCGACUGGAGCGGUUUAGGAACUGCUGGAAGGCUCUAGGGGAAUAAAGAUGGAAUGACUUCUAAUUUUUAGGUCCGUAUGAUUUGAAAUGCUUGCACAUAAACCACGCAAAAGCGUUCCUGGAAAUCUCAGCCUAAAAAGGACGUUUAGUAAUUCUAAAAGGGACUACAGGAUGAAAAACAAAAGUUUUGGCAGUUAAAGUUUGAGAUUCGACGGUGCCGUAGAUCCGUUUGGUCAUCAGGUGUUACGAGCCACACCCAUGUCUAGCUAGAAUAGUGUAACACCCUCGAUGCAACUAUAUCUCCCACGUGUCGAGGCAGGACUUACACGCAUAAUCGCAUUGACGGCAUAUGUCGCAAAUUAGGCAAUCUUCACAACAUCCCAUGUAAUAUAGAUAAUAAAAGGGGAGAUAACAUAGUUGGCUUACACUCGCCACGUCAAUCAAGGUACAUAAAUAACAUGACAUCAUCCAAACACUCAUGGCCCGACUACGGCGCCAAAAUAAAAGAUAACCCAACAUGCGACACGGUUCCGAUCACCCCCAACUGGGCACCACUACUGAUCAUCAAGAAAGGAAACAUAGUAUCAUUGAGAGUACUCGUCGAACACCCACAUGAGCUCAAGCGCGUCACCUGGAGCUGAAUCAUCAGGCCCUGCAUCUGGUUUAAUAGUAAUCUGUGAGCCACAGGGACUCAGCAAUCUCACACCCUCGCAAUCAAGACUAUUUAAGCUUAUAGGUAAGGCAAGGUAAAUAUGUGAGCUGCAGCAAGCGACUAGCAUAUAUGGUGGCUAUCAUGUUCGAAAAAGAGGGCGAGAAGAGGAGGCUAAGCGCGAACGAAUAACUAGAGAGCAACCUGCGCAAACAUUACUCCAACACCGUGUCCACUUCCCGGACUCCACCGAGAAGAGGCCAUCACGGUAACUCACACUGUUGAUUCAUUUUAAUUAAGUUAAGGUUCAAGUUGUCUACAACCGGACAUUAACAAAUUCCCAUCUGCCCAUAACCGCGGGCACGACUUUCGAAAGUUCAAAUCCCUGCAGGGGAGUCCCAACUUAGCCCAUGACUAGCUCUCAUGGUCAACGAAGGAAUAGACCUCCUCCCGAGAUGUUCCGACCAGACUCGGUAUCUCGGUUCUUCAAGACACUUCGACAGGUUAAAACAAAUCCAGCAACACCACCCGAAUGUGCCGACAAAUCCCGAUAGGAGCUGCACAUAUCUCUUUCUCAGGGCACACUCAGAUUGUCUUAGGUACGGGUAGGCCAGCCCAGAGUUGCCCCUGGUGGCCACCGGCAGCUGACAGGUGGACCAACACUCAGAGGGGCACUAGNNNNNNNNNNNNNNNNNNNNNNNNNNNNNNNNNNNNNNNNNNNNNNNNNNNNNNNNNNNNNNNNNNNNNNNNNNNNNNNNNNNNNNNNNNNNNNNNNNNNNNNNNNNNNNNNNNNNNNNNNNNNNNNNNNNNNNNNNNNNNNNNNNNNNNNNNNNNNNNNNNNNNNNNNNNNNNNNNNNNNNNNNNNNNNNNNNNNNNNNNNNNNNNNNNNNNNNGGGGGGGGUUAAAAUAAGAUGACCCUCAGGCUCCGGAAACCCAAGGGAAAAAGAGGCUAGGUGGCAAAUGGUAAAACCAAGGUUGGGCAUUGCUGGAAAAGCUUUAAUCAAGGUGAACUAUCAAGGGGUUCCCAUUAUAACCCAACCGCGCAAGGAACGCAAAAUCCGGGAACAUAACACCGAUAUGACGGAAACUAGGGCGGCAAGAGUGGAACAAAACACUAGGAGAGAGGCCGAGCCUUCCACCCUUUACCAAGUAUAUAGAUGCAUUAAGAUAACAUGGCAAUAUAAUGAUAUCCCAACAAGUAAAUAAAUGUUCCAGCAAGGAACGGUCUCCAAUCUUCACCUGCAACUAGCAACGCUAUAAGAGGGGCUGAGCAAAGCGGUAACAUAGCCAAUCAACGGUUUGCUAGGACAUGGUGGGUUAGAGGUUUGACAUGGCAAUUUGGGAGGCUUGAAAGCAGGUGGUAGGCAUCGUAGCAUUGGCAUAGAAAAAGAGCAAGCAUCUAGCAAAGCAAAGAUAGUAGUGAUUUCGAGGGUAUGAUCAUCUUGCCUCCAAAGUUGUCAGAGUUGACUGGAUCCUCGAAAGCAAACUCAUCGGGCUCCUCGUUAGAGAACUCGUCUCCCGGCUCUACCCAAACAAGACAAACAAGCAAACGGAACACAAUCAACCACGUGCAAAGCUCAAACAAUAUGAUGCAAAGAUGAUAUGCUAUGCGGGAUGCGAUGCGGGAUGCAUAUGCAAGAUUUGACAAGGAAUGCAUGAACCUGACCUCAACUUGUGAAUCCAAGUGUGCCACUGGAAAGAUGAGAUGAAAUCUCUUGAAAACAAUAUAAAGAUCACUGGAAUCGGAGUUACGGUUUGGAAAUGGCAAGCAAAUCAAAUAUGAUCACGUUUUGCGAUUUACAGCAAGUACCCAUCUAAAUGCAAUGAGAUGAACAAGCUACAGCACCCAAACAUGGCAUAAAAAUACAUGGAAGGGAUGCAUUCCUGAUGCUUAACAAAAGUCUAGCACUGAGCUACGGCCAAUUCAUCCACUAACAGGUUCAAACAAGCAUGGCAAAAAUGCAUAUGGUAAACAUAUUUCAGACUUAGUGAAAUUAACACUUGUCUGGAAUUUCAGAUCAGGUAGCACUCUUCGGAGCAUGAAAACUAUAUGCUACAGGACCUAAACAUGGCAAAGUAAAACAUGGCAUGGAGCUACUCAAAGAUCUUAACAAAAGUCCCUUAGUGACCUUGAGCCAAAAGGGAUCAGAAAAUAUAUUUGCAAGCAUGUGAACAUGGCAAAAACAUAAUCGGAUCACAGACUUAGUGAAAACUGGAGCAUGCUGAAAACAGAUAUCAAGUAGGCAUGUUUACGAACUCGAUGCACUCACUAUAGAGCAAGUCAUGACAAUCUAAGCAUACACCCAUCAAGAAUACACAAAAUUCAAGCUAUACAUGGCAAGAACAAUAACAUAGCAUGCACGGAUCAACUACAACAUCCUCGGCAAAAUUGCUAACAAGUAGACAAUCUGCCCAGAUUCACGAAAUAGCAAAAGUAGAGCUCGAUUGACUCAAGCUAGGGUGCUCCAUAAUUGCAAACAAAGACAUGGAUGCAUAGAGCACUACAAUAUUAACAAAACAUCCUUACUUAUCAUCCUCAAAAGAGGCACGGAUCACUAGGAAACAACAUGAACAUAUAGCCAUAUGAGAUAACCAGAUCAAGGGCUUAGUGGAAUUGCUAAGUCCCUGGAAUCAGCAUUACCAAGUGCCUCACUUUGCAAGCUUGUGCUAGUCAGCACACACAUCACAAAAAUACAUGGGUUGCACCUCUGGAAAGAUGGAAAAACCCUUAACAAAACAUAUGUAGAGCUCAUGGGCAUAUCAUGCACACAAUAAUUAUGGCAAAAAUGACAAAUAUCUAAAUGGAGUAGCAGAUCUGACAAUUAUCUCAAGUAGCACUCUUCCAACAGCAUUUCGGGCAUCAAGAUGAACUCAAAUGAAAAUGAUGCAAUAAGAUGAAAUGAUGUGCUCUCUGAGACGAACAUUUUGAUAUGCUAUAUGCCCAAAACGGAGCUACGGAUGAGGAGUUACGGCAUGAUGAACAAGGGCAUAUGAAAUAGGGUUAGGGAGAAAGUCAACCGUCGUUUUGGAUCUAGAUCCAGAUCCGGAUCGCGCGCGUUUCGAGGUUUGCCGGAGAUCUGUUCGCCGGAGUAGCCGCGGGGCAUCACCGGAGGUCGGAGACAAGGAGGGAGAGGCCGGGGCGAUGUGGGCCUCUGGGGAGAGGUCGCCGGCGGGGGUUUCGGGCGGCGCGGCGCCGGUCGNNNNNNNNNNNNNNNNNNNNNNNNNNNNNNNNNNNNNNNNNNNNNNNNNNNNNNNNNNNNNNNNNNNNNNNNNNNNNNNNNNNNNNNNNNNNNNNNNNNNNNNNNNNNNNNNNNNNNNNNNNNNNNNNNNNNNNNNNNNNNNNNNNNNNNNNNNNNNNNNNNNNNNNNNNNNNNNNNNNNNNNNNNNNNNNNNNNNNNNNNNNNNNNNNNNNNNNNNNNNNNNNNNNNNNNNNNNNNNNNNNNNNNNNNNNNNNNNNNNNNNNNNNNNNNNNNNNNNNNNNNNNNNNNNNNNNNNNNNNNNNNNNNNNNNNNNNNNNNNNNNNNNNNNNNNNNNNNNNNNNGGCGGCUUGCGGACGUGAGGCGGCGGGGCGAUGUGGGCCUCGGGGGCCCCGAGCGGGCCUCGCGGGCCGGCGGCGUUGCGGCGGCAAAGUGGGCGCGCGGGCGCCACGUGGCUAGAUCUGAUAGGUCGGCGGCGGUGGGCGGACAAUGCCCGGCCAUCCGGAUUUUGUCCGGCGGCUGGAGGAGGAGGAGGGUUAGGGUUUCUCCCGAGAUUUCGAAUGGGGAAGAUAUAUAUAGGCAUAGAGGGAGCUAGGAGAUUCCAAAUGAGGUGCGGUUUUCGGCCACGCAAUCGUGAUUGAACACUCUAGAUGAUGGAGAAGGUUUAGGUGGGUUUUGGGCCAACUUGGAAGGGUGUUGGGCUGCAACACACACGAGGCCUUUAUGGUCCCUCGGUUAACCGUUGGAGUAUCAAACGAAGUCCAAAUGAUACGAAACUUAACAGGCGGUCUACCGGUAGUAAACCAAGGCCGCUUGGCAAGUCUCGGUCCAAUCCGGAAAUGUUUAAUCCCCACACACGAAAGAAAGGUAGAAAUGACCACCGGAGGAGAACGAAGCGCCUGAAUGCAAAACGGACAAUGGGGAAAAUGUUCGAAUGCAUGAGAUGAACACGUAUGCAAAUGCAAUGCACAUGAUGACAUGAUAUGAGAUGCAUGACAAUGACAACAACACACGGAGACAAAAACCCAAACCCGAGAAAAUAAAAUAACUUAAGGCCGGAAACGGCAAGAGUUGGAAUACAUAUUGGGAAAGUCAUAUCCGGGGUGUUACAACACUCCACCACUACGAAAGGAUCUCGUCCCGAGAUCUAGGACUGAAAGAACACCGGGUACUCAGAACGGAGGUGAUCCUCGCGUUCCCAGGUAGCUUCACGGUCGGAAUGGUGUGACCACUUGACUUUGAGGAAUUUGAUUGACUUGUUGCGAGUCUUGCGUUCAGUCUCUUCAAGAAUAGCAACUGGGUGCUCACAAUAAGAGAGAUCUUCUUGGAGCUCAAUGUCCUCGAAGUUGACAGUGCGGUCAGGAGUCUUGAAGCACUUUCGAAGCUGAGAGACAUGGAACACAUCAUGAACAUUUGCAAAGUUUGAAGGAAGCUCAAGUUGAUAGGCGAGAUCGCCUCUCUUGCUGACAAUCUUGAAAGGUCCCACAUAUCUAGGGGCAAGCUUCCCUUUGAUACUGAAGCGACGAGUACCUUUCAUAGGAGAGACGCGGAGGUAAACAUGAUCUCCGAUCUCGAAAGCCAAAUCACGGUGCUUACUGUCAUAGUAGCUCUUCUAGCGGGAUUGGUCUGCUUUGAGGUUAUCUCGAAUGACUUUGCACAUUUCCUCUGCCUCUAUGAUUAAGUCAUUUCCGAGAAGCUGACGUUCACCUGUUUUGGACCAGUUGAGAGGGGUACGGCACUUCCUGCCAUACAGAAUUUCAAAUGGGGCCUUGCCCGAACUUGCUUGAAAACUGUUGUUGUAGGAGAAUUCAGCAUAAGGAAGACAAUCCUCCCACUUCAUGCCGAAGGAGAUCACACAAGCCCUGAGCAUAUCUUCAAGAAUCUGGUUGACACGCUCGACUUGACCGCUAGUUUGAGGAUGGAAAGCUGUGCUGAAGCGGAUGUUGGUGCCCAUGGCCUUCUGAAAAGAAUCCCAAAACUUGGAGGUAAAGAUGCUGCCACGGUCUGAAGAGAUCACUUGUGGAAUACCGUGCAGAGAGAAAAUUCGAGAGGUAUAGACUUCCGCCAAUUGAGCUGCAGUGAUUGACUCUUUGAUAGGCAGAAAGUGAGCCACUUUAGUGAGUUUGUCGAUGACAACGAAUAUAGCAUCAUUGCCACACUUGGACUUUGGAAACCUAGUCACGAAGUCCAUUUCAAUGUGGUCAAACUUCCAUUCUGGAAUGGCAAGAGGUUGGAGGAGACCCGCUGGUCUUUGGUGUUCUGCCUUCACUCUUCUGCGGACAUCACACUCAUUCACGAACUGAGCGAUCUCGCGCUUCAUUCGAGUCCACCAGUAAGCCUGCCUGAGGUCCUGAUACAUCUUCGUACUCCCAGGGUGGAUGGAGAGGAGAGAAUUGUGAGCCUUGUUCAUGAUCACUUUACGGAGGUCACCUUUGGGCACAACAAUACGAUCCUCGAAGAAGAGAGUCUCCUUGUCAUCAAGGCGGUAGCACUUGUACUUGGGUUGACUCUUGGCAAUCACAAUCUUCACCUUUUUCACCAUAGCAUCAAGAAGCUGGGCUUGGCGAAUCUGGUCUUCCAAGGUAGGAGAUACUUGAAGGUUGGCGAGGAAACCUUGAGGAACAACUUGCAGGUUAAGUUUGCGGAAAGCUUCACAAAGCUCGGGUUGAUAAGGCUUGAGAAUUAGACUGUUGCAAUAAGCCUUUCUGCUCAAUGCGUCAGCAAUCACAUUGGCCUUGCCUGGAGUAUACUCGAUACUCGGAUUAUACUCUUGAAUCAUUUCGACCCAUCGAGUUUGCCUAAGGUUGAGAUUAGGCUGAGUGAAGAUGUACUUGAGACUCUUGUGAUCAGUGAAAAUGUCCACUUUUCUUCCCAAUAAGAGAUGUCUCCAAGUCAAAAGAGCAUGCACAACUGCCGCCAACUCGAGAUCAUGAGUGGGGUAGUUCUUCUCAUUGGGCUUCAAUUGGCGAGAGGUAUAAGCAACAACUUUCUUCUCUUGCAUCAACACUGCGCCAAGACCUUGGAGAGAGGCAUCACAAAAGACCUCGUACGGCUUGGAUUCAUCAGGCGGAGUCAGAACUGGAGCAGUGAUCAAUUUCUCUUUCAAAGUGUUGAAAGCAAUGUCACACUCCGGAGACCAAACGUACUUGACGUGCUUCUGGAGAAGAUUUGAGAGAGGCUUCGCGAUCUUAGAAAAGUUUUCAACGAAUCUUCGAUAGUAGCUUGCGAGACCGAGGAAGCUACGAAGUUGCUUCACGUUCUGAGGAGGUUCCCAAUUCACAAUUGCAGACACCUUCUCAGGAUUCAUGGCAAUGCCCUUGGCAGAGAUGAUAUGACCAAGAUAAAGAACCUCAUCGAGCCAAAAUUCGCACUUGGAGAACUUGGCGUAGAACUUGUGUUCCCUCAACUUAUCGAGUACCAAACGCAAGUGCUUGGCAUGAUCUUCCUUGUUCUUCGAGCAAACCAGAAUGUCGUCGAGAUAGACCAAAUGAAGUCAUUGGUGUAGGCAUUGAAGAUGAAGUUCAUCAUGCGAGAGAAAGUCGGAGGAGCGUUGACGAGGCCAAAAGACAUGACAGUGUAUUCAUAUGACCCAUAGCUUGUCCUGAAAGCCGUCUUGGGAAUAUCUUGCUCACAGAUUUGAAUAUGAUGAUAACCCAUACGGAGAUCAAGCUUGGAGAAUACUUGCGCACCUUUGAGUUGUUCGAACAGCUUGUUGAUGUUGGGAAGUGGGUAUUUGUUCUUGAUAGUCUUCUUGUUCAAUGGACGGUAAUCAACACAAAGCCGAUCCGUUCCAUCCUUCUUCUUCACAAAAAGAACACCACAACCCCACGGAGAAGAACUAGGCUGGAUGAGACCCAUUCUCUCUUGAAUAUCGAGUUGCUUCUUCAGCUCCUUCAACUCUUCAGGUCCGAGCUUGUAAGGACGCUUGCACACUGGUUCCGUGCCAGGAUCAAGAUCGAUGACGAAUUUAACUGGCCGAUGCGGAGGCAUUCCUAGAAGCUCUUUUGGAAAGACGUCUUGAUAUUCGCAAACGACUGGAAUUUGCGAGAUAGCAUCCAGUUCACCCUUCUCAUUGAGAGAAAACAGACGGAUGGUAUCAUCACAAGCGGCAAAGACAAUUACAUCCUCAGACGAAUGAGUCAAUUGAAUCUGCCUGGCUGCACAAUCAAGCUGAGCCUUGUGCUUAGAAAGCCAAUCCAUUCCGAGAAUAAGAUCAAUAUCCGAGUCCCCAAGAACUGUAGGAGAAGAUAGAAAUUUGUAGUCUCCCAAAGUGAUAGUAACAUCUGGAGCAAUGGAGUUAGCAUGCAUGCGCCUACCGGGAGAGACAACUACUAAUGGACUAGGCAAAAUUUGCAAAGCCAACCCAUGCUUAGAUGAAAACGGUCUCGAUAUGAAAUAAUGCGAUGCACCCGUGUCAAAAAGAACUUUUGCAGGAAUAUCGUUAAUAGGAAGGUUACCCAUGAUGACAUCUGACGAGUCUGCAUUCAUCAAGUUGACCUUGGCGUGCUUGGGGUUAUGCUUGACCACAGGUGUACUUGCCCUCACAGGAGGAGGAGGAGGAGGAAGACGCCUCUGGUUGAAACACUUGUUGGCAUAGUGACCCUUCUAUUGGCACUUGUUGCACGUGACCUCUGAAAGUGGACGGUGAUACGGAGCACUCGAUCUUGGAGCUUGAGACGAAGUCUUGUUCUGAAAGCCAGGGUUGGGUGGGUGGGAAGAUCCACUGCCACCUUUGCUCUUCUGCUGAUACGGCUGACGGAACGGAGGAGGAGGAAGCCAAUACUUCUGCUGCUUGGCCACUUGAGUAGAGGAAGAAGGAGUAACAUCUCUAACUCGCUUCUUGGAAGCAUCACACCUCAGUUGAGCGGCAUCUUGCUUCAAUGCCAUGUUGUAGAACUCAUCGUACCUCAAGGGCUCAAAGAGAACAAGAGCUAGCUGAAUUUCCUCUCUGAGACCACCCCUGAACUGGUAUAUCAUGCUCUUCUCAUCAGGGACGUCCUGCUUGGCAAAGCGGGCGAGCUUCUGAAACAGCUUGUUGUAGUCAUAGACUGACAAAGAGCCUUGCUUCAGGUUGUGGAAUUCCUCACGCUUGCUUUCAACCACGCUCUGAGAAAUAUGAUGAGCUCUGAAAUCUUGACGGAAUUCAUCCCAGGUAAUAACACAUCCACCUCUGGAAUCCUUGUACUGCUGGAACCAUUCUGCAGCUUGAUCUUUGAGUUGGAAGGAAGCAAACUUGACGAAGUCCUCAGGCCCGACGUUACUGCACUUGAAAUGCUUGCACAGAUCCACGAGCCAAUCGUCAGCAUCGGUUGCCUCAACACAAUUGUUGAAAGUCUUUGGCCCAUUAGCAAGGAACUGGUUGAGAGUGGCAAAGUGAUUCUGAUUGUUGCCUUGGUUCCCUUGGUUGCCUUGAUUGCACUCUUGAAGAAUUUGCAUGAUCAACUGUGUGUUUGCAUUGGUUGCGGCCAUCACAGCUUGCCAUGCCUCCGGAGGAGGGGGAGGUGGUGGCGGAUCUUGAUUCUGAUUCUGAUUGGUGCUCUUAGCGGGAGCCAUCCUGAAGAGGUUGACCACCGUUAGCACAUAGAUAGAUAAAAUGAAGCUGAAUCCAAUGGAAUGAAAAUUGCAACAUAAAGUCUUCACAUCCGAACAGAAUGAACGAAUGCAUUCCUCUUGAAAUGGUCACAUAUCCAUAAAUUGACAAGCCACUUAGAAUUUAUGUAGAGAAAUAAAUCAACAAGGUAUGGAUCAAGAACGAAUACUCGGUAAGAAAUCCCAAUCUCAAACCAAAUAUCCGUGGAAGAAGAGCUAGAGCUACUUGAAUUCCCACCUAUGAAACUCCCGAACCUUUCCGGUUAUGCAAUCAGGUGUUGGGGAUACAGGGGAAGCAUAAUAUCUCACCCAAAUCUAGCAAAUCAUACAUCCAGCUGUAUCCAUCCUUCAACACAUAACCGAGAAAACUUCGGAAACCAUCUACCUCAACCUUCGAAAAGCAUCCGUUAUACAAGUUAUGGCGAUACUCCCGAACUCCCGCCCCAUUACGGGGUGGCGUCGAGGUUAUCUCACCAACGAACUACAUAAAAGAGAUUUUCGAUGUCGGCGUACUAAACUCAGGUAUUCCAGAACUGCAACGAUAAAAUUAUGACGACAACACCUCAGAGCUCAACUCCCCGGGACACUUCCACAAAACCCCUGACAGGAGGCACCAAGACAAUGUUCUCGUCAUAAAACCAUCGGAACGAUUCCAAGAUACCCGUGUGAUCCUAAAAAAAAUUAGUGAAAUUUGAGAAAAGAAGAGUCAAAACUCUACGUCAGGAUGCUUUACCAGAGCGAUGAGGAGACUGGGAAGUAAAAAAGAAUUCCUAAACUCUCCGAUAUAUAAUUCCUAAAUGACUCAAAACAUUUUUCUAGACACAACUCAGCCGCUAAUAAUGAUCAAGCAAUGGGGCUCCUAAGGUCGGGGAAGGCUCUAAUUACCAACUUGUAACACCCUCGAUGCGACUAUAUCUCCCACGUGUCGAGGCACGACUUAGAGGCAUAAUCGCAUUAAAGGCAUAUGUCGCAAAUUAGGCAAUCUUCACAACAUCCCAUGUAGUAUAGAUAAUAAAAGGGGAGAUAACAUAGUUGGCUUACACUCGCCACGUCAAUCAAGGUACAUAAAUAACAUUACAUCAUCCAAACACUCAUGGCCCGACUACGGCACCAAAAUAAAAGAUAACCCAACAUGCGACACGGUCCCGAUCGCCCCCAACUGGGCACCACUACUGAUCAUCAGGAAAGGAAACAUAGUAUUGUUGAGAGUGUUGGAGAACGUAGUAAUUUCAAAAAAAUUCCUAUGCACAUGCAAGAUCAUGGUGAUGCAUAGCAACGAGAGGGGAGAGUGUGAUCUACGUAUUUGUAGACCGACAGCGGAAGCGUUAGCACAACGCGGUUGAUGUAGUCGUACGUCUUCACGGCCCGACCGAUCAAGCACCGAAACUAUGGCACCUCCGAGUUUUAGCAUACGUUUAGCUCGAUGACGAUCCCCGGACUCCGAUCCAGCAAAGUGUCGGGGAAGAGUUCCGUCAGCACGACGGCGUGGUGACGAUCUUGAUGUACUAUCGUCGCAGGGCUUCGCCUAAGCACCGCUACAAUAUUGUCGAGGAUUAUGGUGGAAGGGGGCACCGCACACGGCUAAGAAUAUGAUCACGUGGAUCAACUUGUGUGUCUAGGGGUGCCCCCUGCCCCCGUAUAUAAAGGAUCAAGGGGAGGAGGCCGGCCGGCCCCUAUGGCGCGCCAAGGAGGAGUCCUCCUCCUAGUAGGAGUAGGACUCCUACUAGGAGGGGGAAAGAAGUGGGGAGGGAGAAGGAAAGGGGGGCGCCGCCCCCCCCUCUCCUAGUCCAAUUUGGACCAGGGGGGAGGAGGCGCGCGGCCCACCUUUGGCUGCCCCUUUCCCUCUCCACUAAGGCCCAUAUGGCCCAUUACUUCUCCCGGGGGGGUUCCGGUAACCCUCCGGCUCUCCGGUUUUCUCCGAAAUCACCCGGAACACUUCCGGUGUCCGAAUGUAGCCGUCCAAUAUAUCAAUCUUUAUGUCUCGACCAUUUAGAGACUCCUCGUCAUGUUCGUGAUCACAUCCGGGACUCCGAACUAACUUCGGUACAUCAAAACUCAUAAACUCAUAAUAUAACUGUCAUUGAAACCUUAAGCGUGCGGACCCUACGGGUUCGAGAACAAUGUAGACAUGACCGAGACACGUAUCCGGUCAAUAACCAAUAGCGGAACCUAGAUGCUCAUAUUGGCUCCUACAUAUUCUACGAAGAUCUUUAUCGGUCAGACUGCAUAACAACAUACGUUGUUCCCUUUGUCAUCGGUAUGUUACUUGCCCGAGAUUCGAUCGUCGGUAUCUCAAUACCUAGUUCAAUCUUGUUACCGGCAAGUCUCUUUACUCGUUUCGUAAUACAUCAUCUCGCAACUAACUCAUUAGUUGCAAUGCUUGCAAGGCUUAAGUGAUGUGCAUUACCGAGAGGGCCCAGAGAUACCUCUCCGACAAUCGGAGUGACAAAUCCUAAUCUCGAAAUAUGCCAACCCAACAUGUACCUUUGGAGACACCUGUAGAGUACCUUUAUAAUCACCCAUUUAUGUUGUGACGUUUGGUAGCACACAAAGUGUUGCUCCGGCAAACGGGAGUUGCAUAAUCUCAUAGUCAUAGGAACAUGUAUAAGUCAUGAAGAAAGCAAUAACAACAUACUAAACGAUCGGGUGCUUAGCUAAUGGAAUGGGUAAUGUCAAUCAGAUCAUUCACCUAAUGAUGUGAUCCCGUUAAUCAAAUAACAACUCUUUGUUCAUGGUUAGGAAACAUAACCAUCUUUGAUUAACGAGCUAGUCAAGUAGAGGCAUACUAGUGACACUCCGUUUGUCUAUGUAUUCACACAUGUAUUAUGUUUCCGGUUAAUACAAUUCUAGCAUGAAUAAUAAACAUUUAUCAUGAUAUAAGGAAAUAAAUAAUAACUUUAUUAUUGCCUCUAGGGCAUAUUUCCUUCAGAGAGUCCUCGUCGAACUCCCACUUGAGCUCAAGCGCGUCACCUGGAGUGGAAUCAUCAGGCCCUGCAUCUGGUUUAAUAGUAAUCUGUGAGCCAGAGGGACUCAGCAAUCUCGCACCCUCGCGAUCAAGACUAUUUAAGCUUAUAGGUAAGGCAAGGUAAAUAUGUGGAGCUGCAGCAAGCGACUAGCAUAUAUGGUGGCUAUCCUGUUCGCAAAAGAGGGCGAGAAGAGAAGGCUAAGCGCGAAUGAAUAACUAGAGAGCAACCUGCGCAAACAUUACUCCAACACCGUGUCCACUUCCCGGACUCCGCCGAGAAGAGGCCAUCACGGUAACUCACACUGUUGAUUCAUUUUAAUUAAGUUAAGGUUCAAGUUGUCUACAACCGGACAUUAACAAAUUCCCAUCUGCCCAUAACCACGGGCACGGCUUUCGAAAGUUCAAAUCCCUGCAGGGGAGUCCCAACUUAGCCCAUGAUAAGCUCUCACGGUCAACGAAGGAAUAGACCUCCUCCCGAGACGUUCCGAUCAGACUCGGUAUCUCGGUUCUUCAAGACACUUCGACAGGUUAAAACAAAUCCAGCAACACCGUCCGAAUGUGCCGACAAAUCCCGAUAGGAGCUGCACAUAUCUCUUUCUCAGGGCACACUCAGAUUGUCUUAGGUACGGGUAGGCCAGCCCAGAGUUGCCCCUGGUGGCCACCGGCAGCUGACAGGUGGACCAACACUCAGAGGAGCACUGGCCCGGGGGGGUUUAAAAUAAGAUGACCCUCGGGCUUCGGAAACCCAAGGGAAAAAGAGGCUAGGUGGAAAAUGGUAAAACCAAGGUUGGGCAUUGCUGGAAAAUCUUUAAUCAAGGCGAACUAUCAAGGGGUUCCCAUUAUAACCCAACCGCGUAAGGAACGCAAAAUCCGGGAACAUAACACCGAUAUGAUGGAAACUAGGGCGGCAAGAGUGGAACAAAACACUAGGCGAGAGGCCGAGCCUUCCACCCUUUACCAAGUAUAUAGAUGCAUUAAGAUAACAUGCCAAUAUAAUGAUAUCCCAACAAGUAAAUAAAUGUUCCAACAAGGAACGGUCUCCAAUCUUCACCUGCAACUAGCAACGCUAUAAGAGGGGUUGAGCAAAGCGGUAACAUAGCCAAUCAACAGUUUGCUAGGACAUGGUGGGUUAGAGGUUUGACAUGGCAAUUUGGGAGGCUUGAAAGCAAGUGGUAGGCAUCGUUGCAUUGGCAUAGCAAAAGAGCGAGCAUCUAGCAAAGCAAAGAUAGUAGUGAUUUUGAGGGUAUGAUCAUCUUGCCUGCAAAGUUGUCAAAGUUGACUGGAUCCUCGAAAGCAAACUCAACGGGCUCCUCGUUAGCGACCUCGUCUCCCGGCUCUACCCAAACAAGACAAACAAGCAAACAGAACACAAUCAACCACGUGCAAAGCUCAAACAAUAUGAUGCAAAGAUGAUAUGCUAUGCGGGAUGCAUAUGCAAGAUUUGAUAAGGAAUUCACGAACCUGGCCUCAACUUGGGAAUCCAAGUGUGCCACUGGAAAGAUGAGAUGAAAUCGCUUGAAAACGAUAUAAAGAUCACCGGAAUCGGGGUUACGGUUUGGAAAUGGCAAGCAAAUCAAAUAUGAUCACGUUCUGCGAUUUACAGCAAGUAGCCAUCUAAAUGCAAUGAGAUGAACAAGCUACAGCACCCAAACAUGGCAUAAAAAUACAUGGCAGGGAUGCAUUCCUGAUUCUUAACAAAAGUCUAGCACUGAGCUACGGCCAAUUCAUCUAUUAACAGGUUCAAACAAGCAUGGCAAAAAUGCAUAUGGUAAACAGAUUUCAGACUUAGUGAAAUUAACACUUGUCUGGAAUUUCAGAUCAGGUAGCACUCUUCGGAGCAUGAAAACUAUAUGCUACAGGACCUGAACAUGGCAAAGUAAAACAUGGCAUGGAGCUACUCAAAGCGCUUAACAAAAGUCCCUUAGUGAACUGGAGCCAAAAGGGAUCAGAAAAUACAUUUGCAAGCAUGUGAACAUGGCAAAAACAUAAUCAGAUCAUAGACUUAGUGAAAACUGGAGCAUGCUGAAAACAGAUAUCAAGUAGGCAUGUUUAUGAGCUCGAUGCACUCACUACAUAGCAAGUCAUGACAAUCUAUGAAUACACCCAUCAAGAAUACACAAAAUGCAAGCUAGACAUGGCAAGAACAAUAACAUAGCAUGCACGGAUCAACUAAAACAUCCUCGGCAAAAUUGCUAACAAGUAGACAAUCUGCCCAGAUUCACGAAAUAGCAAAAGUAGAGCUCGGUUGACUCAAGCUAGGGUGCUCCAUAAUUGCAAACAAAGACAUGGAUGGAUAGAGAACUACAAGAUUAACAAAACAUCCUUACUUAUCAUCCUCAAAAGAGGCACGGAUCACUAGGAAACAACAUGAACAUAUGGCCAUAUGAGAUAACCAGAUCAAGGACUUAGUGGAAUUGCAAAGUCCUUGAAAUCAGCAUUACCAAGUGCCUCACUUUGCAAGCUUGUGCUAGUCAGCACACACAUCACAAAAAUACAUGGGUUGCACCUCUGGAAAGAUGGCAAAACCCUUAACAAAACAUAUGUAGAGCUCAUGGGCAUAUCAUGCACACAAUAAUCAUGGCAAAAAUGACAAAUAUCUAAAUGGAGUAGCAGAUCUGACAAUUAUCUCAAGUAGCACUCUUCCAACAGCAUUUAGGGCAUUAAGAUGAACUCAAAUUAAAAUGAUGCAAUGCGACGAAAUGAUGUGCUCUCUGAGGCGAACAUUUUGAUAUGCUAUAUGCCCAAAACGGAGCUACGGAUGAGGAGUUACGGCACGAUAAACAAGGGCAUAUGAACUAGGGUUAGGGAGAAAGUCAACCGUCGUUUUGGAUCUAGAUCCAGAUCCGGAUCGCGCGUGUUUCGAGGUUCGCCGAAGACCUGUUCGCCGGAGUAGCCGCGGGGCGUCGCUGGAGGUCGGAGACGAGGAGGGAGAGGCCGGGGCGAUGUGGGCCUCGGGGGAGAGGUCGCCGGCGGGUGUACCGCGCGGCGCCGCGCCUGUCGGGAGGCGGCGGGGUCGGUCCGGCGGGCUCGCAGCCNNNNNNNNNNNNNNNNNNNNNNNNNNNNNNNNNNNNNNNNNNNNNNNNNNNNNNNNNNNNNNNNNNNNNNNNNNNNNNNNNNNNNNNNNNNNNNNNNNNNNNNNNNNNNNNNNNNNNNNNNNNNNNNNNNNNNNNNNNNNNNNNNNNNNNNNNNNNNNNNNNNNNNNNNNNNNNNNNNNNNNNNNNNNNNNNNNNNNNNNNNNNNNNNNNNNNNNNNNNNNNNNNNNNNNNNNNNNNNNNNNNNNNNNNNNNNNNNNNNNNNNNNNNNNNNNNNNNNNNNNNNNNNNNNNNNNNNNNNNNNNNNNNNNNNNNNNNNNNNNNNNNNNNNNNNNNNNNNNNNNNNNNNNNNNNNNNNNNNNNNNNNNNNNNNNNNNNNNNNNNNNNNNNNNNNNNNNNNNNNNNNNNNNNNNNNNNNNNNNNNNNGGGCGCGGCGCCGAUGGCCUCGGGCGGCCGGACGCGAGGAGGGUGGUGGCGGCUUGCGAACAUGAGGCGGCGGGGCGAUGUGGGCCUCGGGGGCCCCGAGCGCUGCGGCGGCGAAGUGGGCGCGUGGGCGCCACGUGGCAAGAUCUGGUAGGUCGGCGGCGGUGGGCGGACAAUGUCCGGCCGUCCGGAUUUUGUCCGGCGGCUGGAGGAGGAGGAGGGUUAGGGUUUCUCCUGAGAUUUCAAUGGGGAAGAUAUAUAUAGGCAUAGAGGGAGCUAGGAGAGUCCAAAUGAGGUGCGGUUUUCGGCCACGCGAUCGUGAUCGAACUCUCUAGAUGAUGGAGAAGGUUUAGGUGGGUUUUGGGCCAACUUGGAAGGGUGUUGGGCUGCAACACACACGAGGCCUUUACGGUCCCUCGGUUAACCGUUGGAGUAUCAAACAAAGUCCAAAUGAUACGAAACUUGACAGGCGGUCUACCGGUAGUAAACCAAGGCCGCUUGGCAAGUCUCGGUCUAAUCCGGAAAUGUUUAAUCCCCACACACGAAAGAAAGGUAGAAAUGACCACCGGAGGAGAACGAAGCGCCGGAAUGCAAAACGGACAACGGGGAAAAUGCUCGAAUGCAUGAGAUGAACAUGUAUGCAAAUGCAAUGCACAUGAUGACAUGAUAUGAGAUGCAUGACAACGACAAAAACACACGGAGACAAAAACCCAAACCCGAGGAAAUAAAAUAACAUAAGGCCAGAAAUAGCAAGAGUUGGAAUACAUAGUGGGAAAGUCAUAUCCGGGGUGUUACAAAUAAUGUGUUAGGCUCAGGCUAGAGAAGAAAUAGGGAACAAACUUAUGAAAGAAUGAUCAUACCGAGGGAAUUCACUCAGAACUAACAAGAAUGAUCACGUGCUCCGACUGGAGCGCUUAGGAACUGCUGGAAGGAUCUAGGGGAAUAAAGAUGGAAUGACUUCAAAUUUUUAGGCCCAUAUGAUUUGAAAUACUUGCACACAAACCGCGAGAAAGCGUUCCUGGAAAUCUCAGCCCAAAAAAGGAUGUUUAGUAAUUCUAAAAGGGACUACAGGAUGAAAAACAAUAGUUUUGGCAGUUAAAGUUUGAGAUUUGACGGUGUCGUAGAUCCGUUUGGUCAUCAGGUGUUACGAGCCACACCCAUGUCUAGCUAGAAUAGUGUGUUAGGCUCAGGCUAGAGAAGAAACGGGGAACAAACUGAUGAAAGAAUGAUCAAACCGAGGGGAUUCACUCAGAACUAACAAGAAUGAUAACGUGCUCCGACUAGAGCGGUUUAGGAACUUCUGGAAGGCUCUAGGGGAAUAAAGAUGGAAUGACUUCUAAUUUUUAGGUCCGUAUGAUUUGAAAUACUUUCACACAAACCGCGCGAAAGCGUUCCUGGAAAUCUCAGCCCCAAAAAGGACGUUUAGUAAUUCUAGAAGGGACUAUAGGAUGAAAAACAAUAGUUUUGGUAGUUAAAGUUUGAGAUUCGAUGGUGCCGUGGAUCCGUUUGGUCAUCAGGUGUUACGAGCCACACCCAUGUCUAGCUAGAAUAGUAUGUUAGGCUCAGGUUAGAGAAGAAACGGGGAACAAACUGAUGAAAAAAUGAUCAUACCAAGGGAAUUCACUCAGAACUAACAAGAAUGAUAACGUGCUCCGACUGGAGCGGUUUAGGAACUGCUGGAAGGCUCUAGGGGAAUAAAGAUGGAAUGACUUCUAAUUUUUACGUCCGUAUGAUUUGAAAUACUUGCACACAAACCACGCAAAAGCGUUCCUGGAAAUCUCAGCCUAAAAAAGGACGUUUAGUAAUUCUAAAAGGGACUACAGGAUGAAAAAUAAUAGUUUGGGCAGUUAAAAUUUGAGAUUCAACGGUGCCGUAGAUCCGUUUGGUCAUGAGGUGUUACGAGCCACACCCAUGUCUAGCUAGAAUAGUGUGUUAGGCUCAGGCUAGAGAAGAAACGGGGAACAAAUUGAUGAAAGAAUGAUCAUACCGAGGGAAUUCACUCAGAACUAACAAGAAUGAUAACGUGCUCCGACUGGAGCAGUUUGGAAACUGUUGGUAGGCUCUAGGGGAAUAAAGAUGGAAUCACUUCAAAUUUUUAGGUCCGUAUGAUUUGAAAUACUGGCACACAAACCGCGCGAAAGUGUUCCUGGAAAUCUCAGCCCAAAAAAGGACGUUUAGUAAUUCUAAAAGGGACUACAGGAUGAAAAACAAUACUUUUGGCAGUUAAAGUUUGAGAUUCGACGGUGCCGUAGAUCUGUUUGGUCAUCAGGUGUAACGAGCCACACCCAUGUCUAGCUAGAGUAGUGUGCUAGGCUCAGACUAGAGAAGAAACGGGGAACAAAGUGAUGAAAGAAUGAUCAUACCGAGGGAAUUCACUCAGAACUAACAAGAAUGAUAACGUGCUCCGACUGGAGCGGUUUAGGAACUGCUGGAAGGCUCUAGGGAAAUAAAGAUGGAAUGACUUCUAAUUUUUAGGUCCAUAUCAUUUGAAAUACGUGCACACAAACCCCGAGAAAGCGUUCCUGGAAAUCUCGGCCGAAAAAAGGAUGUUUAAUAAUUCUAAAAGGGACUACAGGAUGAAAAACAAUAGUUUUGGCAGUUAAAGUUUGAGAUUUGACGGUGCCGUAGAUCUGUUUGGUCAUCAGGGGUUACGAGCCACACCCAUGUCUAGCUAGAAUAGUGUGUUAGGCUCAGGCUAGAGAAGAAACGGGGAACAAAUUGAUGAAAGAAUGAUCAUACCGAGGGAAUUCACUCAGAACUAACAAGAAUGAUAACGUGCUCCGACUGGAGCAGUUUGGAAACUGUUGGUAGGCUCUAGGGGAAUAAAGAUGGAAUCACUUCUAAUUUUUAGGUCCGUAUGAUUUGAAAUACAUGCACACAAACCCCAAGAAAGCGUUCCUGGAAAUCUCGCCCCGAAAAACGACGUUUAGUAAUUCUAAAAGGGACUACAGGAUGAAAAACAAUACUUUUGGCAGUUAAAGUUUGAGAUUCGACGGUGCCGUAGAUCUGUUUGGUCAUCAGGUGUAACGAGCCACACCCAUGUCUAGCUAGAGUAGUGUGCUAGGCUCAGACUAGAGAAGAAACGGGGAACAAAGUGAUGAAAGAAUGAUCAUACCGAGGGAAUUCACUCAGAACUAACAAGAAUGAUAACAUGCUCCGACUGGAGCGGUUUAGGAAGUGCUGGAAGGCUCUAGGGAAAUAAAGAUGGAAUGACUUCUAAUUUUUAGGUCCAUAUCAUUUGAAAUACGUGCACACAAACCCCGAGAAAGCGUUCCUGGAAAUCUCGGCCGAAAAAAGGAUGUUUAAUAAUUCUAAAAGGGACUACAGGAUGAAAAACAAUAGUUUUGGCAGUUAAAGUUUGUGAUUCGAUGGUGCCGUAGAUCUGUUUGGUCAUCAGGUGUUACGAGCCACACCCAUGUCUAGCUAGAACAGUGUGUUAGGCUCAGGCUAGAGCAGAAACGGGGAACAAACUUAUGAAAGAAUGAUCAUACCGAGGGAAUUCACUCAGAACUAACAAGAAUGAUAACGUGCUCCAACUGGAGCGGUUUAGGAACUGCUGGAAGGCUCUAGGGGAAUAAAGAUGGAAUGACUUCAAAUUUUUAGGUCCGUAUGAUUUGAAAUACUUGCACACAAACCGCUAGAAAGCGUUCCUGGAAAUCUCAGCCCAAAAAAGGACGUUUAGUAAUUCUAAAAGGGACUACAGGAUGAAAAACAAUAGUUCUGGCAGUUAAAGUUUGAGCUUCGAUAAUGUCGUAGAUCCGUUUGGUCAUCAGGUGUAACGAGCCACACCCAUUUCUAGCUAGAGUAGUGUGCUAGGCUCAGACUAGAGAAGAAAUGGGCAACAAACUAAUGAAAGAAUGAUCAUACCGAGGGAAUUCACUCAGAACUAACAAGAAUGAUAACGUGCUCCGACUGGAGCGGUUUAGGAACUGCUGGAAGGCUCUAGGGGAAUAAAGAAGGAAUGACUUCUAAUUUUUAGGUCCGUAUGAUUUGAAAUGUGUGCACACAAACCCCGAGAAAGCAUUCCUGGAAAUCUCGGCCCAAAAAAGGACGUUUAGUAAUUCUAAAAGGGACUACAGGAUGAAAAACAAUAGUUUUGGCAGUUAAAGUUUGAGAUUCGAUAAUGCCGUAGAUCCGUUUGGUCAUCAGGUGUAACGAGCCACACCCAUGUCUGGUUAGAGUAGUGUGCUAGGCUCAGACUAGAUAAGAAACGGGGAACAAACUGAUGAAAGAAUGAUCAUACCGAGCGAAUUCACUCAGAACUAACAAGAAUGAUAACAUGCUCCGACUGGAGCGGUUUAGGAACUGCUGGAAGGCUCUAGGGGAAUAAAGAUGGAAUGACUUCUAAUUUUUAGGUCCGUAUGAUUUGAAAUACUUGCACACAAACCACGCGAAAGCGUUCCUGGAAAUCUCAGCCCAAAAAAGGACGUUUAGUAAUUCUAAAAGGGACUACAGGAUGAAAAACAAUAGUUUUGGCAGUUAAAGUUUGAGAUUCGACAGUGCCGUAGAUCCGUUUGGUCAUCAGGUAUUACGAGCCACACCCAUGUCUAGCUAGAAUAGUGUGCUAGGCUCAGGCUAGAGAAGAAACGGGGAACAAACUGAUGAAAGAAUGAUCAAACCGAGGGAAUUCACUCAGAACUAACAAUAAUGAUAACGUGCUCCGACUGGUGCGGUUUAGGAACUGCUGGAAGGCUCUAGGGGAAUAAAGAUGGAAUGACUUCUAAUUUUUAGGUCCGUAUGAUUUGAAAUACUUGCACACAAACCGCGCGAAAGCGUUCCUGGAAAUCUCAGCCCAAAAAAGGACGUUUAGUAAUUUUAAAAGGGACUAUAGGAUGAAAAACAAUAGUUUUGGCAAUUAAAGUUUGAGAUUCGACGGUGUCGUAGAUCCGUUUGGUCAUCAGGUGUUACGAGCCACACCCAUGUCUAGCUAGAAUAGUAUGUCAGGCUCAGGUUAGAGUAGAAACGGGGAACAAACUGAUGAAAGAAUGAUCAUACCAAGGGAAUUCACUCAGAACUAUCAAGAAUGAUAACGUGCUCCGACUGGAGUGAUUUAGGAACUGCUGGAAGGCUCUAGGGGAAUAAAGAUGGAAUGACUUCUAAUUUUUACGUCCGUAUGAUUUGAAAUACUUGCACACAAAUCACGCAAAAGCGUUCCUGGAAAUCUCAGCCUAAAAAAGGACGUUUAGUAAUUCUAAAAGGGACUACAGGAUGAAAAACAAUAGUUUGGGCAGUUAAAAUUUGAGAUUCGACGGUGCCGUAGAUCCGUUUGGUCAUCAGGUGUUACGAGCGACACCCUUGUCUAGCUAGAAUAGUGUGUUAGGCUCAGACUAGAGAAGAAACGGGGAACAAAGUGAUGAAAGAAUGAUCAUACCGAGGGAAUUCACUCAGAACUAACAAGAAUGAUAACGUGCUCCGACUGGAGCGGUUUAGUAACUGCUGGAAGGCUCUAGGGGAAUGAAGAUGGAAUGACUUCUAAUUUUUAGGUCCGUAUGAUUUGAAAUACAUGCACACAAACCCUGAGAAAGCGUUCCUGGAAAUCUCGGUCGAAAAAAGGAUGUUUAAUAAUUCUAAAAGGGACUACCGGAUGAAAAACAAUAGUUUUGGCAGUUAAAGUUUGUGAUUCGAUGGUGCCGUAGAUCUGUUUGGUCAUCAGGUGUUACGAGCCACACCCAUGUCUAUCUAGAAUAGUGUGUUAGGCUCAGGCUAGAGCAGAAACGGGGAACAGACUUAUGAAAGAAUGAUCAUACCGAGGGAAUUCACUCAGAACUAACAAGAAUGAUAACGUGCUCCGACUGGCGCGGUUUAGGAACUGCUGGAAGGCUCUAGGGGAAUAAAGAUGGAAAGACUUCUAAUUUUUAGGUCCGUAUGAUUUGAAAUACUUGCACACAAACCGCACGAAAGCGUUCCUGGAAAUCUCAGCCUAAAAAGGAUGUUUAGUAAUUCUAAAAGGGACUACAAGAUGAAAAAUAAUAGUUUGGGCAGUUAAAAUUUGAGAUUCGACGAUGCCGUAGAUCCGUUUGGUCAUCAGGUGUUAUGAGCCACACCCAUGUCUAGCUAGAAUAGUGUGUUAGGCUCAGGCUAGAGAAGAAACGGGGAACAAACUGAUGAAAGAAUGAUCAUACCGAGGGAAUUCACUCAGAACUAACAAGAAUGAUAACGUGCUCCGACUGGAGCAGUUUAGAAACUGCUGGAAGGCUCUAAUGGAAUAAAGAUGGAAUGCCUUCAAAUUUCUAGGUCCGUAUGAUUUGAAAUACUUGCACACAAACCGCUCGAAAGCGUUCCUGGAAAUCUCAGCCCAAAAAAGGACGUUUAGUAAUUCUAAAAGGGACUACAGGAUGAAAAACAAUAGUUUUGGCAGUUAAAGUUUGAGAUUCGAUGGUGCCGUAGAUCCGUUUGGUCAUCAGGUGUAACGAGCCACACACAUGUCUAGCUAGAGUAGUGUGCUAGGCUCAGACUAGAGAAGAAACGGGGAACAAAGUGAUGAAAGAAUGAUCAUACCGAGGGAAUUCACUCAGAACUUACAAGAAUGAUAACGUGCUCCGACUGGAGCGCUUUAGUAACUGCUGGAAGGCUCUAGGCGAAUAAAGAUGGAAUGACUUCUAAUUUUUAGGUCCGUAUGAUUUGAAAUACUUGCACACAAACCACGCAAAACCGUUCCUAGAAAUCUCGGUCGAAAAAAGGACGUUUAGUAAUUCUAAAAGGGACUACAGGAUGAAAAACAAUAGUUUUGGCAGUUAAAGUUUGAGAUUCGAUGGUGCCGUAGAUCCGUUUGGUCAUCAGGUGUUACGAGCCACACCCAUGUCUAGCUAGAGUAGUGUGCUAGGUUCAGACUAGAGAAGAAACGGGGAACAAAGUGAUUAAAGAAUGAUCAUACCGAGGGAAUUCACUCAGAACUAACAAGAAUGAUAACGUGCUCCGACUGGAGCGGUUUAGGAACUGCUGGAAGGCUCUAGGGGAAUAAAGAUGGAAUGACUUCUAAUUUUUACGUCCGUAUGAUUUGAAAUACAUGCACACAAACCACGCAAAAGCGUUCCUGGAAAUCUCAGCCUAAAAAAGGACGUUUAGUAAUUCUAAAAGGGACUACAGGAUGAAAAAUAAUAGUUUGGGCAGUUAAAAUUUGAGAUUCGACGCUGCCGUAGAUCCGUUUGGUCAUCAGGUCUUACGAGCCACACCCAUGUCUAGCUAGAAUAGUGUGUUAGGCUCAGGCUAGAGAAGAAACGGGGAACAAACUGAUGAAAGAAUGAUCAUACCGAGGGAAUUCACUCAGAACUAACAAGAAUGAUAACGUGCUCCGACUGGAGCAGUUUAGAAACUCCUGGAAGGCUCUAGGGGAAUAAAGAUGGAAUGACUUCAAAGUUUUAGGUCCGUAUGAUUUGAAAUACUUGCACACAAACCGCGUGAAAGCGUUCCUGGAAAUCUCAACCCAAAAAAGGGCGUUUAGUAAUUCUAAAAGGGACUACAGGAUGUAAAACAAUAGUUUUGGCAGUUAAAGUUUGAGAUUCGAUGGUGCCGUAGAUCCGUUUGGUCAUCAGGUGUAACGAGCCACACCCAUGUCUAGCUAGAGUAGUGUGCUAGGCUCAGACUAGAGAAGAAACGGGGAACAAAGUGAUGAAAGAAUGAUCAUACCGAGGGAAUUCACUCAUAACUAACAAGAAUGAUAACGUGCUCUGACUUGAGCGGUUUAGGAACUGCUGGAAGGCUAUAGGGGAAUAAAGAUGGAAUGACUUCAAAUUUUUAGGUCCGUAUGAUCUGAAAUACUUGCACACAAACCGCGAGAAAGCGUUCCUGGAAAUCUCAACCCAAAAAAGGACGUUUAGUAAUUCUAAAAGGGACUACAGGAUGAAAAACAAUAGUUCUGGCAGUUAUUGUUUGAGAUUCGAUAAUCUCGUAGAUCCGUUUGGUCAUCAGGUGUAACGAGCCACACCCAUGUCUAGCUAGAGUAGUGUGCUAGGCUCAGACUAGAGAAGAAACGGGGAACAAACUGAUGAAAGAAUGAUCAUACCGAGGGAAUUCACUUAGAACUAACAAGAAUGAUAACGUGCUCCGACUGGAGCGGUUUAGGAACUGCUGGAAGGCUCUAGGGGAAUAAAGAAGGAACGACUUCUAAUUUUUAGGUCCGUAUGAUUUGAAAUAUGUGCACACAAACCACGAGAAAGCGUUCCUAGAAAUCUCGGCCCAAAAGAGGACGUUUAGUAUUCUAAAAGGGACUACAGAAUGAAAAACAAUAGUUUUGGCAGUUAAAGUUUGAGAUUUGACGGUGCCGUAGAUCUGUUUGGUCAUCAGGGGUUACGAGCCACACCCAUGUCUAGCUAGAAUAGUGUGUUAGGCUCAGGCUAGAAAAGAAACGGGGAACAAAGUGAUGAAAGAAUGAUCAUACCGAGGGAAUUCACUCAGAACUAACAAGAAUGAUAACAUGCUCCGACUGGAGCGGUUUAGGAACUGCUGGAAGGCUCUAGGGGAAUAAAGAUGGAAUGACUUCUAAUUUUUAGGUCCGUAUGAUUUGAAAUACUUGCACACAAACCGCGCGAAAGCGUUCCUGGAAAUCUCAGCCCAAAAAAGGACGUUUAGUAAUUCUAAAAGGGACUACAGGAUGAAAAACAAUAGUUUUGGCAGUUAAAGUAUGAGAUUCAACGGUGCCGUAGAUCCGUUUGGUCAUUAGGUGUUACGAGCCACACCCAUGUCUAGCUAGAAUAGUGUGCUAGGCUCAGGCUAGAGAAGAAACGGGGAACAAACUGAUGAAAGAAUGAUCAAACCGAGGGAAUUCACUCAGAACUAACAAUAAUGAUAACGUGCUCCGACUGGAGCGGUUUAGGAACUGCUGGAAGUCUCUAGGGGAAUAAAGAUGGAAUGACUUCUAAUUUUUACGUUCGUAUGAUUUGAAAAACUUGCCCAUAAACCGCGCGAAAGUGUUCCUGGAAAUCUCAGCCCAAAAAAGGACGUUUAGUAAUUUUAAAAGGGACUACACGAUGAAAAACAAUAGUUUUGGCAGGUAAAGUUUGAGAUUCGACAGUGCCGUAGAUCCGUUUGGUCAUCAGGUGUUACGAGCCACACCCAUGUCUAGCUAGAAUAGUAUGUUACGCUCAGGUUAGAGAAGAAACGGGGAACAAACUGAUGAAAGAUGAUCAUACCAAGGGAAUUCACUCAGAACUAACAAGAAUGAUAACGUGCUCCGACUGGAGCGGUUUAGGAACUGCUGGAAGGCUCUAGGGGAAUAAAGAUGGAAUGACUUCUAAUUUUUACGUCUGUAUGAUUUGAAAUACUUGCACACAAACAACGCAAAAGCAUUCCUGGAAAUCUCAUCCUAAAAAAGGACGUUUAGUAAUUCUAAAAGGGACUACAGGAUGAAAAAUAAUAGUUUGGGAAGUUAAAAUUUGAGAUUCGAUAGUGCCGUAGAUCCGUUUGGUCAUCAGGUGUUAGGAGCCACACCCAUGUCUAGCUAGAAUAGUGUGUUAGGCUCAGGCUAGAGAAGAAACAGGGAACAAACUGAUGAAAGAAUGAUCAUACCGAGGGAAUUCACUCAGAACUAGCAAGAAUGAUAACGUGCUCCGACUGGAGCAGUUUUGAAACUGCUGGAAGGCUCUAGGGGAAUAAUGAUGGAAUGACUUCUAAGUUUUUGGUCCGUAUGAUUUGAAAUACGUGCACACAAACCCAGAGAAAGUGUUCUUGGAAAUCUCGGCCGAAAAAAGGAUGUUUAAUAAUUCUAAAAGGGACUACAGGAUGAAAAACAAUAGUUUUGGCAGUUAAAGUUUGUGAUUCGAUGGUGCUGUAGAUCUGUUUGGUCAUCAGGUGUUAUGAGCCACACCCAUGUCUAGCUAGAACAGUGUGUUAGGCUCAGGCUAGAGCAGAAACGGGGAACAAACUUAUGAAAGAAUGAUCAUACCGAGGGAAUUCACUCAGAACUAACAAGAAUGAUAACGUGCUCCGACUGGAGAGGUUUAGGAACUGCUGGAAGGCUCUAGGGGAAUAAAGAUGGAAUGACUUCAAAUUUUUAGGUCUGUAUGAUCUGAAAUACUUGCACACAAACCGCGAGAAAGCGUUCCUGGAAAUCUCAGCCCAAAAAAGGACGUUUAGUGAUUCUAAAAGGGACUACGGGAUAAAAAACAAUAGUUUUGGCAGUUAAAGUUUGAGAUUCGAUAAUGCCGUAGAUCCGUUUGGUCAUCAGGUGUAACGAGCCACACCCAUGUCUAGCUAGAGUAGUGUGCUAGGCUCAUACUAGAGAAGAAAUGGGGAACAAACUGAUGAAAGAAUGAUCAUACCGAGGGAGUUCACUCAAAACUAACAUGAAUGAUAACGUGCUCCGACUGGAGCGGUUUAGGAACUGCUGGAAGGCUCUAGGGGAAUAAAGAUGGAAUGACUUCUAAUUUUUAGGUCCGUAUGAUUUGAAAUACAUGCACACAAACCCCAAGAAAGCGUUCCUGGAAAUCUCGCCCCGAAAAACGACGUUUAGUAAUUCUAAAAGGGACUAUAGGAUGAAAAACAAUAGUUUUGGCAGUUAAAGUUUGAGAUUUGACGGUGCCGUAGAUCUGUUUGGUCAUCAGGUGUUACGAGCCACACCCAUUUCUAGCUAGAAUAGUGUGUUAGGCUCAGGCUAGAAAAGAAACGGGGAACAAAGUGAUGAAAGAAUGAUCAUACCGAGGGAAUUCACUCAGAACUAACAAGAAUGAUAACAUGGUCCGACUGGAGCGGUUUAGGAACUGCUGGAAGGCUCUAGGGGAAUAAAGAUGGAAUGACUUCUAACUUUUAGGUCCGUAUGAUUUGAAUUACUUGCACACAAACCGCGCGAAAGCGUUCCUGGAAAUCUCAGCCCAAAAAAGGACGUUUAGUAAUUCUAAAAGGGACUACAGGAUGAAAAACAAUAGUUUUGGCAGUUAAAGUUUGAGAUUCGACGGUGCCGUAGAUCCGUUUGGUCAGCAGGUGUUACGAGCCACACCCAUGUCUAGCUAGAGUAGUGUGCUAGGUUCAGACUAGAGAAGAAAUGUUGGGGAACGUAGCAGAAAUUCAAAAUUUUCCUACGUGUCACCAAGAUCUAUCUAUGGAGAGACUAGCAACGAGGGAAGGAGAGUGCAUCUACAUACCCUUGUAGAUCGCUAAGCGGAAGCGUUCAAGUGAACGGGGUUGAUGGAGUCGUACUCGUCGUGAUUCAGCUCACCGAUGAUCCUAGUGCCGAACGGACGGCACCUCCGCGUUCAACACACGUACAGCUCGACGAUGUCUCCCACGCCUUGAUCCAGCAAGGAGAGAGGGAGAGGUUGAGGAAGACUCCAUCCAGCAGAAGCACAACGGCGUGGUGGUGAUGGAGGAGCAUGGCAAUCCUGCAGGGCUUCGCCAAGCACCUAUGGGAGAGGAGGAGGUGUCACGGGAGGGAGGGAGGCGCCAAGGGCUCAGGUAUAGAUGCCCUCCCUCCCCUCCACUAUAUAUAGGGGCAAGGGAGAGGGGGGAGGCGCAGCCUUGCCCCUUCCUCCAAGGAAGGGGUGCGGCUAAGAGGGGGGGAGGAGUCCAUCCUCCCCAAGGCACCUCGGAGGUGCCUUCCCCCUUUAGGACUCUCCCCUUUUUCCUAUAUCUUGGCGCAUGGGCCUCUAGGGGCUGGUUCCCUUGGCCCAUGUAGGCCCAGGCGCACCCCCUACAGCCCAUGUGGCCCCCCGGGGCAGGUGGCCCCACCUGGUGGGCCCCCGGGACCCUUCCGGUGGUCCCGGUACAAUACCGAUGACCCCGAAACUUGUCCCGAUGGCCGAAACAGGACUUCCUAUAUAUAAAUCUUUACCUCCGGACAAUUCCGGAACUCCUCGUGACGUCCGGGAUCUCAUCCGGGACUCCGAACAACAUUCGGUAACCACAUACAAACUUCCUUUAUAACCCUAGCGUCAUCGAACCUUAAGUGUGUAGACCCUACGGGUUCGGGAGACAUGUAGUCAUGACCGAGAUGUUCUCCGGUCAAUAACCAACAGCGGGAUCUGGAUACCCAUGUUGGCUCCCACAUGUUCCACGAUGAUCUCAUCGGAUGAACCACGAUGUCAAGGACUCAAUCAAUCCCGUAUACAAUUCCCUUUGUCUAGCGGUAUGGUACUUGCCCGAGAUUCGAUCGUCGGUAUACCGAUACCUUGUUCAAUCUCGUUACCGGCAAGUCUCUUUACUCAUUUCGUAACACAUCAUCCCGUGAUCAACCCCUUGGUCACAUUGUGCACAUUAUGAUGAUGUCCUACCGAGUGGGCCCAGAGAUACCUCUCCGUUUACACGGAGUGACAAAAUCCCAAUCUCGAUUCGUGCCAACCCAACAGACACUUUCAGAGAUACCCGUAGUGUACCUUUACAGCCACCCAGUUACGUUGUGACGUUUGGCACACCCAAAGCACUCCUACAGUAUCCGGGAGUUGCACAAUCUCAUGGUCUAAGGAAAUGAUACUUGACAUUAGAAAAGCUUUAGCAUACGAACUACAUGAUCUUGUGCUAGGCUUAGGAUUGGGUCUUGUCCAUCACAUCAUUCUCCUAAUGAUGUGAUCCCGUUAUCAACGACAUCCAAUGUCCAUGGUCAGGAAACCGUAACCAUCUAUUGAUUAACGAGCUAGUCAACUAGAGGCUUACUAGGGACAUGGUGUUGUCUAUGUAUCCACACAUGUAUCUAAGUUUCCUAUCAAUACAAUUCUAGCAUGGAUAAUAAACGAUUAUCAUGAACAAGGAAAUAUAAUAAUAAUCAAUUUAUUAUUGCCUCUAGGGCAUAUUUCCAACAGUCUCCCACUUGCACUAGAGUCAAUAAUCUAGUUCACAUCGAUAUGUGAUUAACACUCAAGGUCACAUUCCCAUGUGACUAACACCCAAGAGUUUACUAGAGUCAAUAAUCUAGUUCACAUUUACCAUGUGAUUAACACUUGAUGAGUUCUGGGUUUGAUCAUGUUAUGCUUGUGAGAGAGGUUAUAGUCAACGGGUCUGAACCUUUCAGAUCCGUGUGUGCUUUACAAAUCUCUAUGUCAUCUCCUAGAUGCAGCUACCACGUUCUAUUUGGAGCUAUUCCAAAUAACUGUUCUACUUGGAGCUAUUCUAAAUUGUUGCUCCAUUAUACGUAUCCGGUAUCUCUACUCAGAGCUAUCCGGAUAGGUGUUAAGCUUGCAUCGACGUAACCCUUUACGACGAACUCUUUUACCACCUCCAUAAUUGAGAAAAUUCCUUAGUCCACUAGUUACUAAGGAUAACUUUGACCGCUGUCCUGUGAUCCAUUCUUGGAUCACUCUUGUACCCCUUGACUGACUCAUGGUAAAGCACACUUCAGGUGCGGUACACAGCAUAGCAUACUGUAGAGCCUAUGUCUUAAGCAUAGGGGACGACCUUCGUUCCUUUCUCUCUAUUCUGCCAUGGUCGAGCUUUAAGUCUUAACUUCAUACCUUACAACUCAGGCAAGAACUCCUUCUUUGACUGAUCCAUCUUGAACACCUUCAAGAUCACGUCAAGGCAUGUGCUCACGUCAAGAUCACGUCGGUAUACCGAUACCUUGUUCAAUCUCGUUACCGGCAAGUCUCUUUACUCGUUCCGUAACACAUCAUCCCGUGAUCAACCCCUUGGUCACAUUGUGCACAUUAUGAUGAUGUCCUACCGAGUGGGCCCAGAGAUACCUCUCCGUUUACACGGAGUGACAAAAUCCCAAUCUCGAUUCGUGCCAACCCAACAGACACUUUCAGAGAUACCCGUAGUGUACCUUUAUAGCCACCCAGUUACGUUGUGACGUUUGGCACACCCAAAGCACUCCUACGGUAUCCGGGAGUUGCACAAUCUCAUGGUCUAAGGAAAUGAUACUUGACAUUAGAAAAGCUUUAGCAUACGAACUACAUGAUCUUGUGCUAGGCUUAGGAUUGGGUCUUGUCCAUCACAUCAUUCUCCUAAUGAUGUGAUCCCGUUAUCAACGACAUCCAAUGUCCAUGGUCAGGAAACCGUAACCAUCUAUUGAUUAACGAGCCAGUCAACUAGAGGCUUACUAGGGACAUGGUGUUGUCUAUGUAUCCACACAUGUAUCUGAGUUUCCUAUCAAUACAAUUCUAGCAUGGAUAAUAAACGAUUAUCAUGAACAAGGAAAUAUAAUAAUAAUCAAUUUAUUAUUGCCUCUAGGGCAUAUUUCCAACAGUCUCCCACUUGCACUAGAGUCAAUAAUCUAGUUCACAUCACCAUGUGAUUAACACUGACAGGUCACAUCACCAUGUGACCAACAUCCAAAGAGUCUUGGGUUUGAUCAUGUUGCUUGUGAGAGAGGUUAUAGUCAACGGGUCUGAACCUUUCAGAUCCGUGUGUGCUUUACAAAUCUCUAUGUCAUCUCCUAGAUGCAGCUACCACGUUCUAUUUGGAGCUAUUCCAAAUAACUGUUCUACUUGGAGCUAUUCUAAAUUGUUGCUCCAUUAUACGUAUCCGGUAUCUCUACUCAGAGCUAUCCGGAUAGGUGUUAAGCUUGCAUCGACGUAACCCUUUACGACGAACUCUUUUACCACCUCCAUAAUUGAGAAAAUUCCUUAGUCCACUAGUUACUAAGGAUAACUUUGACCGCUGUCCUGCGAUCCAUUCUUGGAUCACCCUUGUACCCCUUGACUGACUCAUGGUAAAGCACACUUCAGGUGCGGUACACAGCAUAGCAUACUGUAGAGCCUAUGUCUUAAGCAUAGGGGAUGACCUUCGUUCCUUUCUCUCUAUUCUGCCAUGGUCGAGCUUUAAGUCUUAACUUCAUACCUUACAACUCAGGCAAGAACUCCUUCUUUGACUGGUCCAUCUUGAACACCUUCAAGAUCAUGUCAAGGUAUGUGCUCAUUUGAAAGUACUAUUAAGCGUUUUGAUCUAUCCUUAUAGAUCUUGAUGCUCAAUGUUCAAGUAGCUUAAUCCAGGUUUUCCAUUGAAAACACUUUCCAAAUAACCCUAUAUGCUUUCCAGAAAUUCUACGUCAUUUCUGAUCAUUAAUAUGUCAACAACAUAUAAUCAUCAGAAAUUCUAUAGUGCUCCCACUCACUUCUUUGGAAAUACAAGUUUCUCAUAAACUUUGUAUACACCCAAAAUCUUUGAUCAUCAUCAAAGCAUACAUUCCAACUCCGAGAUGCUCACUCCAGUCCUCAGAAGGAUUGCUGGAGCUUUGCAUACUUAUUAGCAUAUUUCAGGAUAGACAAAACCUUCCAGUUGUAUCACAUACAACCUUUCCUCAAGAAUCGUCGACGAAACAAUGUUUUGACAUCCUAUCUGCAAGAUUUCAUAAAUAAUGCAGUAAUUGUUAAUAUAAUUCCAACAGACUCUUAGCAUCGCUACGAGUGAGAAAGUCUCAUUGUAGUCAACUCCUUGAACUUGUCAAAAAACAUCUUAACGACAAGUCGAGCUUUCUCAAUGGUGACACUUACCAUCAUUGUCUGUCUUCCUUUCAAAAUCCAUAUGUACCUAACAGCCUUACGACCAUCAAGUAGUUCUUCCAAAGUCUACACUUUGUUUUCAUACAUGGAUCCUCUCUCGGGUUUUAUGGCCAUGAGCCAUUUAUCGGAAUCCGGGCCCACCAUUGCUUCUCCAUAGCUCGUAGGUUCAUUGUUGUCUAGCAACAUGACUUCCAAGACAGGAUUACUGUACCACUCUGAAGUAGUACGUAUCCUUGUCACCCUACGAGGUUUGGGAGUGACUUGAUCUGAAGUUUCAUGAUCACUAUCAUAAGCUUCUACUUCAAUUGGUGUAGGUGCCACAGGAACAACUUCCUGUGCCCUGCUACACACUGGUUGAAGUGAUGGUUCAAUAACCUCAUCAAGUCUCCACCAUCCUCCCACUCAAUUCUUUCGAGAGAAACCUUUCCUCGAGAAAGGACCCAAUUCUAGAAACAAUUCAUAUUGCUUUCGGAUCUGAAUUAGGAAGUAUACCCAACUGUUUUGGGUGUCCUAUGAAGAUGUACUUUAUCCGCUUUGGUUUCGAGCUUAAUCCUGAAACUUUUUCACAUAAGUGUCGCAGCCCCAAACCUUUAAGAAACGACAACUUAGGUUUCUCUAAACCAUAAUUCAUACGGUGUCAUCUCAUCGGAAUUACGUGGUGCCCUAUUUAAAGUGAAUGUGGUUGUCUUUAAUGCCUAACCCAUAAACUAUCGUGGCAGUUCGAUAAGAGACAUCAUGGUAUGCAUCAUAUCCAAUAGGGUGCAACUAUGAUGUUCGGACACACCAUCACACUAUGGUGUUCCAGGCGGUAUUAAUUGUGAAACAAUUUCCACAAUGUCUUAAUUGUGUGCCAAAACUCGUAACUCAGAUACUCAUCUCUAUGAUCAUAUCAUAGACAUUUUAUCCUCUUGUCACAAUGAUCUUCUACUUCACUCUGAAAUUACUUGAACCAUUCAACAAUUCAGACUUGUGUUUCAUCAAGUAAAUAUUCUCAACAUCUACUCGAAUCAUCUGUGAAGUAAGAACAUAACGAUAUUCACUGCAUGCCUCAGCACUCAUUGGACUGCACACAUCAAAAUGUGUUACUUCCAACAAGUUGCUAUCUUGUUCCAUCUUACUGAAAACGAGGCUUUUCAGUCAUCUUGCCCAUGUGGUAUGAUUUGCAUGUCCCAAGUGAUUCAAAAAUCAAGUGAGUCAAAACGGUCCAUUUGCAUGGAGUUUCUUCAUGCAUAUACACCAAUAGACAUGGUUCGCAUGUCUCAAACUUUUCAAAAACGAGUGAGCCCAAAGAUCCAUCAAUAUGGAGCUUCUUCAUGCGUUUUAUACCGAUAUGACUUACGUGGUAGUGCCACAAGUAGGUGGUACUAUCAUUACUAUCUUUUGGCAUGAACAUGUGUAUCACUACGAUCGAGAUUUAAUAAACCAUUCAUUUUAGGUGUAAGACCAUUGAAGGUAUUAUUCAAAUAAACAGAGUAACCAUUAUUCUCCUUAAAUGAAUAACCGUAUUGCGAUAGACGUAAUCCAAUCAUGUCUAUGCUCAACGCAAACACCAAAUAACAAUUAUUUAGGUUUAACACCAAUCUCUUUGGUAGAGGGAGCGUGCGAUGCUUGAUCAUAUCAAGCAUGGAAAAACUUACAACACAUAUCGUCAGCUCACCUUUAGCUAGUCUCUGUUUAUUCCGUAGCCUUUUGUUUCGAGUUACUAACACUUAGCAACCGAACUGGUAUCUAAUACCCUGGUGCUACUAGGAGUACUAGCAAAGUACACAUUAACACAAUGUAUAUCCAAUAUACUUCUAUCGACCUUGCCAGCCUUCUUAUCUACCAAGUAUCUAGGGUAAUUCUGCUCUAGUAGUUGUUCCCCUUAUUACAGAAGCACUUAGUCUCGGGUUUGGGUUUUACCUUGGGUUUCUUCACUAGAGCAGCAGCUGAUUUGCCGUUUCAUGAAGUAUCCCUUCUUGCCCUUGCCCUUCUUGAAACUAGUGGUUCCACCAACCAUCAACAAUUGAUGCUCCUUCUUGAUUUCUACUUUCGCGGUGUCAAACAUCGCGAAUACCUCAAGGAUCAUCAUAUCUAUCCCUGAUAUGUUAUAGUUCAUCAUGAAGCUCUAACAGCUUGGUGGCAAUGACUUUGGAGAACCAUCACUAUCUCAUCUGGAAGAUCAACUCCCACUCGAUUCAAGCGAUUGUUGUACUCAGACAAUCUGAGCACAAGCUCAACGAUUGAGCUUUUCUCCCUUAGUUUGCAGGUUAAGAAAGUCAUCGGAGGUCUUAUACCUCUUGACAUGGGCACGAGCCUGAAAUCCCAAUUUCAGCCCUCAAAACAUCUCAUAUGUUUCGCGAUGUUUCAAAAACGUCUUUGGUGCCUCAACUCUAAACCGUUUAACUGAACUAUCACGUAGUUAUCAAAACGUGUAUGUCAGAUGUUCGCAACAACCACAGACAACGUUCGAGGUUCAGCACACUGAGCGGUGCAUUAAGGACAUAAGCCUUCUAUGAAGCAAUGAGGACAAUCCUCAGUUUACGGACCUAGUCCGCAUAAUUGCUACUAUCAACUUUCAACUAAUUUUUCUCUAGGAACAUAUCUAAACAGUAGAACUAUAGCGUGAGCUACGACAUAAUUUGCAAAAACCUUUUGACUAUGUUCAGGAUAAUUAAGUUCAUCUUAUGAACUCCCACUCAGAUAGACAUCCCUCUAGUCAUCUAAGUGAUUACAUGAUCCGAGUCAAACUAGGCCGUGUCCGAUCAUCACGUGAGACGGACUAGUCAUCAUCGGUGAACAUCUUCAUGUUGAUCGUAUCUUCUAUACGACUCAUGUUCGACCUUUCGGUCUUCGUGUUCCGAGGCCAUGUAUGUACAUGCUAGGCUCGUCAAGUUAACCCUAAGUGUUUCGCGUGUGUAAAUCUGUCUUACACCCGUUGUAUGUGAACGUUAGAAUCUAACACCCGAUCAUCACGUGGUGCUUCGAAACACGAACUGUCGCAACGGUGCACAGUUAGGGGAGAACACUUCUUGAAAUUGUUGUAAGGGAUCAUCUUAUUUACUACCGUCGUUCUAAGCAAAUAAGAUGUAUAAACAUGAUAAACAUCACAUGCAAUCAAAUAGUGACAUGAUAUGGCCAUCAUCACUUUGCUCCUUUUGAUCUCCAUCUUCGGGGCUCCAUGAUCAUCAUCGUCACCGGCAUGACACCAUGAUCUCCAUCAUCAUGAUCUCCAUCAUCGUGUCUUCAUGAAGUUGCCUCGCCAACUAUUACUUCUACUACUAUGGCUAACGGUUAGCAAUAAAGUAAAGUAAUUACAUGACGUUUAAGUUGACACGCAGGUCACAAAUGAAUAAAGACAACUCCUAUGGCUCCUGCCGGUUGUCAUACUCAUCGACAUGCAAGUCGUGAUUCCUAUUACAAGAACAUGAUCAAUCUCAUACAUCACAUAUAUCAUUCAUCACAUCCUUUUUGGCCAUAUCACAUCACAUAGCAUACCCUGCAAAAACAAGUUAGACGUCCUCUAAUUGUUGUUUGCAUGUUUUACGUGGCUGCUAUGGGUUUCUAGCAAGAACGUUUCUUACCUACGCAUGAACAACAACGUGAUAUGCCAAUUGCUAUUUACCCUUCAUAAGGACCCUUUUCAUCGAAUCCGAUCCGACUAAAGUGGGAGAGACAGACACCCGCCAGCCACCUUAUGCAACUAGUGCAUGUUUGUCGGUGGAACCGGUCUCACGUAAGCGUACGUGUAAGGUUGGUCCGGGCCGCUUCAUCCCACGAUGCCGCCGAAUCAAGAUAAGACUAGUAACGGCAAGCAUAUUGAACAAUAUCAACGCCCACAACUACUUUGUGUUCUACUCGUGCAAAGAAUCUACGCAAUAGACCUAGCUCAUGAUGCCACUGUUGGGGAACGUAGCAGAAAUUCAAAAUUUUCCUACGUGUCACCAAGAUCUAUCUAUGGAGAUACUAGCAACGAGGGAAGGAGAGUGCAUCUACAUACCCUUGUAGAUCGCUAAGCGGAAGCGUUCAAGUGAACGGGGUUGAUGGAGUCGUACUCGUCGUGAUUCAGAUCACCGAUGAUCCUAGUGCCGAACGGACGGCACCUCCGCGUUCAACACACGUACAGCUCGACGAUGUCUCCCACGCCUUGAUCCAGCAAGGAGAGAGGGAGAGGUUGAGGAAGACUCCAUCCAGCAGCAGCACAACGGCGUGGUGGUGAUGGAGGAGCGUGGCAAUCCUGCAGGGCUUCGCCAAGCACCUACGGGAGAGGAGGAGGUGUCACGGGAGGGAGGGAGGCGCCAAGGGCUCAGGUAUAGAUGCCCUCCCUCCCCUCCACUAUAUAUAGGGGCAAGGGAGAGGGGGAGGCGCAUCCUUGCCCCUUCCUCCAAGGAAGGGGUGCGGCUAAGAGGGGGGGAGGAGUCCAUCCUCCCCAAGGCACCUCGGAGGUGCCUUCCCCCUUUAGGACUCUCCCCUUUUUCCUAUAUCUUGGCGCAUGGGCCUCUAGGGGCUGGUGCCCUUGGCCCAUGUAGGCCAAGGCGCACCCCCCUACAGCCCAUGUGGCCCCCCGGGGCAGGUGGCCCCACCCGGUGGGCCCCCGGGACCCUUCCGGUGGUCCCGGUACAAUACCGAUGACCCCGAAACUUGUCCCGAUGGCCGAAACAGGACUUCCUAUAUAUAAAUCUUUACCUCCGGACCAUUCCGGAACUCCUCGUGACGUCCGGGAUCUCAUCCGGGACUCCGAACAACAUUCGGUAACCACAUACAAACUUCCUUUAUAACCCUAGCGUCAUCGAACCUUAAGUGUGUAGACCCUACGGGUUCGGGAGACAUGUAGUCAUGACCGAGAUGUUCUCCGGUCAAUAACCAACAGCGGGAUCUGGAUACCCAUGUUGGCUCGCACAUGUUCCACGAUGAUCUCAUCGGAUGAACCACGAUGUCAAGGACUCAAUCAAUCCCGUAUACAAUUCCCUUUGUCUAGCGGUAUGGUACUUGCCCGAGAUUCGAUCGUCGGUAUACCGAUACCUUGUUCAAUCUCGUUACCGGCAAGCCUCUUUACUCGUUCCGUAACACAUCAUCCCGUGAUCAACCCCUUGGUCACAUUGUGCACAUUAUGAUGAUGUCCUACCGAGUGGGCCCAGAGAUACCUCUCCGUUUACACGGAGUGACAAAAUCCCAAUCUCGAUUCGUGCCAACCCAACAGACACUUUCAGAGAUACCCGUAGUGUACCUUUAUAGCCACCCAGUUACGUUGUGACGUUUGGCACACCCAAAGCACUCCUACGGUAUCCGGGAGUUGCACAAUCUCAUGGUCUAAGGAAAUGAUACUUGACAUUAGAAAAGCUUUAGCAUACGAACUACAUGAUCUUGUGCUAGGCUUAGNNNNNNNNNNUGAUCAACCCCUUGGUCACAUUGUGCACAUUAUGAUGAUGUCCUACCGAGUGGGCCCAGAGAUACCUCUCCGUUUACACGGAGUGACAAAAUCCCAAUCUCGAUUCGUGCCAACCCAACAGACAUUUUCAGAGAUACCCGUAGUGUACCUUUAUAGCCACCCAGUUACGUUGUGACGUUUGGCACACCCAAAGCACUCCUACGGUAUCCGGGAGUUGCACAAUCUCAUGGUCUAAGGAAAUGAUACUUGACAUUAGAAAAGCUUUAGCAUACGAACUACAUGAUCUUGUGCUAGGCUUAGGAUUGGGUCUUGUCCAUCACAUCAUUCUCCUAAUGAUGUGAUCCCGUUAUCAACGACAUCCAAUGUCCAUGGUCAGGAAACCGUAACCAUCUAUUGAUUAACGAGCUAGUCAACUAGAGGCUUACUAGGGACAUGGUGUUGUCUAUGUAUCCACACAUGUAUCUGAGUUUCCUAUCAAUACAAUUCUAGCAUGGAUAAUAAACGAUUAUCAUGAACAAGGAAAUAUAAUAAUAAUCAAUUUAUUAUUGCCUCUAGGGCAUAUUUCCAACAAGAAACGGGGAACAAACUGAUGAAAGAAUGAUCAUACCGAGGGAAUUCACUCAGAACUAACAAGAAUGAUAACGUGCUUUGACUGGAGCGGUUUAAAAACUGCUGGAAGGCUCUAGGGGAAUAAAGAUGGAAUGCCUUCAAAUUUCUAGGUCCGUAUGAUUUGAAAUACUUGCACACAAACCGCGCGAAAGCGUUCCUGGAAAUCUCAGCCCAAAAAAGGACGUUUAGUAAUUCUAAAAGGGACUACAGAAUGAAAAACAAUAGUUUUGGCAGUUAAAGUUUGAGAUUCGAUGGUGCCGUAGAUCCGUUUGGUCAUCAGGUGUAACGAGCCACACCCAUGUCUAGCUAGAGUAGUGUGCUAGGCUCAGGCUAGAGAAGAAACGGGGAACAAACUGAUGAAAGAAUGAUCAUACCGAGGGAAUUCACUCAGAACUAACAAGAAUGAUAACGUGCUCCGACUGGAGCGGUUUAGGAACUGCUGGAAGGCUCUAGGGGAAGAAAGAAGGAAUGACUUCUAAUUUUUAGGUCCGUAUGAUUUGAAAUACGUGCACACAAACCGCGCGAAAGCGUUCCUGGAAAUCUCAGCCCAAAAAAGGACGUUUAGUAUUCUAAAAGGGACUACAGAAUGAAAAACAAUAGUUUUGGCAGUUAAAGUUUGAGAUUCGACGGUGCCGUAGAUCCGUUUGGUCAUCAGGUGUUACGAGCCACACCCAUGUCUAGCUAGAAUAGUGUGCNNNNNNNNNNNNNNNNNNNNNNNNNCGUAUGAUUUGAAAUACGUGCACACAAACCGCGCGAAAGCGUUCCUGGAAAUCUCAGCCCAAAAAAGGACGUUUAGUAUUCUAAAAGGGACUACAGAAUGAAAAACAAUAGUUUUGGCAGUUAAAGUUUGAGAUUCGACGGUGCUGUAGAUCCGUUUGGUCAUCAGGUGUUACGAGCCACACCCAUGUCUAGCUAGAAUAGUGUGCUAGGCUCAGGCUAGAGAAGAAAAGGGGAACAAACUAAUGAAAGAAUGAUCAAUACGAGGGAAUUCACUCAGAACUAACAAUAAUGAUAACGUGCUCCGACUGGAGCGGUUUAGGAACUGCUGGAAGGCUCUAGGCGAAUAAAGAUGGAAUGACUUCUAAUUUUUACGUCCGUAUGAUUUGAAAUACUUGCACACAAACCACGCAAAAGCGUUCCUGGAAAUCUCGGCCUAAAAAGGACGUUUAGUAAUUCUAAAAGGGACUACAGGAUGAAAAAUAAUAGUUUGGGCAGUUAAAAUUUGAGAUUCGACGGUGCCGUAGAUCCGUUUGGUCAUCAGGUGUUACGAGCCACACCCAUGUCUAGCUAGAAUAGUGUGUUAGGCUCAGGCUAGAGAAGAAACGAGGAACAAACUGAUGAAAGAAUGAUCAUACCAAGGGAAUUCACUCAGAACUAACAAGAAUGAUAACGUGCUCCGACUGGAGCAGUUUAGAAACUGCUGGAAGGCUCUAGGGGAAUAAAGAUGGAAUGACUUCUGAUUUUUAGGUCCGUAUGAUUUGAAAUACGUGCACACAAACCCCGCGAAAGCGUUCCUGGAAAUCUCAGCCCAAAAAAGGACGUUUAGUAAUUCUAAAAGGGACUACAACAUGAAAAACAAUAGUUUUGGCAGUUAAAGUUUGAGAUUUCAUGGUGCCGUAGAUCUGUUUGGUCAUCAGGUGUUACGAGCCACACCCAUGUCUAGCUAGAAUAGUGUGUUAGGCUCAGGCUAGAAAAGAAACGGGAAACAAAGUGAUGAAAGAAUGACCAUACCGAGGGAAUUCACUCAGAACUAACAAGAAUGAUAACAUGCUCCGACUUGAGCGGUUUAGGAACUGCUGGAAGGCUCUAGGGGAAUAAAGAUGGAAUGACUUCUAAUGUUUAGGUCCGUAUGAUUUGAAAUACUUGCACAUAAACCGCACAAAAGCGUUCCUGGAAAUCUCAGCCCAAAAAAGGACGUUUAGUAAUUCUAAAAGGGACUACAGGAUGAAAAACAAUAGUUUUGGCAGUUAAAGUUUGAGAUUCGACGGUGCCGUAGAUCCGUUUGGUCAUCAGGUGUUACGAGCCACACCCAUGUCUAGCUAGAAUAGUGUGUUAGGCUCAGGCUAGAGAAGAAACUUGGAACAAACUGAUGAAAGAAUGAUCAAACCAACGGAAUUCACUCAGAACUAACAAUAAUGAUAACGUGCUCCGACUGGAGCAGUUUAGGAACUGCUGGAAGGCUCUAGGGGAAUAAAGAUGGAAUGACUUCUAAUUUUUAGGUCCGUAUGAUUUGAAAUACUUGCACGCAAACCGCGCGAAAGCGUUCCUGGAAAUAUCAGCCCAAAAAAGGACGUUUAGUAAUUCUAAAAGGGACUACAGGAUGAAAACAAUAGUUUUGGCAGUUAAAGUUUGAGAUUCAACAGUGCCGUAGAUCCGUUUGGUCAUCAGGUGUUAUGAGCCAUACCCAUGUCUAGCUAGAGUAGUGUGCUAGGCUCAGGCUAGAGAAGAAACAGGGAACAAACUGAUGAAAGAAUGAUCAUACCGAGGGAAUUCACUCAGAACUAACAAGAAUGAUAACGUGCUCCGACUGGAGCGGUUUAGGAACUGCUGGAAGGCUCUAGGGGAAUAAAGAUGGAGUGACUUCUAAAUUUUUAGGUCCGUAUGAUUUAAAAUACUUGCACACAAACCGCACGAAAGCGUUCCUUGAAAUCUCAGCCCAAAAAAGGACGUUUAGUAAGUCUAAAAGGGACUAUAGGAUGAAAAACAAUAGUUUUGGCAGUUAAAGUUUGAGAUUCGAUGGUGCCGUAGAUCUGUUUGGUCAUCAGGUGUUACGAGCCACACCCAUGUCUAGUUGGAAUAGUGUGCUAGGCUCAGACUAGAGAAGAAACAGGGAACAAACUGAUGAAAGAAUGAUCAAACCGAGGAAAUUCACUCAGAACUAACAAUAAUGAUAACAUGCUCCGACUGGAGCGGUUUAGGAACUGCUGGAAGGCUCUAGGGGAAUAAAGAUGGAAUGACUUCUAAAUUUUUAGGUCCGUAUGAUUUGAAAUAGUUGCACACAAACUGCGCGAAAGCGUUCCUGGAAAUCUCAGCCCAAAAAAGGACGUUUAGUAAUUCUAAAAGGGACUAUAGGAUGAAAAACAAUAGUUUUGGCAGUUAAAGUUUGAGAUUCGACGGUGCCGUAGAUCCGUUUGGUCAUCACGUGUUACAAGCCACACCCAUGUCUAGCUAGAGUAGUGUGCUAGGCUCAGACUAUAGAAGAAACGGGGACCAAACUGAUGAAAGAAUGAUCAAACCGAGGAAAUUCACUCAGAACUAACAAUAAUGAUAACAUGCUCCGACUGGAGCGGUUUAGGAACUACUGGAAGGCUCUAGGGGAAUAAAGAUGGAAUGACUUCUAAAUUUUUAGGUCCGUAUGAUUUUAAAUAGUUGCACACAAACUGCGCGAAAGCGUUCCUGGAAAUCUCAGCCCAAAAAAGGACGUUUAGUAAUUCUAAAAGGGACUACAGGAUGAAAAACAAUAGUUUGGGCAGUUAAAAUUUGAGAUUCGACGGUGCCGUAGAUCCGUUUGGUCAUCAGGUGUUACGAGCCACACCCAUGUCUAGCUAGAGUAGUGUGCUAGGCUCAGGCUAGAGAAGAAACAGGGAACAAACUGAUGAAAGAAUGAUCAUACCGAGGGAAUUCACUCAGAACUAACAAGAAUGAUAACGUGCUCUGACUGGAGCGGUUUAAGAACUGUUGGAAGGCUCUAGGGGAAUAAAGAUGGAAUCACUUCAAAUUUUUACGUCCGUGUGAUUUGAAAUACUUGCACACAAACCGCACGAAAGCGUUCCUGGAAAUCUCAGCCCAAAAAAGGACGUUUAGUAAGUCUAAAAGGGACUACACGAUGAAAAACAAUAGUUUUGGCAGUUAAAGUUUGAGAUUCGACAGUGCCGUAGAUCCGUUUGGUCAUCAGGUGUAACGAGCCACACCCAUGUCUAGAUAGAGUAGUGUGCUAGGCUCAAACUAGAGAAGAAACGGGGAACAAACUGAUGAAAGAAUGAUCAUACCGAGGGAAUUCACUCAGAAAUAACAAGAAUGAUAACGUGCUCUGACUGGAGCGGUUUAGGAACUGCUGGAAGGCUCUAGGGGAAUAAAGAAGGAAUGACUUCUAAUUUUUAGGUCCGUAUGAUUUGAAAUACGUGCACACAAACCCCGAGAAAGCGUUCCUGGAAAUCUCGACCCAAAAAAGGACGUUUAGUAAUUCUAAAAGGGACUACGGGAUGAAAAACAAUAGUUUUGGCAGUUAAAGUUUGAGAUUCGAUAAUGCCGUAGAUCCAUUUGGUCAUCAGGUGUAACGAGCCACACCCAUGUCUAGCUAGAGUAGUGUGCUAGGCUCAGACUAGAGAAGAAACAGGGAACAAACUGAUGAAAGAAUGAUCAUAUCGAGGGAAUUCACUCAGAACUAACAAGAAUGAUAACAUGCUCCGACUUGAGCGGUUUAGGAACUGCUGGAAGGCUCUAGGGGAAUAAAGAUGGAAUGACUUCUAAUUUUUAGGUCCGUAUGAUUUGAAAUACUUACACACAAACCACGCGAAAGCGUUCCUGGAAAUCUCAGCCCAAAAAAGGACGUUUAGUAAUUCUAAAAGGGACUACAUGAUGAAAAACAAUAGUUUUCGCAGUUAAAGUUUGAGAUUCGACGGUGCCGUAGAUCCGUUUGGUCAUCAAGUGUUACGAGCCACACCCAUGUCUAGCUAGAAUAGUGUGUUAGGCUCAGCCUAGAGAAGAAACGGGGAACAAACUGAUGAAAGAAUGAUCAUACCGAGGGAAUUCACUCAGAACUUACAAGAAUGAUAACGUGCUCCGACUUGAGCGGUUUAAGAACUGUUGGAAGGCUCUAGGGGAAUAAAGAUGGAAUCACUUCAAAUUUUUACGUCCGUGUGAUUUGAAAUACUUGCACACAAACCCCGAGAAAGCGUUCCUGGAAAUCUCGGCCGAAAAAAGGAUGUUUAAUAAUUCUAAAAGGGACUACAGGAUGAAAAACAAUAGCUUUGGCAGUUAAAGUUUGUGAUUCGAUGGUGCCGUAGAUCUGUUUGGUCAUCAGGUGUUAUGAGCCACACCCAUGUCUAGCUAGAAUAGUGUGUUAGGCUCAGGCUAGAGCAGAAACUAGGAACAAACUUAUGAAAGAAUGAUCAUACCGAGGGAAUUCACUCAGAACUAACAAGAAUGAUAACGUGCUCCGACUGGAGCGGUUUAGGAACUGCUGGAAGGCUCUAGGGGAAUAAAGAUGGAAUGACUUCUAAUUUUUAGGUCCGUAUGAUUUGAAAUACAUGCACACAAACCCCAAGAAAGCGUUCCUAGAAAUCUCAGCCCAAAAAGGACGUUUAGUAAUUCUAAAAGGGACUACAGGAUGAAAAACAAUAGGUUUGGCAGUUAAAGUUUGAGAUUCGAUAAUGCCGUAGAUCCGUUUGGUCAUCAGGUGUAACGAGCCACACCCAUGUCUAGCUACAUUAGUGUGCUAGGCUCAGACUAGAGAAGAAACGGGGAACAAACUGAUGAAAGAAUGAUCAUACCGAGGGAAUUCACUCAGAACUAACAAGAACGAUAACAUGCUCCGACUGCAGCGGUUUAGGAACUGCUGGAAGGCUCUAGGGGAAUAAAGAAGGAAUGACUUCUAAUUUUUAGGUCCGUAUGAUUUGAAAUACUUGCACACAAACCGCGCGAAAGCAUUCCUGGAAAUCUCAGCCCAAAAAAGGACGUUUAGUAAUUCUAAAAGGGACUACAGGAUGAAAAACAAUAAUUUUGGCAGUUAAAGUUUGAGAUUCGACGGUGCCGUAGAUCCGUUUGGUCAUCAGGUGUUACGGGCCAUACCCAUGUCUAGCUAGAAUAGUGUGUUAGGCUCAGGUUAGAGAAGAAACGGGGAACAAAGUGAUGAAAGAAUGAUCAUACCGAGGGAAUUCACUCAGAACUAACAAGAAUGAUAACGUGCUCCGACUGGAGCGGUUUAGGAAUUGCUGGAAGGCUCUAGGGGAAUAAAGAUGGAAUGACUUCUAUAUUUUACGUCCGUAUGAUUUGAAAUACUUGCACACAAACCACGCAAAAGCACUCCUGGAAAUAUCAGCCUAAAAAGGAUGUUUAGUAAUUCUAAAAGGGACUACAGGAUGAAAAAUAAUAGUUUUGGCAGUUAAAAUUUGAGAUUCAACGGUGCCGUAAAUCCGUUUGGUCAUCAGGUGUUACGAGCCACACCCAUGUCUAGCUAGAAUAGUGUGUUAGGCUCAGGUUAGAGAAGAAACGGGGAACAAACUGAUGAAAGAAUGAUCAUACAAGGGGAAUUCACUCAGAACUAUCAAGAAUGAUAACGUGCUCCGACUGGAGCAGUUUAGGAACUGCCGGAAGGCUCUAGGGGAAUAAAGAUGGAAUGACUUCUAAUUUUUAUGUCCGUAUGAUUUGAAAUACUUGCACACAAACCACGCAAAAGCGUUCCUGGAAAUCUCAGCCUAAAAAGGACGUUUAGUAAUUCUAAAAGGGACUACAGGAUGAAAAACAAUAGUUUGGGCAGUUAAAAUUCGAGAUUCGACGGUGCCGUAGAUCCGUUUGGUCAUCAGGUGUUACGAGCCACACCCAUGUCUAGCUAGAAUAGUGUGUUAGGCUCAGGCUAGAGAAGAAACGGGGAACAAACUGAUGAAAGAAUGAUCAUAUCGAGGGAAUUCACUCAGAACUAACAAGAAUGAUAACGUGCUCCGACUGGAGCGGUUUAGUAACUGCUGGAAGGCUCUAGGGGAAUAAAGAUGGAAUGACUUCUAAUUAUUAGGUCCGUAAGAUUUGAAUUACAUGCACACAAACCCCGAGAAAGCGUUCCUGGAAAUCUCGGUCGAAAAAAGGAUGUUUAGUAAUUCUAAAAGGGACUACAGGAUGAAAAACAAUAGUUUUGGCAGUUAAAGUUUGUGAUUCGAUGGUGCCGUAGAUCUGUUUGGUCAUCAGGUGUUACGAGCCACACCCAUGUCUAGCUAGAAUAGUGUGUUAGGCUCAGGCUAGAGCAGAAACGGGGAACAAACUUAUGAAAGAAUGAUCAUGCCGAGGGAAUUCACUCAGAACUAACAAGAAUGAUAACGUGCUCCGACUGGAGCGGUUUAGGAACUGCUGGAAGGCUCUAGGGGAAUAAAGAUGGAAUGACAUCAAAUUUUUAGGUCCGUAUGAUUUGAAAUACUUGCACACAAACCGCAAGAAAGCGUUCUUGGAAAUCUCCGCCCAAAAAAGGACGUUUAGUAAUUCUAAAAGGGUCUACAGGAUGAAAAACAAUAGUUCUGGCAGUUAAAGUUUGAGAUUCGAUAAUGUCGUAGAUCCGUUUGGUCAUCAGGCGUAACGAGCCACACCCAUUUCUAGCUAGAGUAGUGUGCUAGGCUCAGACUAGAGAAGAAACGGGGAACAACCUGAUGAAAGAAUGAUCAUACCGAGGGAAUUCACUCAGAACUAACAAGAAUGAUAACGUGCUCCGACUGGAGCGGUUUAGGAACUGCUGGAAGGCUCUACGGGAAUAAAGAAGGAAUGACUUCUAAUUUUUAGGUCCGUAUGAUUUGAAAUACGUGCACACAAACCCCGAGAAAGCGUUCCUGGAAAUCUCGGCCCAAAAAAGGACGUUUAGUAUUCUAAAAGCGACUACAGAAUGAAAAACAAUAGUUUUGGUAGUUAAAGUUUGAGAUUUAACGGUGCCGUAGAUCUGUUUGGUCAUCAGGUGUUACGAGCCACACCCAUGUCUAGCUAGAAUAGUGUGUUAGGCUCAGGCUAGAUAAGAAACAGGGAACAAAGUGAUGAAAGAAUGAUCAUACCAAGGGAAUUCACUCAGAACUAACAAGAACGAUAACAUGCUCCGACUGGAGUGGUUUAGGAACUGCUGGAAGGCUCUAGGGGAAUAAAGAUGGAAUGACUUCUAAUUUUUAGGUCUGUAUGAUUUGAAAUACUUGCACACAAACCGCACGAAAGCGUUCCUGGAAAUCUCAUCCCAAAAAAGGACGUUUAGUAAUUCUAAAAGGGACUACAGGAUGAAAAACAAUAGUUUUGGCAGUUAAAGUUUGAGAUUCGAUAAUGCUGUAGAUCCGUUUGGUCAUCAGGUGUAACGAGCCACACCCAUGUCUAGCUAGAGUAGUGUGCUAGGCUCAGACUAGAGAAGAAACGGGGAACAAACUGAUGAAAGAAUGAUCAUACCGAGGGAAUUCACUCAGAACUAACAAUAAUGAUAACGUGCUCCGACUGGAGCGGUUUAGGAACUGCUGGAAGGCUCUAGGGGAAUAAAGAUGGAAUGAGUUCUAAUUUUUAGGUCUGUAUGAUUUGAAAUACUUGCACACAAACCGCGUGAAAGCAUUCCUGGAAAUUUCAGCCCAAAAAAGGACGUUUAGUAAUUUUAAAAGGGACUACACGAUGAAAAACAAUAGUUUUGGCAGUUAAAGUUUGAGAUUCGACGGUGCCGUAGAUCCGUUUGGUCAUCAGGUGUUACGAGCCACACCCAUGUCUAGCUAGAAUAGUAUGUUAGGCUCGGGUAAGAGAAGAAACGGGGAACAAACUGAUGAAAGAAUGAUCAUACCAAGGGAAUUCACUCAGAACUAACAAGAAUGAUAACGUGCUCCGACUGGAGCGGUUUAGGAACUGCUGGAAGGCUCUAGGGGAAUAAAGAUGGAAUGACUUCUAAUUUUUACGUUCGUAUGAUUUGAAAUACUUGCACACAAACCACGCAAAAGCGUUCCUGGAAAUCUCAUCCUAAAAAAGGACGUUUAGUAAUUCUAAAAGGGACUACAGGAUGAAAAAUAAUAGUUUGGGCAGUUAAAAUUUGAGAUUCGACGGUGCCGUAGAUCCGUUUGGUCAUCAGGUGUUACGAGCCACACCCAUGUCUAGCUAGAAUAGUGUGUUAGGCUCAGGCUAGAGAAGAAACGGGGAACAAACUGAUGAAAGAAUGAUCAUAUCGAGGGAAUUCACUCAGAACUAACAAGAAUGAUAACGUGCUCCGACUGGAGCAGUUUAGAAACUGCUGGAAGGCUCUAGGGGAAUAAAGAUGGAAUGACUUCUAAUUUUUAGGUCUGUAUGAUUUGAAAUACGUGCACACGAACCCCGAGAAAGCGUUCCUGGAAAUCUCGGCCCAAAAAAGGACGUUUAGUAAUUCUAAAAGGGACUACAGGAUGAAAAACAAUAGUUUUGGCAGUUAAAGUUUGAGAUUCGACGGUGCCGUAGAUCCGUUUGUUCAUCAGGUGUUACGAGCCACACCCAUGUCUAGCUAGAAUAGUGUGUUAGGCUCAGGCUAGAGAAGAAACGGGGAACAAACUGAUGAAAGAAUGAUCAUACCGAGGGAAUUCACUCAGAACUAACAAGAAUGAUAACGUGCUCCGACUGGAGCGGUUUAGGAACUGCUAGAAGGCUCUAGGGGAAUAAAGAAGGAAUGACUUCUAAUUUUUAGGUCCGUAUGAUUUGAAAUACGUGCACACAAACCCCGAGAAAGCGUUCCUGGAAAUCUUGGCCCAAAAAAGGACGUUUAGUAUUCUAAAAGCGACUACAGAAUGAAAAACAAUAGUUUUGCUAGUUAAAGUUUGAGAUUUGAUGGUGCCGUAGAUCUGUUUGGUCAUCAGGUUUUACGAGCCACACCCAUGUCUAGCUAGAAUAGUGUGUUAGGCUCAGGCUAGAAAAGAAACAGGGAAUAAAGUGAUGAAAGAAUGAUCAUACCAAGGGAAUUCACUCAGAACUAACAAGAACGAUAACAUGCUCCGACUGGAGUGGUUUAGAACUGCUGGAAGGCUAAAGGGGAAUAAAGAUGGAAUGACUUCUAAUUUUUAGGUCCGUAUGAUUUGAAAUACUUGCACACAAACCGCACGAAAGUGUUCCUGGAAAUCUCAGCCCAAAAAAGGACGUUUAGUAAUUCUAAAAGGGACUACAGGAUGAAAAACAAUAGUUUUGGCAGUUAAAGUUUGAGAUUCGAUAAUGACGUAGAUCCGUUUGGUCAUCAGGUGUAACGAGCCACACCCAUGUCUAGCUAGAGUAGUGUGCUAGGCUCAGACUAGAGAAGAAACGGGGAACAAACUGAUGAAAGAAUGAUCAUACCGAGGGAAUUCACUCAGAACUAACAAUAAUGAUAACGUGCUCCGACUAGAGCGGUUUAGGAACUGCUGGAAGGCUCUAGGGGAAUAAAGAUGGAAUGACUUCUAAUUUUUAGGUCCCUAUGAUUUGAAAUACUUGCACACAAACCGCGUGAAAGCAUUCCUGGAAAUUUCAGCCCAAAAAAGGACGUUUAGUAAUUUUAAAAGGGACUACACGAUGAAAAAGAAUAGUUUUGGCAGUUAAAGUUUGAGAUUCGACGGUGCCGUAGAUCCGUUUGGUCAUCAGGUGUUACGAGACACACCCAUGUCUAGCUAGAAUAGUAUGUUAGGCUCGGGUUAGAGAAGAAACGGGGAACAAACUGAUGAAAGAAUGAUCAUACCAAGGGAAUUCACUCAGAACUAACAAGAAUGAUAACGUGCUCCGACUGGAGCGGUUUAGGAACUGCUGGAAGGCUCUAGGGGAAUAAAGAUGGAAUGACUUCUAAUUUUUACGUUCGUAUGAUUUGAAAUACUUGCAAACAAACCACGCAAAAGCGUUCCUGGAAAUUUCAUCCUAAAAAAGGACGUUUAGUAAUUCUAAAAGGGACUACAGGAUGAAAAAUAAUAGUUUGGGCAGUUAAAAUUUGAGAUUCGAUGGUGCCGUAGAUCCGUUUGGUCAUCAGGUGUUACGAGCCACACCCAUGUCUAGCUAGAAUAGUGUGUUAGGCUCAGGCUAGAGAAGAAACGGGGAACAAACUGAUGAAAGAAUGAUCAUAUCGAGGGAAUUCACUCAGAACUAACAAGAAUGAUAACGUGCUCCGACUGGAGCAGUUUAGAAACUGCUGGAAGGCUCUAGGGGAAUAAAGAUGGAAUGACUUCUAAUUUUUAGGUCUGUAUGAUUUGAAAUACGUGCACACAAACCCCGAGAAAGCGUUCCUGGAAAUCUCGUCCGGAAAAAGGAUGUUUAAUAAUUCUAAAAGGGACUACAGGAUGAAAAACAAUAGUUUUGGCAGUUAAAGUUUGUGAUUCGAUGGUGCCGUAGAUCUGUUUGGUCAUCAGGUGUUACGGGCCACACCCAUGUCUAGCUAGAAUAGUGUGUUAGGCUCAGGCUAGAGCAGAAACGGGGAGCAAACUUAUGAAAGAAUGAUCAUAGCGAGGGAAUUUACUCAGAACUAACAAGAAUGAUAACGUGCUCCGACUGGAGCGGUUUAGGAACUGCUGGAAGGCUCUAGGGGAAUAAAGAUGGAAUGACUUCAAAUUUUCAGGUAUGUAUGAUCUGAAAUACUUGCACACAAACCGCGAGAAAGCGUUCCUGGAAAUCUCAACCCAAAAAAGGAUGUUUAGUAAUUCUAAAAGGGACUACAGGAUUAAAAACAAUAGUUUUGGCAGUUAAAGUUUGAGAUUCGAUAAUGUCGUAGAUCCGUUUGGUCAUCAGGUGUAACGAGCCACACCCAUGUCUAGCUAGAGUAGUGUGCUAGGCUCAUACUAGAGAAGAAACGGGGAACAAACUGAUGAAAGAAUGAUCAUACCGAGGGAAUUCACUCAGAACUAACAAGAAUGAUAACGUGCUCCGACUGGAGCGGUUUAGGAACUGCUGGAAGGCUCUAGGGGAAUAAAGAUGGAAUGACUUCUUAUUUUUAGGUCCGUAUGAUUUGAAAUACAUGCACACAAACCCCAAGAAAGCGUUCCGGGAAAUCUCGGCCCAAAGAAUGAUGUUUAGUAAUUCUAAAAGGGACUAUAGAAUGAAAAACAAUAGUUUUGGCAGUUAAAGUUUGAGAUUUGACGGUGUCGUAGAUCUGUUUGGUCAUCAGGUGUUACGAGCCACACCCAUUUCUAGCUAGAAUAGUGUGUUAGGCUCAGGCUAGAAAAGAAACGGGGAACAAAGUGAUGAAAGAAUGAUCAUACCGAGGGAAUUCACUCAGAACUAACAAGAAUGAUAACAUGCUCCGACUAGAGCGGUUUAGGAACUGCUGGAAGGCUCUAGGGGAAUAAAUAUGGAAUGACUUCUAAUUUUCAGGUCCGUAUGAUUUGAAAUACUUGCACACAAACCGCGCGAAAGCGUUCCUGGAAAUCUCAUCCCAAAGAAGGUCGUUUAGUAAUUCUAAAAGGGACUACAGGAUGAAAAACAAUAGUUUUGGCAAUUUAAGGUUUGAGAUUCGACGGUGCCGUAGAUCCGUUUGGUCAUCAGGUGUUACGAGCCACACCCAUGUCUAGCUAGAAUAGUGUGCUAGGCUCAGGCUAGAGAAGAAACAGGGAACAAACUGAUGAAAGAAUGAUCAAACCGAGGGAAUUCACUCAGAACUAACAAUAAUGAUAACGUUCUCCGUCUGGAGCGGUUUAGGAACUGCUGGAAGGCUCUAGGGGAAUAAAGAUGGAAUGACUUCUAAUUUUUAGGUCCGUAUGAUUUGAAAUACUUGCACACAAACCGCGCCAAAUCGUUCCUGGAAAUCUCAGCCCAAAAAAGGACGUUUAGUAAUUCUAAAAGGGACUACAGGAUGAAAAACAAUAGUUUUGGCAGUUAAAGUUUGAGAUUCGAUGGUGCCGUAGACCCGUUUGGUCAUCAGGUGUUACGAGCCACACCCAUGUCUAGCUAGAGUAGUGUGCUAGGUUCAGACUAGAGAAGAAACAGGGAACAAAGUGAUGAAAGAAUGAUCAUACCGAGGGAAUUCACUCAGAACUAACAAGAAUGAUAACGUGCUCCGACUGGAGCGGUUUAGGAACUGCUGGAAGGCUCUAGGGGAAUAAAGAUGGAAUGACUUCUAAUUUUUACGUCCGUAUGAUUUGAAAUACUUGCACACAAACCACGCAAAAGCGUUCCUGGAAAUCUCAGCCUAAAAAAGGACGUUUAGUAAUUCAAAAAGGGACUACAAAAUGAAAAACAAUAGUUUUGGCAGUUAAAGUUUGAGAUUCGAUGGUGCCGUAGAUCCGUUUGGUCAUCAGGUGUUACGAGCCACACCCAUGUCUAGCUAGGAUAGUGUGUUAGGCUCAGGCUAGAGAAGAAACGGGGAACAAACUGAUGAAAGAAUGAUCAUACCGAGGGAAUUCACUCAGAACUAACAAGGAUGAUAACAUGCUCCGACUAGAGCGGUUUAGGAACUGCUGGAAGGCUCUAGGGGAAUAAAGAUGGAAUGACUUCUAAUUUUUAGGUCCGUAUGAUUUGAAAUACUUGCACACAAACCGCAAGAAAGCGUUCCUGGAAAUCUCAGCCCAAAAAAGGACGUUUAGUAAUUCUAAAAGGGACUACAGGAUGAAAAACAAUAGUUCUGGCAGUUAAAGUUUGAGAUUCGAUAAUGCCGUAGAUCUGUUUGGUCAUCAGGUGUAACGAGCCACACCCAUGUCUAGCUAGAGUAGUGUGCUAGGCUCAGACUAGAGAAGAAACGGGGAACAAACUGAUGAAAGAAUGAUUAUACCGAGGGAAUUCACUCAGAACUAACGAGAAUGAUAACGUGCUCCGACUGGAGCGGUUUAGGAACUGCUGGAAGGCUCUAGGGGAAUAAAGAUGGAAUGACUUCAAAUUUUUAGGUCUGUAUGAUUUGAAAUACUUGCACACAAACCGCAAGAAAGCGUUCCUUGAAAUCUCAGCCCAAAAAAGGACGUUUAGUAAUUCUAAAAGGGACUACAGGAUGAAAAACAAUAGUUCUGGCAGUUAAAGUUUGAGAUUCGAUAAUGUCGUAGAUCCGUUUGGUCAUCAGGUGUAACGAGCCACACCCAUGUCUAGCUAGAGUAGUGUGCUAGGCUCAGAAUAGAGAAGAAACGGGGAACAAACUGAUGAAAGAAUGAUCAUACCGAGGGAAUUCACUCAGAACUAACAAGAAUGAUAACGUGCUCCGACUGGAGCGGUUUAGGAACUGCUGGAAGGCUCUAGGGGAAUAAAGAAGGAAUGACUUCUAAUUUUUAGGUCCGUAUGAUUUGAAAUACGUGCACACAAACCGCGCGAAAGCGUUCCUGGAAAUCUCAGCCAAAAAAAGGACGUUUAGUAUUCUAAAAGGGACUACAGAAUGAAAAACAAUAGUUUUGGCAGUUAAAGUUUGAGAUUCGACGGUGCUGUAGAUCCGUUUGGUCAUCAGGUGUUACGAGCCACACCCAUGUCUAGCUAGAAUAGUGUGCUAGGCUCAGGCUAGAGAAGAAAAGGGGAACAAACUAAUGAAAGAAUGAUCAAUCCGAGGGAAUUCACUCAGAACUAACAAUAAUGAUAACGUGCUCCGACUGGAGCGGUUUAGGAACUGCUGGAAGGCUCUAGGCGAAUAAAGAUGGAAUGACUUCUAAUUUUUACGUCCGUAUGAUUUGAAAUACUUGCACACAAACCACGCAAAAGCGUUCCUGGAAGUCUCGGCCUAAAAAGGACGUUUAGUAAUUCUAAAAGGGACUACAGGAUGAAAAAUAAUAGUUUGGGCAGUUAAAAUUUGAGAUUCGACGGUGCCGUAGAUCCAUUUGGUCAUCAAGUGUUACGAGCCACACCCAUGUCUAGCUAGAAUAGUGUGUUAGGCUCAGGCUAGAGAAGAAACGGGGAACAAACUGAUGAAAGAAUGAUCAUACCAAGGGAAUUCACUCAGAACUAACAAGAAUGAUAACGUGCUCCGACUGGAGCAGUUUAGAAACUGCUGGAAGGCUCUUGGGGAAUAAAGAUGGAAUGACUUCAAAUUUUUAGGUCCGUAUGAUUUGAAAUACUUGCACACAAACCACGCGAAAGCGUUCCUGGAAAUCUCAGCCCAAAAAAGGACGUUUAGUAAUUCUAAAAGGGACUACAUGAUGAAAAACAAUAGUUUUGGCAGUUAAAGUUUGAGAAUCGUCGGUGCCGUAGAUCCGUUUGGUCAUCAGCUGUAACGAGCCACACCCAUGUCUAGCUAGAGUAGUGUGCUAGGCUCAGACUAGAGAAGAAACAGGGAACAAAGUGAUGAAAGAAUGAUCAUACCGAGGGAAUUCACUUAGAACUAACAAGAAUGAUAACAUGCUCCGACUUGAGCGAUUUAGGAACUUCUGGAAGGCUCUAGGGGAAUAAAGAUGGAAUGACUCAAAUUUUUAGGCCCGUAUGAUUUGAAAUACAUGCACACAAACCGCGAGAAAGUGUUCCUGGAAAUCUUAGCCCAAAAAAGGACGUUUAGUAAUUCUAAAAGGGACUACAGGAUGAAAAACAAUAGUUUUGGUAGUUAAAGUUUCAGAUUCGAUAAUGCCCUAGAUCCGUUUGGUCAUCAGGUGUAACGAGCCACACCAAUGUCUAGCUAGAGUAGUGUGCUAGGCUCAGACUAGAUAAGAAACGGGGAAGAAACUGAUGAAAGAAUGAUCAGACCGAGGGAAUUCACUCAGAACUAACAAUAAUGAUAACGUGCUCCGAGUGGAGCGGUUUAGGAACUGCUGGAAGGCUCUAGGGGAAUAAAGAUGGAAUGACUUCUAAUUUUUAGGUCCGUAUGAUUUGAAAUACGUGCACACAAACCCCGAGAAACCGUUCCUUGAAAUCUCGGCCCAAAAAAGGACGUUUAGUAAUUCUAAAAGGGACUACAAAAUGAAAAACAAUAGUUUUGGCAGUUAAAGUUUGAGAUUCGACGGUGUCGUAGACCCGUUUGGUCUUCAGGUGUUACGAGCCACACCCAUGUCUAGCCAGAGUAGUGUGCUAGGUUCAGACUAGAGAAGAAACGGGGAACAAAGUGAUGAAAGAAUGAUCAUACCGAGGGAAUUCACUCAGAACUAACAAGAAUGAUAACGUGCUCCGACUGGAGCGGGUUAGGAACUCCUGGAAGGCUCUAGGGGAAUAAAGAUGGAAUGACUUCUAAUUUUUACGUCCGUAUGAUUUGAAAUACUUGCACACAAACCACGCAAAAGCGUUCCUGGAAAUCUCAGCCUAAAAAAGGACGUUUAGUAAUUCUAAAAGGGACUACAGGAUGAAAAAUAAUAGUUUGGUCAUCAGGUGUUACGAGCCACACCCAUGUCUAGCUAGAAUAGUGUGCUAGGCUCAGGCUAGAGAAGAAACGGGGAAUAAACUGAUGAAAGAAUGAUCAAACCGAGGGAAUUCACUCAGAACUAACAAUAAUGAUAACGUUCUCCGUCUGGAGCGGUUUAGGAACUGCUGGAAGGCUCUAGGGGAAUAAAGAUGGAAUGACUUCUAAUUUUUAGGUCCGUAUGAUACGAAAUACUUGCACACAAACCGCGCGAAAUCGUUCCUGGAAAUCUCAGCCCAAAAAAGGACGUUUAGUAAUUCUAAAAGGGACUACAGCAUGAAAAACAAUAGUUCUGGCAGUUAAAGUUUGAGAUUCGAUAAUGCCGUAGAUCCGUUUGGUCAUCAGGUGUAACGAGCCACACCCAUGUCUAGCUAGAGUAGUAUGCUAGGCUCAGACUAGAGAAGAAACGGGGAACAAACUGAUGAAAGAAUGAUUAUACCGAGGGAAUUCACUCAGAACUAACAAGAAUGAUAACGUGCUCCGGCUGGAGCGGUUUAGGAACUGCUAGAAGGCUCUAGGGGAAUAAAGAUGGAAUGACUUCAAAUUUUUAGGUCUGUAUGAUUUGAAAUACUUGCACACAAACCGCAAGAAAGCGUUCCUGGAAAUCUCAGCCCAAAAAAGGACGUUUAGUAAUUCUAAAAGGGACUAUAGGAUGAAAAACAAUAGUUCUGGUAGUUAAAGUUUGAGAUUCGAUAAUGUCAUAGAUCCGUUCGGUCAUCAGGUGUAACGAGCCACACCCAUGUCUAGCUAGAGUAGUGUGCUAGGCUCAGACUAGAGAAGAAACGGGGAACAAACUGAUGAAAGAAUGAUCAUACCGAGGGAAUUCACUCAGAACUAACAAGAAUGAUAACGUGCUCCGACUGGAGCGGUUUAGGAACUGCUGGAAGGCUCUAGGGGAAGAAAGAAGGAAUGACUUCUAAUUUUUAGGUCCGUAUGAUUUGAAAUACGUGCACACAAACCGCGCGAAAGCGUUCCUGGAAAUCUCAGCCCAAAAAAGGACGUUUAGUAUUCUAAAAGGGACUACAGAAUGAAAAACAAUAGUUUUGGCAGUUAAAGUUUGAGAUUCGACGGUGCCGUAGAUCCGUUUGGUCAUCAGGUGUUACGAGCCACACCCAUGUCUAGCUAGAAUAGUGUGCUAGGCUCAGGCUAGAGAAGAAAAGGGGAACAAACUGAUGAAAGAAUGAUCAAACCGAGGGAAUUCACUCAGAACUAACAAUAAUGAUAACGUGCUCCGACUGGAGCGGUUUAGGAACUGCUGGAAGGCUCUUGGCGAAUAAAGAUGGAAUGACUUCUAAUUUUUACGUCCGUAUGAUUUGAAAUACUUCCACACAAACCAGGCAAAGGCGUUCCUGGAAAUCUCGGCCUAAAAAGGACGUUUAGUAAUUCUAAAAGGGACUACAGGAUGAAAAAUAAUAGUUUGGGCAGUUAAAAUUUUAGAUUCGACGGUGCCGUAGAUCCGUUUGGUCAUCAGGUGUUACGAGCCACACCCAUGUCUAGCUAGAAUAGUGUGUUAGGCUCAGGCUAGAGAAGAAACGGGGAACAAACUGAUGAAAGAAUGAUCAUACCAAGGGAAUUCACUCAGAACUAACAAGAAUGAUAACGUGCUCCGACUGGAGCAGUUUAGAAACUACUGGAAGGCUCUAGGGGAAUAAAGAUGGAAUGACUUCAAAUUUUUAGGUCCGUAUGAUUUGAAAUACUUGCACACAAACCGCGCGAAAGCGUUCCUGGAAAUCUCAGCCCAAAAAAGGACGUUUAGUAAUUCUAAAAGGGACUACAUGAUGAAAAACAAUAGUUUUGGCAGUUAAAGUUUGAGAUUCGUCGGUGCCGUAGAUCCGUUUGGUCAUCAGCUGUAACGAGCCACACCCAUUUCUAGCUAGAGUAGUGUGCUAGGCUCAGACUAAAGAAGAAAUGGGGAACAAAGUGAUGAAAGAAUGCUCAUACCGAGGGAAUUCACUCAGAACUAACAAGAAUGAUAACAUGCUCCGACUUGAGCGAUUUAGGAACUUCUGGAAGGCUCUAGGGGAAUAAAGAUGGAAUGACUCAAAUUUUUAGGUCCGUAUGAUUUGAAAUACUUGCACACAAACCGCGAGAAAGCGUUCCUGGAAAUCUCAGCCCAAAAAAGGACGUUUAGUAAUUCUAAAAGGGACUACAUGAUGAAAAACAAUAGUUUUGGCAGUUAAAGUUUGAGAUUUGAUAAUGCCGUAGAUCCGUUUGGUCAUCAGGUGUAACGAGCCACACCCAUGUCUAGCUAGAGUAGUGUGCUAGGCUAAGACUAGAUAAGAAAAGGGGAAGAAACUUAUGAAAGAAUGAUCAGACCGAGGGAAUUCACUCAGAACUAACAAUAAUGAUAACGUGCUCCGACUGGAGCGGUUUAGGAACUGCUGGAAGGCUCUAGGGGAAUAAAGAUGGAAUGACUUCUAAUUUUUAGGUCCGUAUGAUUUGAAAUACGUGCACACAAACCCCGAGAAACCGUUCCUGGAAAUCUCGGCCCAAAAAAGGAUGUUUAGUAAUUCUAAAAGGGACUACAAAAUGAAAAACAAUAGUUUUGGCAGUUAAAGUUUGAGAUUUGAUGGUGCCGUAGAUCUGUUUGGUCAUCAGGUGUUACGAGCCACACCCAUGUCUAGCUAGAAUAGUGUGUUAGGCUCAGGCUAGAAAAGAAACGGGAAACAAAGUGAUGAAAGAAUGAUCAUACCGAGGGAAUUCACUCAGAACUAACAAGAAUGAUAACAUGCUCUGACUGGAGCGGUUUAGGAACUGCUGGAAGGCUCUAGGGGAAUAAAGAUGGAAUGACUUCUAAUGUUUAGGUCCGUAUGAUUUGAAAUACUUGCACAUAAACCGCGCAAAAGCGUUCCUGGAAAUCUCAGCCCAAAAAAGGACGUUUAGUAAUUCUAAAAGGGACUACAGGAUGAAAAACAAUAGUUUUGGCAGUUAAAGUUUGAGAUUCGACGGUGCCGUAGAUCCGUUUGUUCAUCAGGUGUUACGAGCCACACCCAUGUCUAGCUAGAAUAGUGUGUUAGGCUCAGGCUAGAGAAGAAACGGGGAACAAACUGAUGAAAGAAUGAUCAAACCGAGGGAAUUCACUCAGAACUAACAAUAAUGAUAACGUGCUCCGACUAGAGCGGUUUAGGAACUGCUGGAAGGCUCUAGGGGAAUAAAGAUGGAAUGACUUCUAAUUUUUAGGUCUGUAUGAUUUGAAAUACUUGCACGCAAACCGCGCGAAAGCGUUCCCGGAAAUAUCAGCCUAAAGAAGGACGUUUAGUAAUUCUAAAAGGGACUACAGGAUGAAAAACAAUAGUUUUGGCAGUUAAAGUUUGAGAUUCAACGGUGCCGUAGAUCCGUUUGGUCAUCAGGUGUUACGAGCCACACCCAUGUCUAGCUAGAGUAGUGUGCUAGGCUCAGGCUAGAGAAGAAACAGGGAACAAACUGAUGAAAGAAUGAUCAUACCGAGGGAAUUCACUCAGAACUGAUGAAAGAAUGAUCAAACCAAGGAAAUUCACUCAGAACUAACAAUAAUGAUAACAUGCUCCGACUGGAGCGGUUUAGGAACUGCUGGAAGGCUCUAGGGGAAUAAAGAUGGAAUGACUUCUAAUUUUUAGGUCCGUAUGAUUUGAAAUACGUGCACACAAACCCCGAGAAACCGUUCCUGGAAAUCUCGGCCCAAAAAAGGACGUUUAGUAAUUCUAAAAGGGACAACAAAAUGAAAAACAAUAGUUUUGGCAGUUAAAGUUUGAGAUUCGACGGUGCCGUAGACCCGUUUGGUCAUCAGGUGUUACGAGCCACACCCAUGUCUAGCUAGAGUAGUGUGCUAGGUUCAGACUAGAGAAGAAACGGGGAACAAAGUGAUGAAAGAAUGAUCAUACCGAGGGAAUUCACUCAGAACUAACAAGAAUGAUAACGUGCUCCGACUGGAGCGGGUUAGGAAUUGCUGGAAGGCUCUAGGGGAAUAAAGAUAGAAUGACUUCUAAUUUUUACGUCCGUAUGAUUUGAAAUACUUGCACACAAACCACGCAAAAGCGUUCCUAGAAAUCUCAGCCUAAAAAAGGACGUUUAGUAAUUCUAAAAGGGACUACAGGAUGAAAAAUAAUAGUUUGGCCAGUUAAAAUUUAAGAUUCGACGGUGCCGUAGAUCCGCUUGGUCAUCAGGUGUUACGAGCCACACCCAUGUCUAGCUAGAAUAGUGUGUUAGGCUCAGGCUAGAGAAGAAACGGGGAACAAACUGAUGAAAGAAUGAUCAUACCGAGGGAAUUCACUCAGAACUAACAAGAAUGAUAACAUGCUCCGACUGGAGCGGUUUAGGAACUGCUGGAAGGCUCUAGGGGAAUAAAGAUGGAAUGACUUCUAAUUUUUAGGUCCGUAUGAUUUGAAAUACUUGCACACAAACCGCAAGAAAGCGUUCCUGGAAAUCUCAGCACAAAAAAGGACGUUUAGUAAUUCUAAAAGGGACUACAGCAUGAAAAACAAUAGUUCUGGCAGUUAAAGUUUGAGAUUCGAUAAUGCCGUAGAUCCGUUUGGUCAUCAGGUGUAACGAGCCACACCCAUGUCUAGCUAGAGUAGUGUGCUAGGCUCAGACUAGAGAAGAAACGGGGAACAAAAUGAUGAAAGAAUGAUUAUACCGAGGGAAUUCACUCAGAACUAACAAGAAUGAUAACGUGCUCCGACUGGAGCGGUUUAGGAACUGCUGGAAGGCUCUAGGGGAAUAAAGAUGGAAUGACUUCAAAUUUUUAGGUCUGUAUGAUUUGAAAUACUUGCACACAAACCGCAAGAAAGCGUUCCUGGAAAUCUCAGCCCAAAAAUGGACGUUUAGUAAUUCUAAAAGGGACUAUAGGAUGAAAAACAAUAGUUCUGGCAGUUAAAGUUUGAGAUUCGAUAAUGUCGUAGAUCCGUUCGGUCAUCAGGUGUAACGAGCCACACCCAUGUCUAGCUAGAGUAGUGUGCUAGGCUCAGACUAGAGAAGAAACGGGGAACAAACUGAUGAAAGAAUGAUCAUACCGAGGGAAUUCACUCAGAACUAACAAGAAUGAUAACGUGCUCCGACUGGAGCGGUUUAGGAACUGCUGGAAGGCUCUAGGGGAAGAAAGAAGGAAUGACUUCUAAUUUUUAGGUCCGUAUGAUUUGAAAUACGUGCACACAAACCGCGCGAAAGCGUUCCUGGAAAUCUCAGCCCAAAAAAGGACGUUUAGUAUUCUAAAAGGGACUACAGAAUGAAAAACAAUAGUUUUGGCAGUUAAAGUUUGAGAUUCGACGGUGCCGUAGAUCCGUUUGGUCAUCAGGUGUUACGAGCCACACCCAUGUCUAGCUAGAAUAGUGUGCCAGGCUCAGGCUAGAGAAGAAAAGGGGAACAAACUGAUGAAAGAAUGAUCAAACCGAGGGAUUUCACUCAGAACUAACAAUAAUGAUAACGUGCUCCGACUGGAGCGGUUUAGGAACUGCUGGAAGGCUCUAGGCGAAUAAAGAUGGAAUGACUUCUAAUUUUUACGUCCGUAUGAUUUUAAAUACUUGCACACAAACCACGCAAAAGCGUUCCUGGAAAUCUCGGCCUAAAAAGGACGUUUAGUAAUUCUAAAAGGGACUACAGGAUGAAAAAUAAUAGUUUGGGCAGUUAAAAUUUGAGAUUCGACGGUGCCGUAGAUCCGUUUGGUCAUCAGGUGUUACGAGCCACACCCAUGUCUAGCUAGAAUAGUGUGUUAGGCUCAGGCUAGAGAAGAAACAGGGAACAAACUGAUGAAAGAAUGAUCAUACCAAGGGAAUUCACUCAGAACUAACAAGAAUGAUAACGUGCUCCGACUGGAGCAGUUUAGAAACUGCUGGAAGGCUCUAGGGGAAUAAAGAUGGGAUGACUUCAAAUUUUUAGGUCCGUAUGAUUUGAAAUACUUGCACACAAACCGCGCGAAAGCGUUCCUGGAAAUCGCAGCCCAAAAAAGGACGUUUAGUAAUUCUAAAAGGGACUACAUGAUGAAAAACAAUAGUUUUGGCAGUUAAAGUUUGAGAUUCGUCGGUGCCGUAGAUCCGUUUGGUCAUCAGCUGUAACGAGCCACACCCAUGUCUAGCUAGAGUAGUGUGCUAGGCUCAGACUAGAGAAGAAAUGGGGAAAAAAGUGAUGAAAGAAUGAUCAUACCGAGGGAAUUCACUCAGAACUAACAAGAAUGAUAACAUGCUCCGACAUGAGCGAUUUAGGAACUUCUGGAAGGCUCUAGGGGAAUAAAGAUGGAAUGACUCAAAUUUUUAGGUCCGUAUGAUUUGAAAUACUUGCACACAAACCGCGAGAAAGCGUUCCUGGAAAUCUCAGCCCAAAAAAGGACAUUUAGUAAUUCUAAAAGGGACUACAGGAUGAAAAACAAUAGUUUUGGCAGUUAAAGUUUGAGAUUUGAUAAUGCCGUAGAUCCGUUUGGUCAUCAGGUGUAACGAGCCACACCCAUGUCUAGCUAGAGUAGUGUGCUAGGCUAAGACUAGAUAAGAAACCGGGAAGAAACUAAUGAAAGAAUGAUCAGACCGAGGGAAUUCACUCAGAACUAACAAUAAUGAUAACGUGCUCCGACUGGAGCGGUUUAGGAACUGCUGGAAGGCUCUAGGGGAAUAAAGAUGAAAUGACUUCUAAUUUUUAGGUUCGUAUGAUUUGAAAUACAUGCACACAAACCCCGAGAAACCGUUCCUGGAAAUCUCGGCCCAAAAAAGGAUGUUUAGUAAUUCUAAAAGGGACUACAAAAUGAAAAACAAUAGUUUUGGUAGUUAAAGUUUGAGAUUUGAUGGUGCCAUAGAUCUGUUUGGUCAUCAGGUGUUACGAGCCACACCCAUGUCUAGCUAGAAUAGUGUGUUAGGCUCAGGCUAGAAAAGAAACGGGAAACAAAGUGAUGAAAGAAUGAUCAUACCGAGGGAAUUCACUCAGAACUAACAAGAAUGAUAACAUGCUCUGACUGGAGCGGUUUAGGAACUGCUGGAAGGCUCUAGGGGAAUAAAGAUGGAAUGACUUCUAAUGUUUAGGUCCGAGGUCCGUAUGAUUUGAAAUACUUGCACAUAAACCGUGCAAAAGCGUUCCUGGAAAUCUCAGCCCAAAAAAGGACGUUUAGUAAUUCUAAAAGGGACUACAGGAUGAAAAACAAUAGUUUUGGCAGUUAAAGUUUGAGAUUCGACGGUGCCGUAGAUCCGUUCGUUCAUCAGGUGUUACGAGCCACACCCAUGUCUAGCUAGAAUAGUGUGUUAGGCUCAGGCUAGAGAAGAAACGGGGAACAAACUGAUGAAAGAAUGAUCAAACCGAGGGAAUUCACUCAGAACUAACAAUAAUGAUAACGUGCUCCGACUAGAGCGGUUUAGGAACUGCUGGAAGGCUCUAGGGGAAUAAAGAUGGAAUGACUUCUAAUUUUUAGGUCUGUAUGAUUUGAAAUACUUGCACGCAAACCGCGCGAAAGCGUUCCCGGAAAUAUCAGCCCAAAAAAGGACGUUUAGUAAUUCUAAAAGGGACUACAGGAUGAAAAACAAUAGUUUUGGCAGUUAAAGUUUGAGAUUCAACGGUGCCGUAGAUCCGUUUGGUCAUCAGGUGUUACGAGCCACACCCAUGUCUAGCUAGAGUAGUGUGCUAGGCUCAGGCUAGAGAAGAAACAGGGAACAAACUGAUGAAAGAAUGAUCAUACCGAGGGAAUUCACUCAGAACUGAUGAAAGAAUGAUCAAACCGAGGAAAUUCACUCAGAACUAACAAUAAUGAUAACAUGCUCCGACUGGAGCGGUUUAGGAACUGCUGGAAGGCUCUAGGGGAAUAAAGAUGGAAUGACUUCUAAUUUUUAGGUCCGUAUGAUUUGAAAUACGGGCACACAAACCCCGAGAAACCGUUCCUGGAAAUCUCGGCCCGAAAAAGGACGUUUAGUAAUUCUAAAAGGGACUACAAAAUGAAAAACAAUAGUUUUGGCAGUUAAAGUUUGAGAUUCGACGGUGCCGUAGACCCGUUCGGUCAUCAGGUGUAACGAGCCACACCCAUGUCUAGCUAGAGUAGUGUGCUAGGCUCAGACUAGAGAAGAAACGGGGAACAAACUGAUGAAAGAAUGAUCAUACCGAGGGAAUUCACUCAGAACUAACAAGAAUGAUAACGUGCUCCGACUGGAGCGGUUUAGGAACUGCUAGAAGGCUCUAGGGGAAGAAAGAAGGAAUGACUUCUAAUUUUUAGGUCUGUAUGAUUUGAAAUACGUGCACACAAACCGCGCGAAAGCGUUCCUGGAAAUCUCAGCCCAAAAAAGGACGUUUAGUAUUCUAAAAGGGACUACAGAAUGAAAAACAAUAGUUUUAGCAGUUAAAGUUUGAGAUUCGACGGUGCCGUAGAUCCGUCUGGUCAUCAGGUGUUACGAGCCACACCCAUGUCUAGCUAGAAUAGUGUGCUAGGCUCAGGCUAGAGAAGAAAAGGGGAACAAACUGAUGAAAGAAUGAUCAAACCGAGGGAAUUCACUCAGAACUAACAAUAAUGAUAACGUGCUCCGACUGGAGCGGUUUAGGAACUGCUGGAAGGCUCUAGGCGAAUAAAGAUGGAAUGACUUCUAAUUUUUACGUCCGUAUGAUUUGAAAUACUUGCACACAAACCACGCAAAAGCGUUCCUGGAAAUCUCGGCCUAAAAAGGACGUUUAGUAAUUCUAAAAGGGACUACAGGAUGAAAAAUAAUAGUUUGGGCAGUUAAAAUUUGAGAUUCGACGGUGCCGUAGAUCCGUUUGGUCAUCAGGUGUUACGAGCCACACCCAUCUCUAGCUAGAAUAGUGUGUUAGGCUCAGGCUAGAGAAGAAACGGGGAACAAACUGAUGAAAGAAUGAUCAUACCAAGGGAAUUCACUCAGAACUAACAAGAAUGAUAACGUGCUCCGACUGGAGCAGUUUAGAAACUCCUGGAAGGCUCUAGGGGAGUAAAGAUGGAAUGACUUCAAAUUUUUAGGUCCGUAUGAUUUGAAAUACUUGCACACAAACCGCGCGAAAGCGUUCCUGGAAAUCUCAGCCCAAAAAAGGACGUUUAGUAAUUCUAAAAGGGACUACAUGAUGAAAAACAAUAGUUUUGGCAGUUAAAGUUUGAGAUUCGUCGGUGCCGUAGAUCCGUUUGGUCAUCAGCUGUAACGAGCCACACCCAUGUCUAGCUAGAGUAGUGUGCUAGGCUCAGACUAGAGAAGAAAUGGGGAACAAAGUGAUGAAAGAAUGAUCAUACCGAGGGAAUUCACUCAGAACUAACAAGAAUGAUAACAUGCUCCGACUUGAGCGAUUUAGGAACUUCUGGAAGGCUCUAGGGGAAUAAAGAUGGAAUGACUCAAAUUUUUAGGUCCGUAUGAUUUGAAAUACUUGCACACAAACCGCGAGAAAGCGUUCCUGGAAAUCUCAGCCCAAAAAAGGACGUUUAGUAAUUCUAAAAGGGACUACAGGAUGAAAAACAAUAGUUUUGGCAGUUAAAGUUUGAGAUUCGAUAAUGUCGUAGAUCCGUUUGGUCAUCAGGUGUAACGAGCCACACCCAUGCCUAGCUAGAGUAGUGUGCUAGGCUAAGACUAGAUAAGAAACGGGGAAGAAACUGAUGAAAGAAUGAUCAGACCGAGGGAAUUCACUCAGAACUAACAAUAAUGAUAACGUGCUCCGACUGGAGCGGUUUAGGAACUGCUAGAAGGCUCUAGGGGAAUAAAGAUGGAAUGACUUCUAAUUUUUAGGUCCGUAUGAUUUGAAAUACGUGCACACAAACCCCGAGAAACCGUUCCUGGAAAUCUCGGCCCAAAAAAGUAUGUUUAGUAAUUCUAAAAGGGACUACAAAAUGAAAAACAAUAGUUUUGGCAGUUAAAGUUUGAGAUUUGAUGGUGCCGUAGAUCUGUUAGGUCAUCAGGUGUUACGAGCCACACCCAUGUCUAGCUAGAAUAGUGUGUUAGGCUCAGGCUAGAAAAGAAACGGGAAACAAAGUGAUGAAAGAAUGAUCAUACCGAGGGAAUUCACUCAGAACUAACAAGAAUGAUAACAUGCUCUGACUGGAGCGGUUUAGGAACUGCUGGAAGGCUCUAGGGGAAUAAAGAUGGAAUGACUUCUAAUGUUUAGGUCCGUAUGAUUUGAAAUACUUGCACAUAAACCGCGCAAAAGCGUUCCUGGAAAUCUCAGCCCAAAAAGGACGUUUAGUAAUUCUAGAAGGGACUACAGGAUGAAAAACAAUAGUUUUGGCAGUUAAAGUUUGAGAUUCGACGGUGCCGUAGAUCCGUUUGUUCAUCAGGUGUUACGAGCCACACCCAUGUCUAGCUAGAAUAGUGUGUUAGGCUCAGGCUAGAGAAGAAACGGGGAACAAACUGAUGAAAGAAUGAUCAAACCGAGGGAAUUCACUCAGAACUAACAAUAAUGAUAACGUGCUCCGACUAGAGCGGUUUAGGAACUGCUGGAAGGCUCUAGGGGAAUAAAGAUGGAAUGACUUCUAAUUUUUAGGUCUGUAUGAUUUGAAAUACUUGCACGCAAACCGCGCGAAAGCAUUCCCGGAAAUAUCAGCCCAAAAAAGGACGUUUAGUAAUUCUAAAAGGGACUACAGGAUGAAAAAGAAUAGUUUUGGCAGUUAAAGUUUGAGAUUCAACGGUGCCGUAGAUCCGUUUGGUCAUCAGGUGUUACAAGCCACACCCAUGUCUAGCUAGAGUAGUGUGCUAGGCUCAGGCUAGAGAAGAAACAGGGAUAAAACUGAUGAAAGAAUGAUCAUACCGAGGGAAUUCACUCAGAACUGAUGAAAGAAUGAUCAAUCCGAGGGAAUUCACUCAGAACUAACAAUAAUGAUAACGUGCUCCGAUUGGAGCGGUUUAGGAACUGCUGGAAGGCUCUAGGGGAAUAAAGAUGGAAUGACUUCUAAUUUUUAGGUCCGUAUGAUUUGAAAUACUUGCACACAAACCGCAAGAAAGCGUUCCUAGAAAUCUCAGCCCAAAAAAGGACGUUUAGUAAUUCUAAAAGGGACUACAGGAUGAAAAACAAUAGUUUUGGCAGUUAAAGUUUGAGAUUCGAUGGUGCCCUAGAUCCGUUUGGUCAUCAGGUGUUACGAGCCACACCCAUGUCUAGCUAGAAUAGUGUGUUAGGCUCAGGCUAGAGAAGAAACGGGGAACAAACUGAUGAAAGAAUGAUCAUACGGAGGGAAUUCACUCAGAACUAAGAAGAAUGAUAACGUGCUCCGACUGGAGCGGUUUAGGAACUGGUGGAAGUCUCUAGGGGAAUAAAGAUGGAAUGACUUCUAAUUUUUAGGUCUGUAUGAUUUGAAAUACUUGCGCACAAACCGCGCGAAAGCGUUCCUGGAAAUAUCAGCCUAAAAAAGGAUGUUUAGUAAUUCUAAAAGGGACUACAGGAUGAAAAACAAUAGUUUUGGAAGUUAAAGUUUGAGAUUCGACAGUGUCGUAGAUCCGUUUGGUCAUCAGGUGUUACGAGCCACACCCACGUCUAGCUAGAGUAGUGUGUUAGGCUCAGGCUAGAGAUUAAACGGGGAACAAACUGAUGAAAGAAUGAUCAAACCGAGGGAAUUCACUCACAAUAAAGAUGGAACUUCUUUCUUCCCCUAGAGCCUUCCAGCAGUUCCUAAACCGCUCCAGUCGGAGCACGUUAUCAUUCUUGUUAGUUCUGAGUGAAUUCCCUCGGUAUGAUCAUUCUUUCAUCAGUUUGUUCCCCGUUUCUUCUCUAGUCUGAGCCUAGCACACUACUCUAGCUAGACAUGGGUGUGGCUCGUUACACCUGAUGACCAAACGGAUCUACGACAUUAUCGAAUCUCAAACUUUAACUGCCAGAACUAUUGUUUUCCAUCCUGUAGUCCCUUUUAGAAUUACUAAACGUCCUUUUUUGGGCUGAGAUUUCCAGGAACGCUUUCUUGCGGUUUGUGUGCAAGUAUUUCAAAUCAUACGGACCUAAAAAUUAGAAGUCAUUCCAUCUUUAUUCCCCUAGAGCCUUCCUGCAGUUCCUAAACCGCUCCAGUCGGAGCGUGUUAUCAUUAUUGUUAGUUCUGAGUGAAUUCCCUCGGUUUGAUCAUUCUUUCAUCAGUUUGUUCCCCGUUUAAUCUCUAGCCUGAGCCUAACACACUACUCUAGCUAGACGUGUGUGUGGCUCGUAACACCUGAUGACCAAACGGAUCUACGGCACCGUCGAAUCUCAAACUUUAACUUCCAAAACUAUUGUUUUUCAUCCUGUAGUCCCUUUCAAAAUUACUAAACGUCCUUUUUUGGGCUGAGAUUUCCAGGAACGCUUUCGCGCGGUUUGUGUGCAAGUAUUUCAAAUCAUACAGACCUAAAAAUUAGAAAUCAUUCCAUCUUUAUUCCCCUAGAGACUUCCACAAGUUCCUAAACCGCUCCAGUCGGAGCACGUUAUCAUUCUUCUUAGUUCUGAGUGAAUUCCCUCCGUAUGAUCAUUCUUUCAUCAGUUUGUUCCCCGUUUCUUCUCUAGCCUGAGCCUAACACACUAUUCUAGCUAGACAUGGGUGUGGCUCGUAACACCUGAUGACCAAACGGAUCUAGGGCACCAUCGAAUCUCAAACUUUAACUGCCAAAACUAUUGUUUUUCAUCCUGUAGUCCCUUUUAGAAUUACUAAACGUCCUUUUUUGGGCUGAGAUUUCUAGGAACGCUUUCGCGCGGUUUGUGUGCAAGUAUUUCAAAUCAUACGGACCUAAAAAUUAGAAGUCAUUCCAUCUUUAUUCCCCUAGAGCCUUCCAGCAGUUCCUAAACCGCUCCAAUCGGAGCACGUUAUUAUUAUUGUUAGUUCUGAGUGAAUUCCCUCGGUUUGAUCAUUCUUUCAUCAGUUUGUUCCCCGUUUCUUCUCUAGCCCGAGCCUAAUACACUAUUCUAGCUAGACAUGGGUGUGGCUUGUAACUUCUGAUGACCAAACGGAUCUACGGCACCAUCAAAUCUCAAACUUUAAAUGCCAAAACUAUUGUUUUUCAUUCUGUAGUCCCUUUUAGAAUUACUAAACGUCCUUUUUUGGGCCGAGAUUUCUAGGAACGCUUUCUCGGGGUUUGUGUGCACGUAUUUCAAAUCAUACAGACCUAAAAAUUAGAAGUCAUUCCUGUAGGGUUUCGUAGUAAUUUCAAAAAAUUUCCUACGCACACACAGGAUCAUGUGAUGCAUAGCAACGAGGGGAGAGUAUUGUCUACGUACCCAACGCAGACCGACUGCGGAAGCGAUGACACGACGUAGAGGAAGUAGUCGUACGUCUUCACGAUCCAACCGAUCAAGUACCGAAACUACGGCACCUCCGAGUUCGAGCACACGUUCAGCUCGAUGACGAUCCCCGGACUCCGAUCCAGCAAAGUGUUGGGGAAGAGUUUCGUCAGCACGACGGCGUGGUGACGAUCUUGAUGAACUACAGCAGCAGGGCUUCGCCUAAACUCCGCUACAGUAUUAUCGAGGAAUAUGGUGGCAGGGGGCACCGCACACGGCUAAGGAAUAGAUCACGUGGAUCAACUUGUGUCAACUUGUGUGUUUGGGGUGCCUCUACCUCAGUAUAUAAAGGAGCCAAGGGGGGAGGGGGCGCCGGCCAAGAGAGAGAGGCGCAGGAGGAGUCCUACUCCUACCGGGAGUAGGACUCCCCCCCCAAUCCUAUUCCAACUAGGAUUCCCAAGGGGGAAAGAGGAUGAGGGGUGGCCGGCCACCUCUCCUAGUCCUAAUAGGACUAGGGGAAGGGGGGAGGCGCGCAUCCCCCUUGGUCUGCCCCUUUCUCCUUUCCACUAAGGCCCAUGAUGGCCCAUAUGGCUCCCGGGGGGUUCCGGUAACCUCCCGGUAACCCGGUAAAAUCCCGAUUUCACCCGGAACACUUCCGAUGUCCAAACAUAGGCUUCCAAUAUAUCAAUCUUUAUGUCUCGACCAUUUCGAGACUCCUCGUCAUGUCCGUGAUCACAUCCGGGACUCCGACCAACCUUCGGUACAUCAAAAUGCAUAAACUCAUAAUAUAACUGUCAUCGUAACCUUAAGCGUGCGGACCCUACGGGUUCGAGAACAAUGUAGACAUGACCGAGACACGUCUCUGGUCAAUAACCAAUAGCGGGACCUGGAUGCCCAUAUUGGCUCCUACAUAUUCUACGAAGAUCUUUAUCGGUUAGACCGCAUAACAACAUACGUUGUUCCCUUUGUCAUCGGUAUGUUACUUGCCCGAGAUUCGAUCGUCGGUAUCCAAUACCUAGUUCAAUCUCGUUACCGGCAAGUCUCUUUACUCGUUCCGUAAUACAUCAUCUCACAACUAACAUAUUAGUUGUAAUUCUUGCAAGGCUUAUGUGAUGUGUAUUACCGAGAGGGCCCAGAGAUACCUCUCCGACAAUCGGAGUGACAAAUCCUAAUCUCGAAAUACGCCAACCCAACAUCGACCAUUGGAGACACAUGUAGUACUCCUUUAUAAUCACCCAGUUACGUUGUGACGUUUGGUAGUACCCAAAGUGUUCCUCCGGUAAACGGGAGUUGCAUAAUCUCAUAGUCAUAGGAACAUGUAUAAGUCAUGAAGAAAGCAAUAGCAACAUACUAAACGAUCGGGUGCUAAGCUAAUGGAAUGGGUCAUGUCAAUCAGAUCAUUCUGCUAAUGAUGUGACCUCGUUAAUCAAAUAACAACUCAUUGUUCAUGGUUAGGAAACAUAACCAUCUUUGAUUAACGAGCUAGUCAAGUAGAGGCAUACUAGUGACACUUUGUUUGUCUAUGUAUUCACACAUGUAUUAUGUUUCCGGUAAAUACAAUUCUAGCAUGAAUAAUAAACAUUUAUCAUGAUUAUAAGGAAAUAAAUAAUAACAUUAUUAUUGCCUCUAGGGCAUAUUUCCUUCAAUUCCAUCUUUAUUCCCCUAGACCCUUCCAGCAGUUCCUAAACCGCUCCAGUCGGAGCACGUUAUCAUUCUUGUUAGUUCUGAGUGAAUUCCCUCGGUAUGAUCAUUCUUUCAUCAGUUUGUUCCCCAUUUCUUCUCUAGCCUGAGACUAACACACUAUUCUAGGUAGACAUGGGUGUGGCUCGUAACACCUGCUGACCAAACAGAUCUACGGCACCAUUGAAUCUCAAACUUUAACUGCCAAAACUAUUGUUUUUCAUCCUGUAGUCCCUUUUAGAAUUAUUAAACAUCCUUUUUUCGGCCGAGAUUUCCAGGAACGCUUUCUCGGGGUUUGUGUGCACGUAUUUCAAAUCAUACGGACCUAAAAUUAGAAUUCAUUCCAUCUUUAUUCCCCUAGAGCCUUCCAGCAUUUCCUAAACCGCUCCAGUCGGAGCACGUUAUCAUUCUUGUUAGUUCUGAGUGAAUUCCCUCGGUAUGAUCAUUCUUUCAUCAGUUUGUUCCCCGUUUCUUCUCUAGUCUGAGCCUAGCACACUACUCUAGCUAGACAUGGGUGUGGCUCGUUACACCUGAUGACCAAACGGAUCUACGGCACCGUCGAAUCUCAAACUUUAACUGCCAAAACUAUUGUUUUUCAUCCUGUUGUCCCUUAUAGAAUUACUAAACGUCCUUUUUGGGAUGAGAUUUCCAGGAACGCUUUCGUGUGGUUUGUGUGCAAGUAUUUCAAAUCACACGAACGUAAAAAUUUGAAGUCAUUCCAUCUUUAUUCCCCUAGAUCCUUCCAGCAGUUCCUAAACCGCUCCAGUCGGAGCACGUUAUCAUUCUUGUUAGUUCUGAGUGAAUUCCCUCGGUAUGAUCAUUCUUUCAUCAGUUUGCUCCCCAUUUCUUCUCUAGCCUAAGCCUAGCACACUACUCUAGCUAGACAUGGGUGUGGCUCAUAACACCUGAUGACCAAACGGAUCUACGGCACCUUCGAAUCUCAAACUUUAACUGCCAAAACUAUUGUUUUUCAUCCUGUAGUCCCUUUUAGAAUUAAUAACGUCCUUUUUUGGGCUGAGAUUUCUAGGAACGCUUUCGUGCAGUUUGUGUGCAAGUAUUUCAAAUCAUACGGACCUAAAAAUGAGAAGUCAUUCCAUGUUUAUUCCCCUAGAGCCUUCCAGCAGUUCCUAAACCGCUCCAGUCGGAGCAUGUUAUCAUUAUUGUUAGUUCUGAGUGAAUUCCCUCGGUUGGAUCAUUCUUUCAUCAGUUUGUUCCCCGUUUCUUCUCUAGCCUGACCCUAACACACUAUUCUAGCUAGACAUGGGUCUGGCUUGUAACACCUAUUGACCAAACGGAUCUACGGCACCAUCGAAUCUCAAACUUUAACUGCCAAAACUAUUGUUUUUCAUCCUGUAGUCCCUUUUAGAAUUACUAAACGUCCUUUUUUGGGCUGAGAUUUCCAGGAACGCUUACGCGCGGUUUGUGUGCAAGUAUUUCAAAUCAUACGGACCUAAAAAUUAGAAGUCAUUCCAUCUUUAUUCCCCUAGAGCCUUCCAGCAGUUCCUAAACCGCUCCAGUCGGAGCAUGUUAUCAUUCUUGUUAGUUCUGAGUGAAUUCCCUCGGUAUGAUCAUCCUUACAUCACUUUGUUCCCCGUUUCUUUUCUAGCCUGAGCCUAACACACUAUUCUAGCUAGACAUGGGUGUGGCUCGUAACACCUGAUGACCAAACGGAUCUAUGGCACCAUCAAAUCUCAAACUUUAACUGCCAAAACUAUUGUUUUUCAUUCUGUAGUCCCUUUUAGAAUUACUAAACGUCCUUUUUUGGGCCGAGAUUUCCAGGAACGCUUUCUCGGGGUUUGUGUGCAUGUAUUUCAAAUCAUACGGACCUAAAAAUUGAAAGUCAUUCCAUCUUUAUUCCCCUAGAGCCUUCCAGCAGUUCCUAAACCGCUCCAGUCGGAGCACGUUAUCAUUCUUGUUAGUUCUGAGUGAAUUCCCUCGGUAUGAUCAUUCUUUCAUCAGUUUGUUCCCCGUUUCUUCUCUAGUCUGAGCCUAGCACAUUACUCUAGCUGGACAUGGGUGUGGCUCGUUACACCUGAUGACCAAACGGAUCUACGGCAUUAUCGAAUCUCAAACUUUAACUGCCAGAACUAUUGUUUUUCACCCUGUAGUCCCUUUUAGAAUUACUAAACGUCGUUUUUUGGGCUGAGAUUUCGAGGAACGCUUUCUCGCGGUUUGUGUGCAAGUAUUUCAAAUCAUACAGACCUAAAAAUUUGAAGUCAUUCCAUCUUUAUUCCCCUAGAGCCUUCCAGAAGUUCCUAAACCGCUCCAGUCGGAGCACGUUAUCAUUCUUGUUAGUUCUGAGUGAAUUCCCUCGGUAUGAUCAUUCUUUCAUCACUUUGUUCCCUUUUUCUUCUCUAGUCUGAGCCUAGCACACUACUCUAGCUAGACAUGGGUGUGGCUCGUUACACCUGAUGACCAAACGGAUCUACGGCACCGUCGAAUCUCAAACUUUAACUGCCAAAACUAUUGUUUUUCAUCAUGUAGUCCCUUUUAGAAUUACUAAAUGUCCUUUUUUGGGCUGAGAAUUCCAGGAUCACUUUUGCGCGGUUUGUGUGCAAGUAUUUCAAAUCAUACGGACCUAAAAAUUUGAAGUCAUUCCAUCUUUAUUCCCCUAGAGCCUUCCAGCAGUUUCUAAACUGCUCCAGUCGGAGCACGUUAUCAUUCUUGUUAGUUCUGAGUGAAUUCCCUCGGUAUGAUCAUUCUUUCAUCAGUUUGUUCCCCGUUUCUUCUCUAGCCUGAGCCUAACACACUAUUCUAGCUAGACAUGGGUGUGGCUCGUAACACCUGAUGACCAAACGGAUCUACGGCACCGUCGAAUCUCAAAUUUUAACUGCCCAAACUAUUAUUUUUCAUCCUGUAGUCCCUUUUAGAAUUACUAAACGUCCUUUUUUAGGCUGAGAUUUCCAGGAACGCUUUCGCGUGGUUUGAGUGCCAGUAUUUCAAAUCAUACGGACGUAAAAAUUAGAAGUCAUUCCAUCUUUAUUCCCCUAGAGCCUUCCAGCAGUUCCUAAACCGCUCCAGUCGGAGCACGUUAUCAUUCUUGUUGGUUCUGAGUGAAUUCCCUUGGUAUGAUCAUACUUUCAUCAGUUCGUUCCCCAUUUCUUCUCUAACCUGAGCCUAACAUACUAGUGUAGCUAGACAUGGGUGUGGCUCGUAACACCUGAUGACCAAACGGAUCUACGGCAACGUCGAAUCUCAAACUUUAACUGCCAAAACUAUUGUUUUUCAUCCUAUAGUCCCUUUUAGAAUUACUAAACAUCCUUUUUUGGGCUGAGAUUUCUAGGAACGCUGUCGCGCGGUUUGUGUGCAAGUAUUUCAAAUCAUACAGACCUAAAAAUUUGAAGUCAUUCCAUCUUUAUUCGCCUAGAGCCUUCCAGAAGUUCCUAAACUGCUCCAGUCGGAGCACGUUAUCAUUCUUGUUAGUUCUGAGUGAAUUCCCUCGGUUUGAUCACUCUUUCAUCAGUUUGUUCCCUGUUUCUUCUCUAGUCUGAGCCUAGCACACUAUUCUAGCUAGACAUGGGUGUGGCUCGUAACACUUGAUGACCAAACGGAUCUACGGCACCGUCGAAUCUCAAACUUUAACUGCCAAAACUAUUGUUUUUCAUCCUGUAGUCCCUUUUAGAAUUACUAAACAUCCUUUUUUGGGCUGAGAUUUCCAGGAACGCUUUCGCGCGGUUUGUGUGCAAGUAUUUCAAAUCAUACGGUCCUAAAAAUUAGAAGUCAUUCCAUCUUUAUUCCCCUAGAGCCUUCUAGCAAUUCCUAAACCGCUCCAGUCGGAGCAUGUUAUCAUUAUUGUUACUUCUGAGUGAAUUCCCUCGGUUUGAUCAUUCUUUCAUCAGUUUGUUCCCUGUUUCUUCUCUAGCCUGAGCCUAGCACACUAUUCUAGCUAGACAUGGGUGUGGCUCGUAACACCUGAUGAUCAAACGGAUCUACGGCACCGUCGAAUCUCAAACUUUAACUGCCAAAACUAUUGUUUUUCAUCCAGUAGUCCCUUUUAGAAUUACUAAACGUCCUUUUUUGGGCUGAGAUUUCCAAGAACGCUUUCGCGUGGUUUGUGUGCAAGUAUUUCAAAUCAUACAGACCUGAAAAUUAGAAGUCAUUCCAUCUUUAUUCCCCUAGAGCCUUCCAGCAGUUCCUAAACCGCUCCAGUCGGAGCAUGUUAUCAUUCUUGUUAGUUCUUGGUGAAUUCCCUCGGUAUGAUCAUUCUUUCAUCACUUUGUUCCCCGUUUCUUUUCUAGCCUGAGCCUAACACACUAUUCUAGCUAGACAUGGGUGUGGCUCGUAACACCUGAUGACCAAACAGAUCUACGGCACCGUCAAAUCUCAAACUUUAAUUGCCAAAACUAUUGUUUUUCAUUCUGUAGUCCCUUUAGAAUUACUAAAUGUCCUUUUUUUGCCGAGAUUUCCAGGAACGCUUUCUCGGGGUUUGUGUGCACGUAUUUCAAAUCAUACGUACCUAAAAAUUAGAAGUCAUUCCAUCUUUAUUCCCGUAGAGCCUUCCAGCAGUUCCUAAACCACUCAAGUCGGAGCACGUUAUCAUUCUUGUUAGUUCUGAGUGAAUUCCCUCGAUAUGAUCAUUCAUUCAUCAGUUUGUUCCCCGUUUCUUCUCUAGUCUGAGCCUAGCACACUACUCUAGCUAGACAUGGGUGUGGCUCGUUACACCUGAUGACCAAACGAAUCUAUGGCACCGUCGAAUCUCAAACUUUAACUUCCAAAACUAUUGUUUUUCUUCCCGUAGUCCCUUUCAGAAUUACUAAACGUCCUUUUUUGGGCUGAGAUUUCCAGGAACGCUUUCGCGCAGUUUGUGUGCAAGUAUUUCAAAUCAUACGGACCUAAAAAUUAGAAGUCAUUCCAUCUUUAUUCCCCUAGAGCCUUCCACCAGUUCCUAAACCACUCCAGUCGGAGCACAUUAUCAUUCUUCUUAGUUCUGAGUGAAUUCCCUCGGUAUGAUCAUUCUUUCAUCAGUUUGUUCCCCGUUUCUUCUCUAGCCGGAGCCUAACACACUAUUCUAGCUAGACAUGGGUGUGGCUUGUAACACCUGAUGACCAAACGGAUCUAGGGCACCGUCGAAUCUCAAACUUUAACUGCCAAAACUAUUGUUUUUCAUCCUGUAGUCCCUUUUAGAAUUACUAAAUGUCCUUUUUUGCGCUGAGAAUUCUAGGAACGCUUUCGCGCGGUUUGUGUGCAAGUAUUUCAAAUCAUACGGACCUAAAAAUUAGAAGUCAUUCCAUCUUUAUUCCCCUAGAGCCUUCUAGCAGUUCCUAAACCGCUCAAGUCGGAGCACGUUAUCAUUAUUGUUAGUUCUGAGUGAAUUCCCUCGGUUUCAUCAUUCUUUCAUCAGUUUGUUCCCCGUUUCUUCUCUAACCUGAGCCUAACACACUAUUCUAGCUAGACAUGGGUGUGGCUUGUAACUGCUGAUGACCAAACGGAUCUACGGCACCAUCAAAUCUCAAACUUUAAAUGCCAAAACUAUUGUUUUUCAUUUUGUAGUCCCUUUUAGAAUUACUAAACGUCCUUUUUUGGGCUGAGAUUUCUAGGAACGCUUUCUCAGGGUUUGUGUGCACGUAUUUCAAAUCAUACGGACCUAAAAAUUAGAACUCAUUCCAUCUUUAUUCCCCUAGA
rnacentral:lncRNA from 1 species